rnacentral:lncRNA from 1 species
AGGAACAGACACUUCAUCGAGCGUAAUCGAGUGGUCUCUGGCUGAGAUGUUGAAAAACCCGAGCAUCCUCAAGCGUGCUCACGAAGAAAUGGAUCAAGUGAUUGGAAGGAGCCGGCGGCUCGUGGAGUCUGACUUGCCAAAACUUCCAUACCUACAAGCCAUAUGCAAGGAAAGCUUCCGGAAGCACCCAUCCACCCCAUUGAACCUUCCUCGUGUCUCAACCCAAGCAUGCGAAGUGAACGGCUACUACAUCCCAGAGAACACUAGACUUAGCGUGAACAUAUGGGCAAUUGGGCGAGACCCUGAUGUCUGGGAAAGCCCGGAAGAAUUCAGGCCAGAAAGGUUUUUAAGUGGAAGAAAUGAAAAAAUUGAUCCUCGUGGAAAUGAUUUUGAGUUGAUCCCGUUUGGGGCUGGACGAAGGAUUUGCGCUGGCACUAGAAUGGGAAUAGUGCUGGUUGAGUACAUUUUAGGGACGUUGGUACAUUCAUUUGACUGGAAAAUGCCGGAUGGAGUUGAGAUCAACAUGGACGAAGCUUUCGGGCUUGCACUGCAGAAGGCAGUUUCUCUUUCGGCCAUGGUGACACCAAGGCUUCACCAGAGUGCGUAUGCAGUCUGAGCUCAAACCGCUCAGACCAAAACCCAGGCCUCGCUGCUAUAUGGCAUGGAUGCAGUUAAGUAGAAAAUAUUUUGGGAUGCCUGUGGCUUAGUAUAAGAUGUAUUAGCUCAAAGAUGGUCGUUUCAUUCUACCACCAAGCCAUAUGCAUCUAUGCAUAAUCUAUUGAUUUAGGCUCGAUUUGGUUAUAGUUUUUGUUUUUUUGUCUUCCAAAUCAGUAAAUAGUAGGGGUAUUUUUGUCCUAUGUAGUGAUUCUUUUUGUUUGAUUGAUUAUAUUUGGAUCCUUCAAAUAUUCCUACACAACUAUUAACCUCCUUCAAAAAUAUAUAGUUAAGGGCCUUGGUCAGAGCCAUCUCCAUCUUUUCACUUCUUGUGCUGCAGUAUGGGAUUGGCUUAGAUGAUCGUUAGUCUAAUGUUUCCUUUUCAACAUCAUAAUUCAGCGCAAACUAAGUUGAAUAUUCAACAACAAAUAAGUACAGAAAAUAAUGGAAGAAAAAUUCCCACUUUAUCUCCGUAAAGUAAUGCCAUAUUUUUCUUCAUACUUACCUUCUAGAUUUUUGUUGGAGCUCUGAGCCCGUGAUCCAUUAGAUGAUUGCGUGUGUGCAUAUGCAUGUGGGUGAUUGCGUGUAAUACGUACGUACGUUCCAUGAUUCAUGUUCGAAGUACCCUCUCUUAUUUAUCGUUGAAGAGGCUAUCGUCACAAACUCUAUUGAUUAAUUAGUCUAGGCAAAUUAAGGCGCGAUAACGACCGAUGUAUAUCUUAAAAGUAACGAUUAAGAGAAUAUUAUAUGUACAAGGGAAAAAUCUACAUAUAAUUAUUGAUGCAACUUGCAAGUGGGAUAAAAUUUGGGAUGGGGAUUAUUAUAAAUUAAUCUCAAUCCAUAAUUGUGAUUGUGGAGUAUAAAUUAAAUGAUUCAUAAUCCAUCUACAUGAAGAUUAAAACCCAUAUUGAAAAUAGCUUUAAAAAACUAAUUUAUAAGAAUAAUUUUUGCAUCAUAUUUUGUGUGCUUGAACUCGUUUCCUAUAUUUUUAAAUAUAUAUUAAAUAUAAUUUUCUUUUAUUUAUAGUGUUUUAUUUUUAAUUAUUCUUCAUAUUUAUAUAAUUAUUUUUUAAAACAAUCAUGAUAAAAAGCAAAAAGAAGUGAAAAUAGCUUAAUAUAAUUAAAGACAAAUAUCUUAUUUUUUGUUAUCUGUUGUUAUUGUUUUUUCUUUUUGUUAACCCCCUUCAAAUCUAAUUAUUCAUACUCAAUUUUGACACGAAAGAGCCAUUGUCAUGAAAGGGGGAGGUCCAUCAUUUUGGUACGAUGCCAACUCUACCACAUAACCACCAUUUAGAUAUCUAUCCUUUUAUUUUUGGCAUGUGAACUUAUAGUGGGUGGCUGACCUUGAAUCCACUAGUUAUCAUGUUGAAAUUAACCACCAUUUAGAUAUCUAUCCUUUUAUUUUUGGCAUGUGAACUUACAGUAAGUCCGAUUUAUGUCCAAGGGUCAAAUUUAAAUCUCUCUUCAAUCUAAUGGCUAAGAACUUCCCAACUUUAUUUAAUACUUAAUGUAUCCAAUAAUUGUAAUCGAGUAAUCCAAUGACAAGUACCUUCAAUGACUAUUUUGGCAAAAGAAAAAAGAAAAAAAGAAAUAAUAUAAGUUUGUUAUUUUAUGAUAUAAUAAAUUUAUUAAUACUUUCCUUUUUCAAAAUAUGUAAUUAGUUGUAAUUUCAUUAUAUAAUAUAUAAAUUAAGUUAUUUGCAAUUUUAAAAUAUGUUCAUUUUGUUUUUUUUUAAGUGUUAAUUAAAAAUUAUACAAUUUUGUUUUAUAAAAAGUAUUUAGUACUUUUAAUUUUAUAAAUUACAAACAUUAAUUAUACUAUUUUCUUAAAAUAUUUAGUUUAGUAUGCAUAUUAUUAGUUGUUUUCUCAUAUCUCAAGUUUCAAUCAAAAAAAUAUUUAUGAUUUGUUUUUGUUAAUUUGUGUCUUGUUUUCAAUUUAAUUAAUGAAAAGUUAUUUGAUCAAAAGGUUCAUUACAAACCAAUUUUAAAAAUUUAAUCCUUUAUUAUAUUUUGAUAUUGUUUUGAUAAAAAUGUCUUUAUUAUUUUUUAAAUAUAUUGUAAAUAUUUAAAAUAAUUAAAAAUAUUUAGAUCAAAAAUCGAUUAUUUUUCAAACAAAAAUAUGAAAGUGAUAAAUUUGCAAAUGUGGGGAAUAUUUAAUCCUUUUAAUCGAUUAUUUCAUUAAUGAAGUGGGUAUAAUGAUGAACGCAGACUUGGUUUUACUAGGGCAUGCAGAGGUUUUGCAAGAGAGAGAGAUCAUUUCUCGACUCUGAGAAAUCAAUCUCCUUUUGGCCCGGUGGCGGACUCCAAGUAAAGCCUUGAAGGAGCCUUGCUAACAUCCCUGCACACCCACGCCUUCCAGUACUGAAGGAAAUGAAGCGAAGGUUUGGCUCGUUCAACUCCACUGCUUGAACUGUACUAGCAUUCAGAUGCCGCUCUGGAUUGAAAUUUAGCGGUUCUUCCCAGAUUCUAGGGUUCCGGCCCAGCCCCAGACGGCUCAGAAGGACAUGACUGCCUUUGGGGAUAGAGUACCCAGCAACACUAGUCGGAUUCCUGAACUCGUCUAUCCUUUCCAACCACUCCAUCAAUUUCUUCACUGCUUUGCUCAAAAUCCCUGGUUGCUUGAUCAUUGCCUACUCAAUUGCAUUUGAUGGACUAUCGAAGCCUGCAAGCAUCAACUCCUGCAAAUUAUGGAAGGAUCAUAAUCUCAUGAUUGAUCAAGUUAUUUGCUGGCUAGGAAAUGAUCAUCAUGCAAUGUAGAUCAAAAGGUAAGCACAACACUACUACAAAAAUAAUUUAUGGUGUCAUUUUUAAAAUAAUGACACCAUAGGGUUUAUAAUUAAUAAAGGUGAUACAUCAUAUGAAAAUUCUUCAAUUGAGGUAGUUAGAUUAUGUUAGUUUUAUAUUUAUAGUGUCAUUUUUUGGGAAGUAACAUCAUAUAAAAUAAUUUUUUUUUAAGUAUUAUAACUUAAUGAGCCCACUUUUAUAAUUAAUAAUGAGGGAUAAUGUAUAAAAAGCCCAUUGUUUCCACAUGCCACCCACAAUCCAAAAAAUCUCAGUAUACAAACCUUAUAUAUAAAACCAUAAUCUUCUUCUACCUUUUCUCUUACCUAUAGUCAACACACUUAUAACCGACAUUUUCCACUUUGUGGACUCCCAAGUUAUCCAAAUUCUCUUAGAUCUAUCCUAUUUUUUUUCUUUUAUUAAUAUCAUUAUAUUGAUUGUUUCAGCAUCUUUGUAUUAUGGUUUUUGUGAACUGCAUUUUCUUGAGUUGUAGGGAAGAAAAACUUAGGUUUAAACUUCUAGCAUAGACAAAGAAACUUGUAGAUUAAUUGAUUUUUUAAUAUGAACCAAACACAUGACCGACUUUUUCUGUGUGUAAUAAGGACAGCUAGUAUUCAUGCAUAAAAUCAGCAUCAGAAUUCGUAACUGCAUUUGAUCAGCUAGUUUAGUAAAUCUGUACAACUCAUUCUUUCCUUUAUUUUCACAUAUGUUGUUAUACGUUAGCACAAGUUUAGGAGUAAUUUUAGUUUCUCAAAUCUGUAUUUAUACCUCUUCUUCUAAUAAGAAUUGUGUGAAUCAUUUUGUCUAAACCUCUUUAUGGUAUCAGAGCACACCUCAAAACUCCAACAAGUAUUUCCUGUCUUUCUCGCUUCUGCUAUGGCCACUUCUUCCUCUGAUAGUUUUCCAAUAGCCAUCAAUGCCACCCAGCAAAUUACUGCACGUCUUACACCAACCAACUUCCCUUCAUGGCAUGCUCAAUUUGAGUCUCUCCUCCUCGGCUAUAACCUCUUUGGCUAUGUCGAUGGCACUCAUACCUGCCCACCCCUACCGAUGUCAACUAAUGCAGCUGCCACUACAGCUCAUCACCUUUGGUUCCAUCAGGACAAACUUAUUCUAAGUGCAAUUUUGACUUCAGUGUCCCUAGCUGUGAUACCACUCAUAGCAACCUCCCAAACGUCAUAUCAAACCUGGACAAAACUGACAAAACUGUAUGCUAGUCGAUCCAGGACUCGUGUCAUGCAGCUCAAAGAGGAUCUCACCCUCAUGCAAUGUGGCAAUCGCAGCAUUACAAAGUACCUACACUCUGUAAAAACCAUUGUCGAUGAGCUUGCUCUCAUCGAUGCCCCAUUAUCUCAAGAUGACAUCACCCUAUAUGUUCUUCAUGGCUUAGGAUCAAAUUUUCGUGACAUUGUUGCCCCGAUUCGAGCCCGAGAGUCUUCACUCUCAUUGUUGCAAAAUACUGUCCGAAAUUGAAACCCUCUGAAGCCACUGUGAACUGCACAACUACUACUUCCAGUCCCGACAAACGUUGGCUCAUUGAUUCUAUGGCUUCCCAUAAUAUCACUUCUCAGGUUUCAAAUUUACAAUUUCACUCUGAAUAUGAUGGUACUGAUGAAGUUAUUAUUGGAGAUGGAUCAGGUUUGCCCAUUACUCAUUCUGGUUCUCUUACUCUUUCAUUUCCAAACAGAAAAUUUCAAGUUGAAGAUACUCUAUGUGUUCCUACCAUUAACAAAAACUUGAUAUCUGUUCACCACUACACAAAGCAAAACAAUGUUAUCCUGGAAUUUCACCCAACUUAUUUUCUUGCGAAGGAUUGGAGAACGGGGGAGAUUCUUCUUCAAGGACCGUGUGAAAAUGGAGUCUACCCUCUGGCCUCAUCGCCUGCUGCUACUCCAAUUGCUUUUGUCCAUGAACGCACAUCAGCAGCUGGUUGGCAUCAUCGCCUUGGUCAUCGAUCAUUCAAAGUUGUCACUCGCCUCAUUAGUUCUUUCUCCCUUCCCACCACUUCAUGUCUUUCUGGUUCUAAUAAUUGUCAUUCGUGUUCUAUCAAUAAAGCUCAUCAGUUACCCUUUCAUAAACACGGUCUAACUAGCACAACACCAUUUGAUUUACUUUACACUGAUGUAUGGGGACCUUCUCCCACUCCUAGUCUCAAUGGCCACAGAUAUUAUGUUAUUUUUGUUGAUCACUUUACCAAAUAUGGUUGGUUCUUUCCAUUGCAUCAAAAAUCAGAUGUUAAAACCAUAUUUCCUCAUUUCUACAAAAUGAUUGAAACUCGUUUUAACAUAAAAAUUAAAGGAGUUUAUUCCGAUAAUGGGGGCGAGUUCACUGUUCUUCGACCCUUUUUCACAACCCAUGGCAUUAGUCAUUAUACGACAGCCCCUUAUACACCCCAACAAAAUGGAGUGUCUGAGCGUCGUCAUCUCCAUAUUGUGGAGACAGGUCAAACCCUUCUAAGUCAUGCCUCUCUUCCAUCAGAAUAUUAGGCUUAUGCUUUUGCAACAGCCACAUAUCUAAUCAAUCGACUUCCAUCACCUGUUCUUCAUCAUAUAUCACCUCUUCAAGCAACAACCUCGGUAUGAAAAAUUACGUUCCUUUGGAUGUCUUUGCUUUCCCUUGAUGAAGCCGUAUAACACAAACAAAUUUCAAAAGAAAUCCGUUCCUUGUAUCUUUGUUGGCUACUCUACUAGCCAAAGUGCAUAUCUAUGUCUUCAUCUACAAAGUCAGCGCAUAUACACCUCCAAACACGUAACCUUUGAUGAAUCUGUUUACCCCUUCAAACAGGUUUCCAUGCAAUCACCCACUGACUCAUCCCCAUCAGAAACCUCUUCUUUUUCAGGACCAAUUUUGCAGCUUGCUUCCAGGGAGCUUCCAACAAUCACACGGGCUCAAGGAGAUAUCCCCUCUGCUUCUUCGACUCCAAGUGAAGAUCCAGCUCUUGUGCAACCUCAAGAGGCACCACUUUCCACUUUAGAUCAGGUAACUCUUAGACCUUCUACUUCUGUUUCUCAACCAGAAAAUUCAAUGCCAUCCUCUCCACCACCAUGUCCACGAACCAUCAUCACUCGCUCCAUGAACAAUAUCUUUCGGCCAAAACAACUCCACACCACCACCAAGCACCCCUUACCUGAACCACCCGAACCAAGUUGUGUAAGUCAAGCUCUUAAAGACCCUCACUGGUGCAAGGCUAUGUCAGAAGAAGUGACAACCCUCCUUUAACAUGGGACGUGAGAACUGGUUCCUCCCACUCCUGGCCAGAAUCUUGUUGGGUGUAAAUUUGUGUUUCGGAAGAAACGAAAUCCAGAUGGAACAAUCAGUCGAUAUAAAGCUCGACUUGUCGCUAAAGGAUUUCAUCAACGGCCAGGUAUUGACUACUCUCAAACCUUCAGCCCUGUCGUAAAGCCAGUAACAAUUAGGCUUCUUUUAACCAUUGCUGUCAUGCAUGGCUAGCCCCUUCGUCAGUUAGACAUCAAUAAUGCAUUCUUGCAUGGUAAUCUUGAAGAAACAGUCUUCAUGCAUCAACCUACAGGAUUUGAAGAUCCAUCUCAACCUCAGUAUGUUUGCAAGCUAAAAUAGAGUAUCUAUGGUCUUAAACAAGCCCCAUGACAGUGGUACAAGGCCCUUCGGGAUGCACUUCUCAGCUUUGGUUUUAUUCACUCGGCCACUGACAACUCUUUGUUUAUCUAUAAGUCUCAUGAUAUCUUGUGCUACUGCCUUGUUUAUGUUGAUGACAUAAUUGUCACAAGCAACACACUCAGCUUUGUGAAUAACAUUAUAAACAAGCUUGGCUCUACAUUCUUAGUCAAAGAUAUGGGCUCCUUGCAUUAUUUCUUGGGAAUAGAAGUGAUUCCAAUGCCACAGGGGCUCUUUCUAUCUCAACAUCAGUAUAUAUGGGAUCUCCUUUCACGAACCUCCAUGGAAAAUGCUAAAGAAACACUCACUCCAAUGUCCACUACAGCCAAGCUUACGGUUCAAGAUAAUUUUGAAUGUGUUGACAGCACUGAGUAUCGCAAGAUCAUUGGAGCACUUCAGUAUUUGGGACUCACUCGUCCCGAUAUUGCCUUUGCAGUCAACAGAUUAUCUCAGUUCAUGUAGAAGCCGACAACAAACCAUUGGGCCGCAGCAAAAAGACUACUCAGCUAUCUUAAACAGACCAUGUUUCAUGGUAUCCUUCUCCAAAAUCAUGAUCAAUUCCAACUCAAGACCUAUAGUGAUGUGAAGUGGGCAUUAAAUACGGACACUCGUGUUUCAACCACUACUUUCAUCACAUUCAUUGGUCCUAAUCCAAUCUCAUGGUCUGCACGCAAGCAAAUGGCAGUCUCAAGAUCAUCUAUAGAAGCAGAGUUUCGGGCACUAGCUACUGCCACACAGAAACAGUUUGGCUUCAUUCUCUUAUCAAGGAACUUGGUCUCACUCUCAGAGAAGCACCUCAAAUGUUUUGUGAUAAUAUUGGUGCCAACCAUUUCAGUUUAAAUCCAGUCCAGCACAGACGGAUGAAACACAUUGAAAUUGAUCUCCUCUUUGUACGAGAUCUUGUCAAAAAGGGAACUAUUCGUGUUCAGCACAUCCAUACCAUUGAUCAACUAGCUAAUCUCCUUACAAAAUCACUCUCACAUCAACGCUUUCAACUAUUAAGAUCCAAGAUUGGUGUUGCAGAUGGCACCUCCAUCUUGAGGGGGCAUAUAAGGACAGCUAGUAUUCAUGCAGAAAAUCAGCAUCAGAAUUCGUAACUGCAUUUGAUCAGCUAGUUUAGGAAAUCUGUACAACUCAUUCUUUCCUUUAUUUUCACAUAUGUUGUUAUACGUUAGCACAAGUUUAGGAGUAAUUUUAGUUUCUCAAAUCUGUAUUUAUACCUCUUCUUCUAAUAAGAAUUGCGUGAAUCAUUUUGUCUAAACCUCUUUAUAUUUAUGUGAGAAUGACAGGUACAAAAUUUUGUUGAGAUAUACUGCCCCAUAAUCUUCAUCCUUUCCCUAAAAUGAGAGAGGGAAAAAAAAAAAGGAAUGAUUUUUUUUGUGUGUAUCUAAGUGGGAACAAGAGAUAUAGAAUUUCGUUGAGAUGCAGUGCUGCCACAUGAUCUUUAUCCUCCAUUAAACCCAACAUAUUAAAUCCACUAACUCUCUCCCCAAAAAUGAGUAAAAAAAAAAAAAAGGAAAAAAGUAUGAGUUAAAAAACAAAAACGGAAAAUAUGAUUUUUUUAAUGUGUUUCUAAGGAGAAUGAGAGAUACAUAUUUUUGUUAAGAUGCAUUGCCACGUGUUCUUCAUCCUCUCCAUUAAGCCUAAUAUAUUAAACCUAAUAGCUCUCUCUUUUAAGCUUUCCAAUGAAGUGCCUAUAGUAUCCAACUCAAAAUAAGACAACUUAAGCCCCAUUAGCCAACAACCCAUAUUUUGUGUACAUCUUGAUGAGAUUAUUUUGUGAGAAAAUGUCAUGAAACAAUCCCAAUUUGAUAAUCUAGGCAUGUAUUUGAGUUAAAAAUAAAUUUCUAUUCUAUAGAUCAAAGAAUAAAAUCAUGUUUGAAAAUUAUUUUUAAAAACUUAUUUAGAGCAAAAAUAGUUUUCUAACAUAAAAAUAAUUUUUUAACUGAGAAAAUAUAUUUGAAAUUAUUUGAUAGAAAAUUGGGCAUGUAUUUGACUUAAAAACAAAUUUCUAUUCUAUAGCUCCAAUAAUAAAAUCAUGUUUGAAAAUUAUUCUUAAAAACUUAUUUAGAGCAAAAAUGGUUUUCUAACAUUAAAAUAAUUUUUUAAUUUAGAAAAUAUAUUUGGAAACAGUUGAUAGAAAACUGGGCAUGUAUUUGACUUAAAAAUAAAUUAUUAUUCUAUAGAUCAAAGGAUAAAAUCAUGUUUGAAAAAUAUUCUUAAAAACUUAUUUAGAGUAAAAACAGUUUUCUAACAUAAAAAUAAAUUUUUAACUUAGAAAAUAUAUUUGAAAACAUUUGAUAGAAAACUUUUUUUUUUAAUGUCAAUAAGUUGUCUUUUUGUUAAUUUAAUUGUAAUCAAUUUUCUUAUACGCAUUUAAAAGUAUAUAUUAUCAUAUUUAGUAAUAUUUUGAUUAUUAGGCAAAUUAUCAUUUUUGAGAGGAAUUUUUGUAGCUCUCAUAAUUAUAAUUGUAUUUUAAUAACCACUUCCAAUAAAUAAAAAAAAGAAAAAAAAAGUUAGACAAUUAUCAAAAUCUGAUUUUUAGGAUUUUAAAAAAAUCUACAAGCCAAAACUAUUUAUAAUUUUGAUCAUGUGAGAACACUUCUUUUUUAAUACUUUGAGUUAUUUUGUUUUUUUUUUUUCUUAGUAUCUGAAAGUAUAAAAGAAUUUCUCAUAUAUGUGCAUGUGUGUUCUCAUGGUUGUUUAUGUCAUGUCUUAUUAAAGAAUGAAGUGAAGUUUCCUUUGAGUGGAAGGUUUUAGUCCACGCUAGUCAGUGGACACGGUAUGAAUAGUUUGGGUGGGUUGUAUCUAUGGUAAAAAAAUAAUAAAAGACAACUUUUGCAAGUCUCCAAGUUGGUUGAGAUACAUGAUGUCAUGUUGACUAGACCUUGACUUUUGCAAGUCUCCUAGUUUCCAACUUUUUUUUCUUUUUUUUUUUUAAUAUUAAGGUGUGGGGCCAUGAACUCCUUUCUUUCCUUUUUAAAUAACAAAAAGGAAGAUAAUUUUAUUGUGAGAAGGCUAUUGCUACCAAUUGUGUUCACGUCGAGAAUUUUUUAAUUUACGGAGGCCAUAUAUAUAUAUAUUUAUGUCUAAUUUAGGAGGGUAAUUUGGGUUUGUCUAAUCUAUUCCAUUUAAUCAUACUAUACAAUCAUUUUUUUUUAUUUGGAUUAUUCUUGUAUUAAAUUUCUUCAACCCAAAUUUUGUUGAAAAGUUACAAUGUAUUAUUGAAAAUAUGACUUGGUAGUUGAUUAUGGAUAUGUGUCAUUUUUAGUAUAAAAAAAAAAUAAAUCUAUAACAUUUUAUAUUGAUAAUAUAUUAUUCUUGUAACAGGUUUGAAUAAUAAGCAAGUCAUUGUCAAAGAAGUUAUUGAAAGUGUAAGUGUACAUUUAUUUAUUGCAUGCUCUUAUAUUGUAUCAAUUGUAAGGAAGAUAAAAUUACCUUGUAAAGGUAAUUAAAUCUUUCUAUAUUUUAAAAACUUUUUUCCUAUAUACUAUGCUUUUGAAGCUUGUUUAAUUAAACAUAUUAGUUAUUUGACAAACUUUUCACAAAUGUUUUGUAUACUUAUGUGUUCUAUUUUGUUCCAUAGUUUUAUUGCAUAAUACUAAUGUAUAUUUUUUCACAAACUUUUUACAACUAUUUUGUGUACUAAUGCAUAUUAAGUUUUGUUCUUGCCUAUAUAAGCUACAUUUAGUUAUUUAAAUAUAUCUAAUAUUAUGUUGAAGAAAGAUGUACUUACUUAACUUUUUUUAUUCUAAAUAUUAACAAGUUUUUCAGUUCUCUUGUCUCGAGAUUGAAUGUCAAAAGAUAGAAGGUCAGUUGAGUAUGAUGAAAGAGUUGAAAACUUUAUCAAUUUUGCAUUAGCACAUUCAAUCAACCAUUCCCCUAUAAAAUGCCCAUGCUUACGUUGUGCAAAUCUGUUAUGUCAAACUCUUCAAGUCAUUACAGAACAUUUGUUCUUUAAUGGAAUCGAUCUUAGUUAUCGAGUAUGGUAUUGGCAUGGAGAAAAUGGACCCAGUGGAGGAUUUUCAAAUGUCUCACAACAACAUUAUGACAAAUGCAAGUAUAAUGAUGUUGUUGACACAAUAGAUAUGGUUAAUGCUGCACAAGUUAAUUGUAUGAAUGAUCCCUAAGUGUUUGGAAGGUUACUUGAAGACGCAGAAAAACCUUUAUAUCUUGGAUGCAUGAAAUACACAAAGUUGUCAGCAUUGGUAAAACUUUACGACUUGAAAGCAUGUUAUGGUUGGUUUGACAAAGGAUUCUCAAAAUUGCUUCAGUUGCUUGGAGAUAUGUUGCCAUUGAAUAAUGAGAUGUCAUUGUCCAUGUAAGAAGCUAAAAAUACUUUUAGUGCACUUGGGAUGAAUAUAACAAAAUUCAUGCAUGUUCUAAUGAUUGUAUUUGGUAUAGAAACCAGUAUAAGGAUGCUAUUGCAUGCCUAACUUGUGGAAAGUCAAGGUGGAAGAUAAACAAUGAGGGGAAAAAGAUUAAGAAGGGGCUUCCUUCAAAGGUUUUAUGGUAUUUCCCACCAAUCCCUAGAUUCAAAAGGAUGUUCCAAUCCUCAAAAACCGCUAAACAUCUUAUGUGGCAUGCCAAGGAUAAAGAAUAUGACGGUAAACUAUGCCACCCAUCAGACUCCUUAGCGUGGAAACUAGUUGACCAUAUGUGGCUUGAUUUUGCUUCUGAACCGAGGACCUUAGACUAGCACUCUCAACAGAUGGUACAAAUCUUCAUAAGUCUAUAAGCAAUAGACAUAGUUGUUGGCCUGUUAUACUGAUCAUAUACAACCUUCCUCCUUGGUUGUGCAUGAAAAAGAAGUUUAUGAUGCUAUCAUUAUUGAUCUCAGGACCACGACAACCUGGUAAAAAUAUAGAUGUUUACUUGAGUCCAUUGGUAGAUGACCUUAAAACUUUGUGGGAAAAAAAAGUUAAGACUUAUGAUGCACACUUGCUUGAGGUUUUUACUUUAAAGGUCAUCAUUUUAUGGACAAUCAGUUAUUUCCCUACAUAUGAAAACUUGGCCAAUUGCACCGUGAAAGGAUAUUAUGCAUGUCCAAUAUGUGGAGAAGGAACAUAUUCCCAAAGAUUAAAGUAUGGUAGGAAGAACUUGUAUAUGGGUCACCGACGAUUUCUUCCACGUAACCAUCCCUAUUGGAGACAAAAGAAGGCACUCAAUGGUGAACAAGAUUUUAGAAUUCCUCCUAAAAUUUUGAGUGGAGAAGAAAUACUUGAAAAAGUUGAUCUCAUUCCUAUUUCUUGGGGAAAAAUGAAGAUAAAAUCUCUUGAACUGAUGUGAACACAAAUUGUUGGAAAAAAAAGUCCAUAUUUUUUUAGUUAGAAUAUUGGAAAUAUCUUCAUAUCUUUCACAACUUGGAUGUUAUGCACAUCGAAAAGAAUGUCUGUGAGAGUAUUAUUGGUCCUUUGUUUAACAUCCUAGGAAAAAAAAAAUGGACUUAAUGCUCAACUUGACCUAGUUGAAAUGGGUUUAAAGUCUGAACUUUUCCCAAGAGUUGACUUGAAGCGGACCUAUCUUCCCCCUGCAUGUUAUUCACUAUCCAAACAUAUAUGACAAAAAAUUAGUUUGUCAAACAUUGUCUAAUUUGAAGGUCCCUGAGGGGUAUUGCUCAAAUUUGAGAAAUCUUGUCUCCUUAGAGGAAUUGAAGUUAUUUGGUUUAAGAUCCCAUGACUACCAUGCACUUAUGCAACAACUAUUGCUAGUGGCAUUACGUUUUGUUUUGCUAAAGCAUGUGAGAUAUACUAUAUCAAGAUUGUGUAUCUUCUUCAAUCAAUUAUGUACAAAAAUGGUUGAUGUGCCAAAAUUGGAUGAAGUACACAAUGAGUUAGUGGUCACGCUGUGCUUACUUGAAAAGUAUUUUUCACCUUCAUUUUUUGAUAUUAUGCUUCAUCUAGUAGUGCAUUUGAUAAGGGAGGUGUGACUAUGUGGUUCAGCUUACUUUAGGUCGAUCUACCCAUUUGGGAGGUAUAUGAAAGUUCUUAAAGAAUUGUUCGCAAUCAUAAUUGGCCUGAAGGAUGCAUUACUAAGUGCUAUUUAGUAGAAAAAGCUAUCGAAUUUUGUACUGAAUAUUUAUUAGGGACUUAUGCAAUUGGAAUUCCAAAAGCAACAAUUAUGACAACAAAUUUCGUAGACCUAUUGAUUACUACUCAAAAAGUGCUAUUUGAUAGCUUGUAAUUAAUCCUUUUAAACACUUUUGAGUAGUAGUUAUUGCCUUUUAACCCAAUUAACAUGUUAAGGACCCUUGCAAUCAUUUCUUAUCAAAUUGUGUAAGUUUUGGUGUUUUUGUUAGUAAUUUGAUCACCAAAACAAUCCAAGAUUGAGGAGAGUUAUUUGGAAUCCAUGGCAAAGCAAUGAAGAGCUCAAAUUCAUGAAGAACCAAGCUUUGGAGCUCCAUAGCCCUUUGCCAAAGUCGUUCAAAGUAUGCAAGGAAAGAGCACUGGAGAGAGGAAAAACAGAGUGAAGAAAACAGAGGAAAGCUAGAUGUAGUCUUCUUUCACACUUUUGGAGCAAUUUCCGAAGUCCAUUUUCUACAUUCGAUAUACCAUUUCAAAGCUCAGGAAGUCAAGAAUCCAAUGCUUCAAACGGUGCAUGAUUCGGAGUUGAAACGAAGGAGUUACAGCCAUUGCAAGCAGAUCACUCCAAAGUGUUGCGAAAUCAGCCUUUUGUUGCGAGAAUUUCGCAGCCUUUUUGUACAGUGCUAUGGAAUUCCUCCUAAAGUUGCCCGAUAUAUGCCGCAAGCUGGAAGCUGAGAACAUCAAGGUGGAAGCCAACUUCGCAGCCCUACGAGAAUAACUUGUUGAUGCGAAAAUAUUUCGCAGCCCUCUUGAGUGUCUGCGAAAUCUCGCAGACACCAUUUUCACCUGCGAAAUGUUCCUGGAGCUUCCCGAUAUUUUUGCACCGACUCUUUUGGAUAUUUUUCUUCAGAUAUUUUUGUAUAAAUUUCCAUUCUUCUCCUUGUAAGCCACGAACCAUAAGAUUUCUUAGUUAGGAAGGUUGGAAAAACAUCUCUAUAUAUAUUCCUUUGCAUCCACUGUAAUCAUAUAUCAUAUAUAGAAUAUACAGAGCCUUGCUCUGUUUUUCCUUCUCUUUCAUUUUUCAUUUAUUUUUAUUUCUAGCCAACCAAACUUUGAGGAUUUUUCCACAGAGGAUGAGAGGCUAAGCUUUUUGUCUCUUGGAGUGAGGAAAGCCGGGUAAGUUUCCACAUGCAUAAUUUGGAAGUUUUGUUGUUUUAGUUUUUAAUGAAGAGAAAGUGUGACCCGUUAGUGAUUUCUAUGUUUUUAGUUAACUUAAAACGCCUUUAAAUCACCUGGGCCAACACUUGGUAAGGCAAGUGAUUUCCAACCAUGGAAAUGCACUAGUUUACCCCUUGCGAGCCUUUGGGAGGUGACUUGAAGGUAGGAUUUUCUAGAAUAGCCAACACUUGGUAAGCUUUUGGACUCCAAGGAGACAUCCAUUAGUUAUCUCUUGCGAGCUUUUGACGGGUAAUCCAAGGUUAAAGAUCACCUUGAAUGGCAAGUGCUAGGUGAGAGGUAUGAGUCAUUGUAAGAUGCAUCAGUGAGAGGGAUUUAGUGAUUGAACCCAUUAAUGGGAAGCAUCUGUACAACACCGGUUAGAGAAUUAACUAUAUGUUAAUUCUCUAAUGCGAGGAAAAUAAACAAGUGACCGGAACUCUCCAUUUUGUAUGAGGAACAAGCCUAGUGAUCUGAACUCCAAGAAACACUUUUCUUUGUAGUUAAAACCAGUUACUAUUUUUUGUUAGCUUAAAACCAAACCUUUUUCAUUUAAACAUCUUUAUGUUUCUUUUAAAGCUAACCUUGAAAUGAAAAGGCACCAAUUCAGCUUUGAAUUGAUAUCAUUUGUGAAGUGAAAACCCAUCCCAGUGAACGAUCCUAGAGCCACUAUGCUAUAGUAGCUUUGUCUUUGCUACCCUAGUUCAUGGUGUAAUAGGUUAUAAAUUUUGUUGAUUACUCCCUCAAUCAAGGAGCACCAGCUGGACACGAAUCAGCUGAGACACCAAGUGGGCNNNNNNNGUUCAUGGUGUAUUAGGUUAUAAAUUUAGUUGUUUACUCCCUCAAUCAAGGAGCACCAGCUUGACACGAAUCAGCUGAGACACCAAGUGGGCACGAAUCAAAUGGCGCCAUUUGCUUCGUCCGUAGCAGUGGCAGUGGCAAUGGCACCAUUUGAUUCGAGGUUCAAUCCCAGGCAACGGCGCCAUUUGAUUCGUCCCUAGCAGUGGCAGUGGCAAUGGCACCAUUUGAUUCGAGGUUCAAUCCCCGGCAGCGGCGCCAUUUGAUUCGUGUCCACUUGGUGUCUCAGCUGAUUCGUGUCCAGCUGGUGCUCCUUGAUUGAGGGAGUAAUCAACAAAAUUUAUAACCUAUUACACCAUGAACUAGGGUAGCAAAGACAAAGCUACUAUAGCAUAGUGGCUCUAGGAUCGUUCACUGGGAUGGGUUUUCACUUCACAAAUGAUAUCAAUUCAAAGCUGAAUUGGUGCCUUUUCAUUUCAAGGUUAGCUUUAAAAGAAAACAUAAAGAUGUUUAAAUGAAAAAGGUUUGGUUUUAAGCUAACAAAAAAUAGUAACUAAUUUUAACUACAAAGAAAAGUGUUUCUUGGAGUUCAGAUCACUAGGCUCGUUCCUCAUACAAAAUGGAGAGUUCCGGUCACUUGUUUAUUUUCCUCGCAUUAGAGAAUUAACAUAUAGUUAAUUCUCUAACCGGUGUUGUACAGAUGCUUCCCAUUAAUGGGUUCAAUCACUAAAUCCCUCUCACUGAUGCAUCUUACAAUGACUCAUACCUCUCACCUAGCACUUGCCAUUCAAGGUGAUCUUUAACCUUGGAUUACCCGUCAAAAGCUUGCAAGAGAUAACUAAUGGAUGUCUCCUUGGAGUCCAAAAGCUUACCAAGUGUUGGCUAUUCUAGAAAAUCCUACCUUCAAGUCACCUCCCAAAGGCUCGCAAGGGGUAAACUAGUGCAUUUCCAUGGUUGGAAAUCACUUGCCUUACCAAGUGUUGGCCCAGGUGAUUUAAAGGCGUUUUAAGUUAACUAAAAACAUAGAAAUCACUAACGGGUCACACUUUCUCUUCAUUAAAAACUAAAACAACAAAACUUCCAAAUUAUGCAUGUGGAAACUUACCCGGCUUUCCUCACUCCAAGAGACAAAAAGCUUAGCCUCUCAUCCUCUGUGGAAAAAUCCUCAAAGUUUGGUUGGCUAGAAAUAAAAAUAAAUGAAAAAUGAAAGAGAAGGAAAAACAGAGCAAGGCUCUGUAUAUUCUAUAUAUGAUAUAUGAUUACAGUGGAUGCAAAGGAAUAUAUAUAGAGAUGUUUUUCCAACCUUCCUAACUAAGAAAUCUUAUGGUUCGUGGCUUACAAGGAGAAGAAUGGAAAUUUAUACAAAAAUAUCUGAAGAAAAAUAUCCAAAAGAGUCGGUGCAAAAAUAUCGGGAAGCUCCAGGAACAUUUCGCAGGUGAAAAUGGUGUCUGCGAGAUUUCGCAGACACUCAAGAGGGCUGCGAAAUAUUUUUGCAUCAACAAGUUAUUCUCGUAGGGCUGCGAAGUUGGCUUCCACCUUGAUGUUCUCAGCUUCCAGCUUGUGGCAUAUAUCGGGCAACUUCAGGAGGAAUUCCAUAGCACUGUACAAAAAGGCUGCGAAAUUCUCGCAACAAAAGGCUGAUUUCGCAACACUUUGGAGUGAUCUGCUUGCAAUGGCUGUAACUCCUUCGUUUCAACUCCGAAUCAUGCACCGUUUGAAGCAUUGGAUUCUUGACUUCCUGAGCUUUGAAAUGGUAUAUCGAAUGUAGAAAAUGGACUUCGGGAAGUGCUCCAAAAGUGUGAAAGAAGACUGCAGCUAGCUUUCCUCUGUUUUCUUCACUCUGUUUUUCCUCUCUCCAGUGCUCUUUCCUUGCAUACUUUGAACGACUUUGGCAAAGGGCUAUGGAGCUCCAAAGCUUGGUUCUUCAUGAAUUUGAGCUCUUCAUUGCUUUGCCAUGGAUUCCAAAUAACUCUCCUCAAUCUUGGAUUGUUUUGGUGAUCAAAUUACUAACAAAAACACCAAAACUUACACAAUUUGAUAAGAAAUGAUUGCAAGGGUCCUUAACAUGUUAAUUGGGUUAAAAGGCAAUAACUACUACUCAAAAGUGUUUAAAAGGAUUAAUUACAAGCUAUCAAAUAGCACUUUUUGAGUAGUAAUCACUCCCCCCAACCGACAUAUUGCUAGUCCCUUAGCAAUGAAGGAGAGAAAAAUAAAAAUAAACAAUACUAUAAUUUACAACAUCAUGCUGAUCAAAAAACAAUUUUCAAGUGGCAUGAUGAUCUAACUCUCACAUGGAACAUUAAAGAAAUAAAACUCAAACUUCAACAAGAGUUAUCAAAUAACUUGUCUAAUCACAAUUCUUAAAGAGAAGGCAUUAUGCAAAUUUAAGCUUUAAAAUCAUUUCCACUUCCAAAGGAUCAAACCUUACUCUUCCACAAAAAUCUAAGUGUUAUUUAUUAGCUUCCGAAUAUAGUAUGUUGAACUAAUCUCUCCCCCUCAACCUAGUUCUUUUUCAAAGCUUAGCAAACUAAUCAACCUCCAAUAGGCUAAGAACGCACCUCUUUUUUCAUAAUUUUUUUCAUUGUAGGAGUACAAGGCUUAAAGGUAUUCUUUUCUAAAUUGUCCAUGUAACGGGGGUCCAUCGAUGACUCCCAACCAAUUAAGGUUUAGGGCAUCAAGCUUUAAGGAUCUUUCAACCACUAACUCCUCGGAUUUUACCCCGGACUUUUGAGAAUGAAUUUUUAAUACCCAAGCACCUACAGUAUGUUAAACUCCACCUAUUCACCCUUGUAACGAGCAUUGAGGUCGGUGACUCCCAACCAAUGAAGGCUUAGGGCACCAGGUUUUAAAGAUUUUCACCAUAUACCCCUCAGACCUUGCUCGGGUUUCAAGGCAAGCAAACAUUUUUUUUUUUUUUUUUUCAAAGACUCAUUGGCCUUUUAUAAGGUGUCCCAACACUAUUAAAUGAGGUCAAAGGUACCAAGUCUAAAAUUUUCCUAAGUCAAGAGGGAAAUAGUUUUUCAUCUUAUACUCGGAACCUAUUGUGCACAGUGUGUGGAUAGCUUAAAGUGGAAGAACUAAGGUUGACUUCAAUAGAAGUUUCAACAAUUCAUCAACUUUAAUAAGCAUAAUACAAAAUCUAAGUCAAGUAAAAAGACAAAAAUUCAAUUUCUCCAAUUUUAGUUUGAAAAUUUUUCCUUAAUAACCAUGGAGAGUAGAAUAAAAACUUUAAAAUUUUUUUAAAUUAAGCAAAAAACAACUAAAUUACCAAAAUAACUUAGCAUUAUUAACAAUACUUACUUCCUCAACUCUCCCCCCAACCAAGCUGAACAUUGUCCUCAAUGUGACAAAAGCGAUUGAAAAAUAGGGAGGAAGUGGUACCUCUUGAGUGACAUGGAGUCUGAGUUGUAUAGGAGAAACCACAUGUUUCAAAGAAAACAUAAGAGUUAGUGAGUAGAAGAAAUAGAAAAAUGCCAAGUUUAAACAAAAAUGAUGUCUAUGUAUGAUGUAUCAUCAGUAACACAUCCAAUUCCAAAAUAUAAGACAUCAAAACAUGGAAUUAUCUAUACUAAUAUAAUAUGUAAAGACAAAAAUAAAGAGAUGAUCAAGCAAUGGUAAGGUCCUGUGGAGCUGAUGCAUCUAUGGUGGCCUCUUGAGUGGGUUGGAUAAGGACUUUGACCUCUGUUCUGGUAGUCUCCUUAGGUGGCAUAGUCUCCUCAACUGGAGCUCUCAGUUGGUAGCUAUGGGAUUUGAUGGUUUAAGGAGGUAAGAAAUGGAGUGAGAGGCUUGGUGUGUGUGAUCCCAGGGUAUGCAGGGCUCUCCUUUUCAGAUGCAUGUUUGCAGGGCUCUAUUGGCAUUUUAGUAACUUCCCUUGGCUUUGCAAAGUGUUUUUGCAAAUCACCCUCCAUUUCACAAGUCAAUUUUGCAAUUUAAAGUCCAUUUUGAAGCUUGGAGGUGAUUUCACAGCCCUUUCGAAGCUUGGAGAUCAUUUCGCAGAAAAGUGGCAUGUUCACUGACCAUUUUUGAAGCUUGGAGCAUUUUCGCAGCCAUUCUGAAGCUUGGAGAUCAUUUUGCAGAAAAGUGGCAUUUUCGCAGACCAUUUUUGAAGCUUGGAGCAUUUUCGCAGCCAUUUCGAAGUUUGGAGAUCAUUUCACAGGCAAUGGGCAAUUCCGCAGCCCAUUUCUGAAGCUUGGAGCAUUUUCGCAGCGGGGGGUGGAUUUCACAGAGGAGGGGAAUUCUCGCAGCCCAUUUCGUAGCUUAAAAGUAAUUUCAUAGCUCAAAGGUGAUUUCGCAGCCAUAUCGCAGCUUCAAAAUGAGGGGAACUGUGCUGCAAAUGGCACUCGUGUGCCAAAAAGUGGUUUCGUAGCUGCGAAACACCCUUCCAAAUGGCGUCUCGGCUGCGAAAUUCCCGUUCAGCUUUGCGCGCUUGUCUUCAAAUGACCAUAACUUCUUUAUUUCAAAUCCAAAUCGAGUACCGUUUGAAGCUAUGGACUCCUGACUUCCCAAGAUUUGAAACGAGAUAUCAUAUGCAUAAUUUGAGCUCCAGGAAGUGCUUCAAAAAUGUGUCCAACAGUAGCAAAAUUGAGGUGCGACAUUUCCGCUCAUGGUUUGCACAGUCAUCUUCAAACAGCCAUAACUUUUCUGUUUCAAAUCCAAAUCGAGCACCAUUUGAAGAUAUGGACUCCUGACUUCCCAAGCUUUCCAACGAGAUAUUGCAUGCAUAAUUUGAACUUCGGGAAGUGAUCGAGAUGUGCCCAACAAUUGCCAAAAUGAGGGUGCGGCUGUGAAAUUGGGAUUUUUCAAUUUUGGGUUUCGCAGCCAUUUUCGCAGCUGCGAAAUGGCACUCGUGUGCCAAAACCAGCUUCGCAAUUGCGAAAUACCCUGCGGAAUGGGGCUUUGGCUGCCAAAAAAAAUGAAUUUUUUUUUUUUUUUUUUUUUUGGUUUCGCAGCCAUUUUCGCAGCUGCGAAAUGAGGGUUACUGUGCUGCGAAAUGGCACUCGUGUGCCAAAAGUUGGCUUCGCAGCUGCCAAACACCCUUCCAAAUGGAGCUUUCCCUACGAAAUGGAGGAUUUCAUGCUUUGGUGGUUCGCAGCCGCUUUCGCAGCUGCGAAAUGGGGGCUCCUGUGCUGCGAAGUGGCACUCAUAUGCCAAAAUUGGUUUUGCAGCUGCCAAAAUUUUCGCAAAGAGGGCUAUUGGGUUGCGAACUGGUUUCGCAGCAAAAUUUCGAUUUCGUAGAGGCUGCGAUAUCUCGCAGACCCCUGUUUUUCCCCUAUUUCUCCCCUGUUUUCGCUCCGUUUGACUCCGAUUUUGCUCCGAUUUUUUUCCUUCAAUUUCUUUGCAAUUCCUCUUGAUUUUGAUCAUCCAAAAACCUAUAUUACAUCAAAACAAACUAGAAUUAAAACAUUUAAAUCAAAAUUAAAGCAUUGAAAUCAAAAUUAAAACAAGUAAAAAAAAAACAAAACAAAAAGAUAUGGACUAGCUAGUCUUUAAAAAGACUAAGUCCAUCAAAAAAUUUGCUCCUGAUUUAGCUUGCCCGGAUCCCAUAUGAAGCUUGCAUCUCUCACUUGGGGCUUUCUCUGUAUGAUUUUCUCAUACAAAGCUUGGAGAAAAGUUAGAGGCACGUGUUUCAUCAUCAAUUCUUCCUUGAUGACUAUCCUCUGUGGUUCUUCAUCUAUAUAGUCAUCUUUCUCUGUACUUUUCCCCUUUUUCUUUCCUUUGAUUUCCUCCCUCUUUUCUUUCUCUGUUUCACUAUCUACCUUAUGCUCUAGCUUGCAUGUGGGCAGAUCAACCUCUUUACCACUCCUCAGAGUGAUCACUUCUUCAAUUUCCUUCACCAUUGAAGAUUCUCCCUCUUUAGUCUCCAUUUCAUGGAUACUCAUGGAAUUUUGAUAAGGUUGAGAAGGAGAGUUUUCUUUCUCUUGCAUUGUUUUGAGGUUGGCAAACCUUGAGAUUGAAUCUUGGAGAAUAUCUAACUUCUGAGCCAUAUCAUUUUGCAUUACAUCCAUCCUUUAUUCAAAGUACUCUCCAUUCUGUCAAUUCUUUGAUUGAUUUGAGCAUUGAUGGCUUCUUGCUUUCCAAUAAAAUCUCCCACGACCUUGCAAAGAUUCACCAUAGCUUGUUCAAGGAUUGAGGCUUGCUGUGGUGCUUGAGCAGGUUGCUGAUACUGAGGUGGCUGUGGUUUCCAAGAGAAAUUUGGAUGGUCCCUCCAAUUGGAAUUGUGGGUGUUGCAAUCACCAAACAUUUCCCUCUCGGAUGGAAUGGUAGGACACUCAUCCACCAAGUGCUCAUAUGAUCGACAAAUGGCACAAGGCAUAGCUUGCAAUGGUGUUUAAAAGAUGGUUUGCACUUCUUGCAUCUGGUUCAUUUCUAGCUCAUCCAAUCUCCUUUCCAUAGCUGCAAUCUCUGCCUUCAUGUCCAUGCCGUCAUUCAAAAUAUACAUCUCACCCUUAGCUUUAGGUUGAGACGUCAUUCUUCCCAUAUCUCUAGCAUUUGGUUCAUCCCAUCCUCUUGAAAAUUCAGCCACAUAACUCAUGAAGUUCAUGGCUUCCUCUGCUAUGUGGUUCAAUAUGGCAUGCACAACUAGCAAUUUGUGAUUUAAAAACAGAGAACACAAAAGAAAACAAAAGAAAAACAAUUCAAAGAAAGAAAAUUAAGGUAAACUAAAGACUAAAUAAAAGGUAUACUAAAAUAUGAACAACAAAGAAAUAAAAAGGGUUAGUGAAAGGAAAAGAAAAGUCACCAAACUUGUGAUGAAGAUCACAAGUACUCUAGAAAGGUGCAUUGUAAAGUGGCACCAUCCCCGGCAACAGCGCCAUUUGAUUCGUGCCCACUUGGUGUCUCAGCUGAUUCGUGUCCAGCUGGUGCUCCUUGAUUGAGGGAGUAAUCAACAAAAUUUAUAACCUAUUACACCAUGAACUAGGGUAGCAAAGACAAAGCUACUAUAGCAUAGUGGCUCUAGGAUCGUUCACUGGGAUGGGUUUUCACUUCACAAAUGAUAUCAAUUCAAAGCUGAAUUGGUGCCUUUUCAUUUCAAGGUUAGCUUUAAAAGAAAACAUAAAGAUGUUUAAAUGAAAAAGGUUUGGUUUUAAGCUAACAAAAAAUAGUAACUAAUUUUAACUACAAAGAAAAGUGUUUCUUGGAGUUCAGAUCACUAGGCUCGUUCCUCAUACAAAAUGGAGAGUUCCGGUCACUUGUUUAUUUUCCUCGCAUUAGAGAAUUAACAUAUAGUUAAUUCUCUAACCGGUGUUGUACAGAUGCUUCCCAUUAAUGGGUUCAAUCACUAAAUCCCUCUCACUGAUGCAUCUUACAAUGACUCAUACCUCUCACCUAGCACUUGCCAUUCAAGGUGAUCUUUAACCUUGGAUUACCCGUCAAAAGCUUGCAAGAGAUAACUAAUGGAUGUCUCCUUGGAGUCCAAAAGCUUACCAAGUGUUGGCUAUUCUAGAAAAUCCUACCUUCAAGUCACCUCCCAAAGGCUCGCAAGGGGUAAACUAGUGCAUUUCCAUGGUUGGAAAUCACUUGCCUUACCAAGUGUUGGCCCAGGUGAUUUAAAGGCGUUUUAAGUUAACUAAAAACAUAGAAAUCACUAACGGGUCACACUUUCUCUUCAUUAAAAACUAAAACAACAAAACUUCCAAAUUAUGCAUGUGGAAACUUACCCGGCUUUCCUCACUCCAAGAGACAAAAAGCUUAGCCUCUCAUCCUCUGUGGAAAAAUCCUCAAAGUUUGGUUGGCUAGAAAUAAAAAUAAAUGAAAAAUGAAAGAGAAGGAAAAACAGAGCAAGACUCUGUAUAUUCUAUAUAUGAUAUAUGAUUACAGUGGAUGCAAAGGAAUUUAUAUAGAGAUGUUUUUCCAACCUUCCUAACUAAGAAAUCUUAUGGUUCGUGGCUUACAAGGAGAAGAAUGGAAAUUUAUACAAAAAUAUCUGAAGAAAAAUAUCCAAAAGAGUCGGUGCAAAAAUAUCGGGAAGCUCCAGGAACAUUUCGCAGGUGAAAAUGGUGUCUGCGAGAUUUCGCAGACACUCAAGAGGGCUGCGAAAUAUUUUCGCAUCAACAAGUUAUUCUCGUAGGGCUGUGAAGUUGGCUUCCACCUUGAUGUUCUCAGCUUCCAGCUUGCGGCAUAUAUCGGGCAACUUCAGGAGGAAUUCCAUAGCACUGUACAAAAAGGCUGUGAAAUUCUCGCAACAAAAGGCUGAUUUCGCAACACUUUGGAGUGAUCUGCUUGCAAUGGCUGUAACUCCUUCGUUUCAACUCCGAAUCACGCACCGUUUGAAGCAUUGGAUUCUUGACUUCCUGAUCUUUGAAAUGGUAUAUAGAAUGUAGAAAAUGGACUUCGGUAAGUUCUCCAAAAGUGUGAAAGAAGACUGCAGCUAGCUUUCCUCUGUUUUCUUCACUCUGUUUUUCCUCUCUCCAGUGCUCUUUCCUUGCAUACUUUGAACGACUUUGGCAAAGGGCUAUGGAGCUCCAAAGCUUGGUUCUUCAUGAAUUUGAGCUCUUCAUUGCUUUGCCAUGGAUUCCAAAUAACUCUCCUCAAUCUUGGAUUGUUUUGGUGAUCAAAUUACUAACAAAAACACCAAAACUUACACAAUUUGAUUAGAAAUGAUUGCAAGGGUCCUUAACAAGUUAAUUGGGUUAAAAGGCAAUAACUACUACUCAAAAGUGUUUAAAAGGAUUAAUUACAAGCUAUCAAAUAGCACUUUUUGAGUAGUAAUCACCUAUAAUUAGUGGUCGUUCUACCAUCAUUGUUCAUAAAUCGUGGUUACAAGCACAUCAUUAUCUAUUAGAGAAUACAACUAUCGUCCAACCAUACACUGAGUAAGAAAAACAUACCUUUAUCUUUUUAUAAUUUCAUAACAUAAUGAUGAAAUCCUAAGUUUGCAUUCCUUGUCUUUAACGUCAUAGGGAACACAUGAAUUGGUUGAGGUCUCAAUACCCUCGACAAUCUAAUAGACAAAUUUGGUUGCAAGAAGAACAUAUGAGUUGUUUUACAUAUUGGCUUAAAGAAACGGUAAUCUCUUAGUUUUUAGAAAAAUUUUCAAUAUGUUGAAAACAUCACAAGUUUUCAAUAUGUUUUGAUUAUACAUAGGUUGAAGAGGCUAUCCAUAAUGGGCAAGAUAUUCCCGACACACUUAGGUGGUUAGCACAUGGCCCUACUCUCCAGGUAGUCAAAUAUCCUAGAUAUAUCGUUAAUGAGUGUCGUUACCAUAUUAAGAAACGCGAUAUGACAUGCAUCACCCAAAAUAGUGGUGUUAGCAUUUUAGCAAGGACUAUGCAAAUUGCCAAUUCUAAGGAUAAGAACCUAGUUUGUGGUGAACUUUGCUUUUAUGGGGUCAUUAAUGAGAUAUGAAAUCUUGAUUACAACAUGUUCACAAUUCUAAUUUUCAAGUGUGAUUAGGUUGACAACAAGAAUGGUAUAAAAGUUGAUGAACUUAGGUUCACAUUAGUUGACUUCUCCAAAAUAGGUCACAAAUUGGAUCCAUUUAUUUUAGCAUCACAAGCCAAGCAAAUCUUCUAUGUUGAAGAUCAACUUGAUCCUAAAUGGUCAAUAGUUCUCUCAAUUCCUCCAAAAGAUUUCAAGAACAUAGAAGGACUAGAUGACUUCACCAAUAAUUGCAUGGAACAUCACCCCUUUAUAAGUUCAAUGCCAGAAUUUGAAUCAUUUGAUGCUAUGGAUGAAUCAUAGGCAAUACACAUGAGAGAAAACUGUGAGGGCAUAUGGAUUGAAAAUAAUUAAAUAACAUAUUGUACCCUUGAAUGAGAUAUAAUAAGGCAUUUCACUUAUUAGUUUUCAUGAGUUGCACAUUAACUUAGCUUCUAUAUAUUGCUCAUGAUAUAUCUAUAUAUAUUAAUCAUCCUAAAUUUCUUUCAUGCAUCAUAAACAUAUGUUAUUCAAAGGUACCACUUCAAUCUUCAUUCAACUAUCUUUUUGUUGUCCAUAGAACUAGAUUUAUAUUAUUUUUUAUUAUCAUGUUUUGAUUUUAUGCUCACAUAACUUGAAACUCUCAUUCCUAAAUUUCUUUUUCAUUAAAACUAUAAAUCAUAAUUGAAACUAUGCACUAAUUUAUUUUAUUAUUAUCCUCACAAAUAAAUUCUUCAUUAUUGAUAAGAAAUCAAAAAACAAGACAAACUUUGAAAGAAAAUUUCAAAAAAUAUAUUUGUGAAUGACCAAUUUAAUUAUAGAAAAUAUAUGCAAGGCUAUACUAAUCUUGCUUUUGAGUCAUUUUACAGGUUUGUUGGUGAAGUACUAGUUUGCACAUUUACUUGAUAUCUUCCACACAAAUAUGGAUCUAGAAGAAGGGGAAAUGCCAAAAAUAAAGCAUAGAGGUAGUGCAUUGAAACCAAAGAUUGCAAAAAAUCGAAGUAAAGGGAUAAAGCUCAAGAUUGAAUACAAUAGCCUUGGUAGUCACAUUGAGGAAAAUUCAGUUAAACUAAGUAGUUAUCUUAGUACAAUAACUAGUACCCAUGUGCCAAUAAUUAUUGAGAGUUGGAGGAAAGUCCCUAAAGAGACUAAGGAGAAGUUGUGGGAUUUGAUCACGGUAAGCCUAUCUAUAGCUUUAAUAUAUAAUUAUUGUAUACAUUCAUUAACAUGAGCUAACAUGGGUUGCUAUUUUGUAGACAAGCUUUAAUGUGAAUAAAAAAUCCAAGAGGAAUUGUUUCAUACUAAUGGGCAUCAGGUUUCGAACCUUUAAGUAUAAGUUGACAAAGAAAUAUAUAUUGUCUUUCAAGAAUGACCAAAAAAGCUGAAAAAGUCACCUCCUAUUUGCCCAUUCAUACAAGAGGAUCAUUGGAGACAGUUUGUUAAAGAUAGACUUUUUGAACAUUUUAACGUUAAGCAUUAUUUUUAUUACAUCUUCAAUUUUCACAUUUACAUAGUUUCAUUAUGUACUAAUUUUGUGUCUAUAUUUUGUAGGAAUAUCGCAAAGUUCAAAAAUCAAGAAGAGAUAAACACAUUUACAAUCAUUAUCUUGGAAGAAAAUGAUAUGCACGUUUUGAGCAAGAUAUAGUAAGUUAUCAAUAUCCAUAAAAAAAAUGGAGUAUAUAUUUUGUUUAUAGGAAAAUGAUUCUAGUUUUUAAAUAUCAUUUAUUAACUUGAUCAUGUUGAACUAAUGAGUUUUAUUGUUAAAAAUUUUAUAGCUACAAGCAGAAGGGGCUAUUGGUAGGGUUGAUAGAAGUGUUUAUGAAAGAAAACACGUGAGAAGAAAGGAAAGUUUAAUAAGAUUACAAAGCUAAUGAUUAACUAAGUUAGCAUAUUUAUCUCUUUUAGAGCCUAUAAUGUUAGUAUGUCUAUGUGAUUAUGGUUUAGGAUGAUAUCGUUAGGUGUUAAUAGGGAAGAGGCUUAAUGCUAUCAUUUUUAUGAGUAGUCAUGUUCUAUUAGUGCAAAUAUAGUAGCCUAAUUUGAAAAUUAAUUUUGAAACAAUAUACAUUAAUUUAUCUAUUAUCAUUUUUAUUAAAACAAUUCAUUUUCUAGCUACCUUGAAUUGGUCCUCUUGAAUUGGUUGUCUUUGAUUGAUAUGUUAAUCAUCUUCAUCAAAUUAUUACUAAUAUAUGUUUUGUUGUAGGAUGAAUUACUAGAAAAGGCAAGGAGACUGGACUACCUCCACCUGGUCCAAAUGACAUAUUAUGUCAGGCAUUGGGUAAGCUUGAUCAUCUAGGACGUGUGGUAGGUCAAGACCACUUGGUUAGGCCGAACUCAUACUUUCAUCAACCAUUUGAUGACAUGAAAAAAAAUAAUCAAAGAAGAAAUAUGGGAAAUGGUGUGAAAGGGGAUGCAAAAUGCUGUAACAAGACAAACUAUGUCUCCUCCCACACCCCAUUCUGAUAUAGGUAGUAAUAACAUGAGACAACAACUUGUUUUACAACUAGUUGUAGCAAAAAAACCAAUGUUUAAAAUGAUGGAAGAGCCCUAACCACCAGAACCACCACUGAAACGUAAGGUAUACAUUUACUUACUAAUAAUACAAGAUUAAUAUAAGUGAUAUAUAGCCUAUGUAAAUGAUAUUAUUUGUUGUAUUAAAGGUGAUUAAAUAUAAAUUAGCAGUGGAAUGAAAAUGAAAUGUUGUUGCAACCAGUACAUUAAUAGAAGAAAAUUGAUCAAAUGGGUUGGUCGUAAUAAAUGUUGCACACAAGCUAGAUGCUAGACUCCCAUUUCCAAAUCCAUAUGAGAUUAUCAAUGUUGGGGAUUCUAUUGGCCUUAAGCUUGACUGGCCAACAAGCCUUGUCAUACUUGAAACUAAACAUCCUCGGGUAUGUCAUUUUAUACUUGUAGUAAAUUUGAUUGUAACUUGGUAUUUUAUUGUUUAGGAGUAUAUAUUACUAACAUUCCUUCAUUUUUCAUAAGUGUUGGAUAAAGGAAAGAAGUAGAUAGUGAAUGCACCAAUUAUUCGAAAAUCUAAGCCUCAAAAUUAUUCGGUCAUUAAAAAUUUUCAGAAAUUUAUGGAUGGUUGUCUUAGUAAUGAGAAGACAUACCCAAUACAACUCCCCAUUUCACUAUUUGGUGUCGAAUUCCGAACAUAUAUAUCUAGAGAGGAUUGUGAAUACAUUAUUUCAUCUUCAGAGGUGUCAUCAAAAUGCAUCUCCUUCCACUUAUGGUGUGCACCUUUUAUUUUCAUUUGUUUUUAUUUUUUUAAUAUGAGUUGCCCAUGUUGAACAAGAUUGGAUAUGACUAAUGAUAAUUUUCUUUUGGUGUUUUGAUAAUAUAAUAGGUACAUGCAUGAUCAACUACAUAUUGCCAAAAAGGAAUCACAAUUUAUAUUUGUUAAUCCUUUUACAAUAUCAUGAGCAGGCUUUAGUAAUCCUCAAACAGAGAAAAGAACACAAUUGUUGUCAAAACACUUAAUAGAGUGCCAAGAUGUCGGAUAUGUUUUCAUGCCCUACAACCCCGAGUAAGUGACGAAUAUUAUACUUUAAUUUGAGGUUUUAUGAUUGAUUUAUAUUUAUAAUUAGAUGCUACUUUUGUUUUUAAUGUUUUAGCUUUCAUUGGGUCUUGGUAGUGAUUGAGCCAAGGAAAAUGAUAGUCCACUAUCUUGACCCUAUGCAUCACAAACCAUGUGAGGACUUAAAGGAUAUCGUAAACAUGUAAGUUCUUCCUAUUAUUUUUCAUAGUAUUAUUUUAAAAAAAAUUACAUUCACCUCAAACACAUUUUUUAUUGUUAUUUCUAUAUAUUAAAACAUAUAAUAUUUACCUAUUUUAAAAUUGUACCCAUUGAACUUAUUUACAUAGGGCUCUUUAAAUAUAUGCAAAGAAAAUAUCUAAGAGAGAGCCAUCUUGGCAACUAGUGCAAGUAACAUCCAAAAAUUUUCUUUACACAUUUAGCUUAUGCAUUUGCACCAUUUAUAUAUAUGAGUACUAAUGUUAUUUUAUAACUGAUCGAUUAGUGUCCAAGACAAGAAGGAGGGUUCAAAUGUGACUACUUUGUUAUGAGAUUCAUUAAAGAGAUAAUUUUUUAUCCUACAAUGAUUGCUUCAAAGGUAUUACUUAUUUAAUGACUUGUACAUAUUUUUAGGCUUCCAAAUGUUAUGCAUUUUAAUGUUAUUUUCUUAUUUGAUUUCAGUUUGGUGAUAAAAAAAACAUAUUAUCAAGUAGAAUUCAAUGAAAUUAGAGGAGAAUUGACUACUUUUGUGCUACAACUAAUCAUGAAUCAUGUUGAUGCAUCAUGAUCACCAUGCAUGGUGAGUCCCUUAGCUACUACAUGAAUUUUUCCAUAGAUUAUAGUAUUGCUUUUCUUUGAACAAUGUUUUUAUUUGAAAAAAAGAAAAAAAAAAGUUCUUAGAUUUGUUCAUUUAUGAUAACAUCGAUCCAUAUUUAUUUUCUUCAAUNNNNNNNNNNNNNNNNNNNNNNNNNNNNNNNNNNNNNNNNNNNNNNNNNNNNNNNNNNNNNNNNNNNNNNNNNNNNNNNNNNNNNNNNNNNNNNNNNNNNGGUAUACACUCUUAGGAGGGUGGAAUAGAGAAUAAAAAGAACAAAGAAGGCAACAAGAUUUUGGGUUUUUAAAUGCAGCUCGUAUGUCAUACAUUGUAGGACAUAAACGUUACUUUAAUUGGUAGUGAGAAUUUUAGAUUUUUAGAUGCUACUUUUAUGUCAUUUUAUAGUUAGUCGGUUUUAUGCUUAUGAAAUGAAGGUAUACAUGAAUCUUGGGAUGCUUAACAUUACUAGAUCAUGUUUUGGUAUGUAUUCACUCUUCUUUUUUAGUUUUGGUGGGUUUGAUAUAUUGGAUGUACUAUCUUUUUGUGAACAUUUGAUAUACAAAUAUUAUUAGAUGAUCAAUGUAUUACGAGUUAUUCCAUAAACAUUACUGAAAAAUGAGUUAAAUGUAAUAUGAUUGUUAUAUUUAUGGACAAAAUAUACACAGGUUAAUCCUAUUUGUUAAUUCAUAAGCAUUACAAAAAUCUACAACUAAAAGCAAUCAUAUCUUCCAUGAUAAUUUACAAUGAUGUGACACCAUAACUCAAAGGUGAUGCAUUUAAUGUGACAUCAUAACUCAAAGAUCAUGCAUUUAAUGCGACAUCCUAUCAUCACUAGAAAUAUAUGAUGUCACUUUCGAAUGCGUUACCAUUUAUCUACUUUGGUGUCACUUACAAAUACGUCACCAAUUGGUACCCUCUAUGGUGUCAGUGGAGAAGGUGACACUAUGUUGUAGUGACACCCUAUGUUUAUGGUGACUCGUUAUAAAUGUCACCAUAUAUCUUUUUUCUUGUAGUGCAAAUUACUUAUCUUACUAUGCAUUGGGCUUUGAUAUUAGCCAGAGACAGUAGUGGCUCCUAAUUUUUAUCCUUAACUGAAAUGAAAACGUUAAGCAGGUCCCCAGCCUCUUUUUCGCCAUUCUUCCACUAUUCUACUAUUUGGUCCAUGAUUGGAUCAUGGUACUUGUUAAUGGUGUUCAUAGCCUCCCAUAUAGUCUUUUCAUGGCCAUCUAAAUUCAGCACUCUCUGCCAUGGGAAGUAAUCAGAUAAAGAGAAUACAUAUAGAUGAGCAAGUAUAGUAAAGAAGGAUUCAACAUGUUGCUCCACUUCAACUCUAGGGCCUCCAUCUUUCUUUCGUUCGCCAAAGUAUCUUGUGUUGAGGAUCAUCUUUCAGAUGACAUUCCCGUUGUAUUGACGGACUUUAUUUCUGUCACACCCCAAAUACUAGGCAACCCAGAACUUGACUCGUGGCCCUAGGUCAAAGGUUUGACCCUAAGAGUUACUCUUAUCCAUGUUGGCAAUCAAUCAAAACACCCUAGAUUUUUUUUCUUUUCAAUAAAGCGUUUAAUCCUAAAUAAAUUUAUUAAGCUAAGAUUUACUAUAACAUAUCAUUUUAUUUUUCCAAAACUAACCAUCACAUUAUCUCCUGUUCACAAGUAUUAAAAAAAUAAAAUUCCACCAAUCAUCUUCCUACCCAAAAGCUCAAAUAUUUACAAUAAUCUCUAAGUCAAAAAGAAUAUUUCCAAAAAUGUUUUACAAACUAAUAAAAUAUAAUUUAACUUAAAAAGGUCCAUAUAACUCAAAUUAGUAGAUGUCAAAAAGGUAAUUAAAAAAAAACAACAACCAUUAUUAUGGUUUUUUUGCUUUUUAGAACACUUCAUGAUCUUCUUAUGGUCCCUUAGAAACUAUAUCUGCAUCUAAAAAUUUUAGAAAAUAAAGGGAUGCACAUUUCCACGUUACUCUUUAGACCUAGACGAGUUAGAAAUUCUAGGUCAAUAAAACACAACCAUAUGCCAAAAUAUAAUAUUACAUUUACAUUAUACACACUAAAAGAAACCUCAACCAUACAAAUUUAAAUCAAUCAAAAUUAUCAUUUUCCUUAUUUAAUCAUAUGUUUAGCAUAUCAAUAAUUUUAAAUUUACAAAAUAAAUAAGUCACUUUAGUCUUGAAUAAUAUAUUCAAACAUACACUUGAUAAAUAAUACAAAUCAUUUUUCCAAAUGCAACCAUGAUACAAAUGCUUACACACAAUCGCGCAAUGCAAUAUCGUUCUCGGGCUUUCACCGAAGGAUAUGCAUUUAUACCCAAAUACACUCCCCAUUCGGAGUCUUCCUGGGAUAAACUUUUGAGUAUUUCACCCUAAGGAUCUCACUCCCUUCUUAACUCACCAUCUCUAGGGUCAUUCAAUUUCUUAUUUUUCUUUUCUUUUCAUUUUUGCCAUUUUUGGGGUCUUUUCAUUCUCAUUUCCAUUUCACACAACCAUUUCUUUAAUUUUUCUUUUUCUUCACACAAUCAUGAUGCAUAUGAAAUGCAAUUGAAUCAUAUUUUAACAUACAUAAUUUUCCAAGACAUAAUUUUAUUUACUCCCAUUAUGUUUCAUAAUUUCCAAUAAUCCACACAACGAUUUUUCUUCACUUUAAUCGUCACAAACAUAAAAGAAAAUUCACAAUUAAUUUGUAUAGCAUCAAAACAUAGUUUUAAACAUUGACCACAUAAAUUCUAUUUAUUCCCGACAUGCUUAAUAAUUUCCAAAUCCAAUAUAACCAUUUUUUUUCAAUUAAAUAAUCACACAUAUCCAAGAAAAUUCUCGCUAAUACAAAUAUCAACGAAAAUGUAAUUUAUGUCAUAAUUUAUUUGUCUCCAAUAAUUUCAAAAAUUUUGACACCCAUAUGACAAAUUUCCACAAUUAAGCCACCCCAACAUUUGGGAAAAAUUUUCCAAUAAUUCAAAUAUCAACAAAAACCCAAUUUAUAUCAUCAUUUUAUUUAUUUUUAAAAGCAUUAAUAAUUUUAAUAAUCAAUACAACACUUUUCCACAAUUAAGCCACCACAACAUUCUGGGAAAAUUUUCCAAUAAUUCAAAUAUUAACAAAACACAAUUAUACCUUAGUUUUUCUUAUCUCCAACAACAUCAAUAAUUCUUAGUACUCAAUACAACUAUUUUUAUUUUUUCAUAUUUAAUCUUCUCAAACAUUACCAAAAUUCCAAGAAAAAUCUAUAAAUCACGAAAUAAAAUUAUUCACAAUAAUAAUCACACUUCAAAUACUACAAAUAACAUCUAUUAUAUUUCAACAACACAAUAUAUAAAUUUUUUUGAAAGAAAAUAUUAAAUCAAAGUUUUAGGGUUAAAUCACCCUACCUUAAAUUUGAAAAUUUUAACCAUUAAAACUAAAACGGGACACCGUAGGAGUGUUCCUUGCAUUGAAUAGAAUAUCCUUCCAAAAUUUCAUGCGAAAUGGACGUCAUUUGGUAGGUCCACCAGCAUCCUAAAGCUGGCGACCCAUUUUUCCCACUCUUUGCUGAUGACUCCCCUACAUCUCUCACUCGAUUUCCUUUCUUCAUUUUCUUUUCUUCUUCUUCUUUUAAACUCCCACGCCAAUUUCACUUUAUAUAUAUAUAUAUAUAUAUAUAUAUAUUAUUAAAACAAAUCCUAAAAUACCACGCACAUCCAUUUCUCAAUAAAUUAAAACCAUUAUUCUUAAAUUCAUCUUCCGUAAUUAUGAAUUAUACCAAACUUAUGAUUUUCCAUUUCACGAAAAAUACCACCGUAUUCGUAAUUUAAUUUACUACAAGUCUACUCUUCAAAAAGUAUAAUUUGAUUAUAAUUACAUGAAACAUUGUUUUUUUACUCUAAAAUUCAUUUAAAACAUGAUAUAAUUAACUAUUAAAAAAAUUUAAUUCCAUAAAAUAUUAAAAACAUAAAAUAAUUUUUUGGCAAUCAAGAAGUUGAAAUUUGUAAUAACCUUUAACCUGUUAAUUUUACCUAUAUUUAUUUACCAACAAAAAUUUAAAUAAUAUUCUAAAAUUUAAUUCCAUAAAUUAAUUAGUCAUUCAAUUUAUAAAAAUCAAAUUCUCUACCCUUUGGUAUAACUUUUAUUUAAUUUACUUCAUUUUUCAAAUUAUUCAAUCGCAUCAAAAUUUCAAAAGUUAAAUUCACUAAAUUCACAUUUAAUUAAUUUAUCCUUUUGUAUUUUUUUUUUCUAAAUUCGCAUAUCAUAAUUUAAUCUUAAUUUAAUUUUGAUUCAAUUUUGUUUUAUGUUUUCUAAUUUUAUGAGGUUUAAUUUCAAUUAUAAAAAUUAAAUUCAAUUUCUUUUUAAUUAUCCAUUAUCACAAUUUGAUAUAAUAUAAUUUUUUAUCAAGUUUUUCUUACUACGAUUUUUCUUAUAAUUAUCCAAUGAUAAUUAAAUUAAUUCUCAUAACAUAUUUAAUAUUCAAAUUUUAAAAACUUAAUCUCAAUUAUUUGAUGGUUAAUUUUUUUCUCAAAAUCUAAAUUUAAUUUAUGAAAUUCUCACUUCUUACAUCUGACGUGGCAAAAUUUUCAAACUAUUGACUUUUGACCAACUUUUCCUAAAUUUAUCCUAAUUAAAUACUAACACAUGGAUUUUCACCACUCUUUUUGACCUUUUGACCCACAAAUUUAUGAAAGACUUUAUGCUUGGAGAAUCUACAAAAACCUGGGUAUUACAAUUUCUCAGGUUGAUAACUGUCGUGGUUACGAAGCCACCACUUGAAUCCUCAGUCGCCAUUGUAAUGGGCCUGGAUGCAAAUAGUACAUCAUGUUUCUUCAAAAGUUCUCUGCUAAUCUCUGGGAAAGUCGUAGGGACGAAAUGAAAUAUUUCCCAAUUGAAUACAUGCAAUUUUAGUGUUCAUUUCUUUCAUAAAGCCAAUGUAUCCACCAGAAAGUUGGCUUUUUGUUGAGUAAAUGAGGUAGAUAUUGCACUAGUGGCCAUGGAGCUAAUCCUGGAGGAAGUUGUAUCGGCUUGCUUUUGGUACUUGUUUUGGAAUUUAAUUUAGUGAAGAUGAGAAAGAUUGAUGUGAUGAAAAGCAAUAAGAGGAAGUUGAGAUGAGACAACACAUCGUCUGUGGUAGUAGAAGAAAACAAGGUUGAGUUACUGCUACUACUCUCUGCAACAAAACCAUUUACACGUCUUUUAUAGCAAAACCAUGUUUGUCCUAUCUUGGGUCUGGAUGCACAUUUUUAAUAUUGGGGAUCAUGCAACCAAAUGUCACACACAAAGAGAGAGAAAAAAAUACGUUUUUUAGAACUUGAAAAGGUAAAAUGGGACAAAAAAUAUUAUCCAUUCUUGAACUCUAAAAGUAAAGUUAUAAAAAGCUUAGGUGGUGUUUGUUUUUUUACUUAAUUCUAAAUAGAACCUUAAUGCUUAAUAGUGUUAAAUAUUAGGUUGUUUGUUUUUGUAGUAUUUUAUUUCUAUUAAGUAUUAAAAAGUAAAAAAACCAAUAUGUUAUUUUUUCUAUUAAGAAAAAGUUACAUAUUUUGACUUUUUCUAUUUAGUAAAAAGUUUAUAAUAAGUCAUGAAAAAGUAGAAAAACAAACAACUUAAAUUUUAAAACUAAAUUGCUUUCAGCAAAAAGCCAAAAAAACAAACACCACCUUAGUUUUUUUUUUUUUUUUUUUUUGUUAUGUAUGAUUACAUGAUUUCCCCCUUUUAAGAUUUUAUCUCAUAAAAUUUUUUUUCUAGAAGGUUCAAAUAAGUUUGAUGAAUAUUGUUUAUUUUAGUAAUUUUAAUUUUGUGGGGUACUUAAAACAUUAGAAGUUCACAAAAAGCAACAUUUAUCAGCUACCUAUCUAAAAAGCUUGGCCUAAUCAUUGAAAUCCAAAAUAUAAAGUGACAACACACUUUUUAAAGCAAUUUUCAAAAUAGUUUUCAAAAACACAUUUAUUUAUGAUAUUUUUAAAAUAAAAAUCUCAAAAAUAACUUGUUUAUAUAGCGUUUUAUUAGACAAAUACUUGAUCUUUAUAAGAUCACCCUAAUUAUAGAUUUAUGAACAUGUAACACAACAAUUAUCUAUAUAUAUACUUAGAAUUAUUAUAUUUUAAGUUUUUAACUACAUAGGACAUCGUGAGUUUUUCCACCAUUUAUCUUAUAAAAAGUUUAUUUAAAUAUGAUAAAGGAUAUAUUAUCUCAUUUCUUAUUAUAUCUGAUGCUAUAUAUAUAUAUAUAUAUGUAACAGAUCAAAUACAAUUUAAAGAUUUUAAUUAACCAUCUAUUAGCAACAAAGCAAUCUCUUAAUCUCAUUCAUAAUAUUAGGAUAAUUUAGUAUUUCCUUUUAUAAAACACUAGCAUAUAAAUCAACACAAAUCAUAUUAAGGGUGUAUUUGGUGUUGAUUUUAGGAAGCGUUUUUAGUAUUUCUAAUACUUGAAAGAUAAAAAUUUUCAAGUUUUAGAAAGAUCAAAAGCGCUUUUUAGAAUGACUAUCAAAUACAUGCUAAAUAUUACUUUUGGAUACUUAUAUUUUUAAAUAACUCUUAAAACUUUUAAGGCAAGUCUCUACUAUUUAUAUAAAUCCCCUAUUAUUUUUAAUUUUUAGAAACAAAAAAUAAAGAAUAGAAACUCCAUUUAAACAUCACCUUAUUAUUUCCUAUUAUAAAAUAACACAAAUCAAAUGAAUUAUUUAAAAAUAAAUAAAUAUAAAAUCAAAGUUGAAGAGAAAAAACUCUUGUGCAUUAAAAAAACAUCAAAAUAAAUAAAUAAAUAAAACAUCAUCAAAUAAAUGUAAAAAUAAAUUAAUGUUAUGGAAAAAUGAGAAUAGGCAACAAGAAAAUAAGAACACAGAUUUACAUGAAAAAUGCUAGACGGGAAAAACCAUGGAUAGAGGAGAAGAAAAUCCACUAUAUUAAAAAUUUGGUAUAAAAUGUGAGAGAAUCAAGCGACUAUUGUAUAGGCAUAAUCACUAUGACCCUAAAUCCUAUACAUCAUCGCAUAUGUAUGGUGUAUGCGAUAAUAUUUGUGAUAAUAAAAAUAUUGUCACAUAAAAUAACUAUGGGAUGUAAUAUUUGUAAUAAUAUUCUUUACAAAAAAAUAUUUUUUCUUUGCUUUAUUCACUUUGAUCACAACUUGAAAUAAGACAAUAAAAAUAUUUUCUUAAUUUUUGAAAAUUAAUUGAGGACUUAGAGCUACUUGUUACUGAGUGAAUUUGCUGAAUGGUGAAGAAUGCGUGUAUAGUAGUUUUGCAAUUUUUCAAACUUGUAGACAUAUUUUGUGAAGUCUUUUUCUCUUUGUAAAGCCCCAUUUUCUAUGUGAAGUUAUUUUUUCAAUAUUCUCUUUGGAAGGAAUUUACCAUUAGUUAUAUAGGUAAGAUUAAGGAAUUAAAUUUGGAAUUCUUAAGAUUUGAUUACUUAAUUCAAAGAAUUUGGUUCAAGGGAAAUUUGCCAACAAAAUAAUAUUUAAUUUUAAUUCUAUGAUGACUUUAAUUAUUUGAUAUAAUUUUAUUUUGAAAGACUUGAUGUGGGGGACUCAUCACUUAUUGAGUCCAAAUUUUGUUGCACCCAAAUUUUUAUGAGCUAAGAAACCAUAAUUUUAAAGACCAAUUCAGUGGUAAGUAAAUCUGCUAAAAUCUUCUAUGUACAAAUGACCUCACUUCAAGGUGCAACACAUACAUGUAUUAUUAUGUGUAUGGGAUGAGUCUUGAAGUUAGUCUUCAUUCUUCUUUGAUUUUUUUUUCUUCAAAUAAAUAAAUAAAACAUCAUCAAAUAAAUGUAAAAAUAAAAUAUGUAUCAGUUAAUUGGAGAGGAGAGCUUUAAGGGCAUUUCUUCUAUGAAAUUCUAUGCUCCACGUACCAUAAAUUUGUACUCAACCAACAAAAUUACAGAAUGGGUCCAUGCACAAACAAAAAUAACCCAAAUGUGAAUAUCUAAAAAUGUAUGAAGUUCACAAUAGAUAUUCAAGCCCAAAUUUAAAUUUCAAAUUAGUCCAACAGAUUUCAUUAAUCAAAAUGGGUCCAAAUUAGCAAAUAUAACCCAACAAAAAUAUCUCAUAUGUCAUAGGCCCUAAUUUAAAAUUUUCAAAUUAAUAGCCAAAAUAUAAGUUCAAUUAAUCAAACCCAAAACAUGAUAAAUUAAAAUAAAUCUCAUUAGGCCUAAACUUAAUAUCCCAUAAUUCAAGCCUAAUUUAAUAUAUAAACCUAAAUCCACAAUCAAAAUCAACCCAAUUUAUGCUAAUCCCGAUUUACAAUCAAAAUCAAACAUAAUUUAAUAAGUAAAUAACUAAAUAAAUUAAGCAAACUCAAAACACCCAAACCACUACAACAUAAAUCAAACAAUAAUAAAUAUAAUGACAACAAUAAUAAUAAUAAAUAAAAUAAAAUAAAAUAAAAUAAAAAUAAAAAAUUUAACUCACGUCGGAGCCAGUUUGAAUGUCUUAGGAAAGAAAGAAAAUGAGAGAAAAGUGAGAGAUGAUUGACAACUGACAGUGGCUCACUAGCGGCAACUGGUUAGUGGUCCUACCGAUGGUAGUGAGGAUUGAUUGGUUUUUGGGAAAAAAAAUAAAAUGAAGAAAAGAAAAUGAGAAGUAAUAAAAAAAAUGGAGAAAUGAGAGGAAGGUGGGAGAAGAAUGGAGAGAGAGAACGUAGAAAAUGAGUGAAAAGAAAUGAGGCUAGUUGGAGGAGAAAGUGGUAGUGUGUGAGCUAAAGUGAAGAAUAAUAGAAGAAGAAAAUGGAGAAGAAUGGGGAAAAAAAAAUCCGUCUCCCUAAAUGAAGAAAGGUGGGUAGCCUAAAGAAGAAGAAAAAAUAAAAUAAAAUAAAAUGGGGAGAAAAUGAGAGGGGGUCGGUGGUCUUGCGAAUGAGGUGGUAUGCGUUAGAGAGAGAGAGAGUGGGUGGGGUUGUUGGGGUUGUUGGGGAAGGUAUGAGAGAGAGAGGAGAGAGAAAAGAAAAAAAAGAAAGAAAAGAAAAAAGAUAAUAUAAAAUAAUAAUAAUAAUAAUAAAAUAAAAUAAUAUACAAAAUAAUAAAAACUAAUAAUUAAAUAGUGAGUGGGCAAAAAAUAUCAUAUGUAAUCAAGAUUUAAUUUUAAGAGUAAAAUUGGGUUAAAAAUUAAUGUAAAAUAAAAUUGGGAUAAAUUUUGGGGUAUACAAAUAUGCACCUCUUCAAUAGAGUCCACGAGUAAAGCAAGUGUAUAUGUGAGCAAAACAAAGUGGGCUCUACUGAAAAAUAAGAAAGACCACCAAAUUUGUCUUAAUAUGACAUGAACUCUCCCAAAUAAAAAAAAUAAAAAAUCUAAAACCCUACAAAAAUGGCCAAAAUGGAAACUCCUAAGGUGCCUCUAAAGUUAUACUAUGGAUCUAGACUCCCUUAGAAAAGCCUCCAAAAAUGGCCCAAAAAUCGGUGCCAAAAUCGAGUAGCAAUCAGACCACUAAGGAGCACAUGAACGAAUGCAUACAAAGGGAAAAAAACCAUACGUGUACCAUACGAUGACAAAAGGCAUAAGGUAUCCAACAAUAUGACUGAUUCACGUGUUACGAGCUUAAAGAACUUUGUCAUGCACCAUGGAGGAAGGGAAACUCUAGAAUAAUGUGAUGAGGAAGUUAUUAGCACAAUGUAACAGAGUGAGGAAAAAAGUGAUGAGUGCAAAGCUGUGAGGACAAAGUGCACAAUGCUAAUGAAUAUGAAAUGAAUAGCACUAGGCUAUAAUGCAAUGAAUAGCUCAGGGUUGUACCAUAAUGAACAAGUCAAGGAUGUGUAAAGAUGAGGAACAACUCAAGGUUGUAAUGCAAUGAACAACUUAGGGCUAUGAAUGCAAUGAACAGCUCAGCUCAAUGAAUGAAAUGAAUAGCUCAGGGCUGUGAAUGCAAUGAACAACUCGACGUUGUGGAUGUAAUGAACAACUCAUGGUCAUGGAUGCAAUGAACAGCUCAGGGCUAUAGAUGAACAACUCGGGGUUGUGGAUGUCAUGAACAACUCAAGAAUAGGGGCACUAUACACCCAAAAUGGGAGAUCACGGUCUACGAUUCCAAGUCAAACCACUAAAGGGUGACCAAAAUGAGGGUGAUCAACUCACUAAAAAAGAUGAUCAAAAUGUCUUAAGGGAGAGGAGAUGCCCCAGAUGAAACUUAAAGGAAAUGAGUAGUGCUAAUGAAACUAAAAAAAGAAAAAAUGUCACAACUGAAAUUGAAAAAAUAGCAAACUUAGAUUAAAGUGCAAUGAACAACUUUGGGCUGUUGCGAUGAGUAGUACCGUGUUGUAAUGAAAUGAAUAACUUUAAGAUAUGGGCAUUGUACGCCUAAAGAGGGAGAUAGUGGUUUACGACUCCAAGUCAAACCACUAAAGGACGACUAAAAUAAGAUGAUCAACUUACUAUAAAUGAUAAUGCAACUAUCUCGAGAAAAAGGGUAUGCCCCAAAUGACACUCAACAGUAAAAGAAUGACACAAAUGAAACUAAAACAAGAGGAUGCCACAAAUGAAACUGAAAUGAUAACAGACUCAGUACUAAUGUGUAAUGAACAACUUUGGACUAUGGAUGCAAUGACUAGCACUGGGUUGUAAUGAAAUGAACAACUCUAAGAUGUGGGCACUAUACCCCUAAGAAAUGAGAUCAUAGUUUACGACUCUAAGUCAAACCGCUAAAGGGCGACUAGAAUAGGAUAAUCAACUCACUAAAAAUGAGGAUGCAACUAUCUCGAGAAAGGGGGUAUGCCCUAAAUGACACUCAAUAGUAUAAGAAUGACAUAAAUGAAACUAAAAUAAGAGGAUGCCACAAAUAAAACUAAAAUGAUAACAAACUCAAAACUAAUGUGCAAUGAAUAACUCUAGGUUGUGGAUGCAAUGAACAACAUUGGGCUGUAAUGAAAUGAACAACUCUAAGAUGUGGGCACUAUACGCCUAAAGAGGGAAAUCACGGUCUACGACUCCAAGUCAAACCACUAAAGGGCGACUAGAAUAGGAUGAUCAACUCACUAAGAAUGAGAAUGCAACUAUCUUGAGAAAAGCGGGAUGCCCUAAAUGACACUCAAUAGUUAAAGGAUGACACAAAUGAAACUAAAACGAAAUGAUACUACAAAUGAAACUGAAAUGAUAAUAAAUUGAUAACUAAAGUGCAAUGAACAACUCUAGGCCGUGGAUGCAAUGGACAGCUCAAGAAUAGGGGAACUGUUCGCCCAAAAUGGGAGAUCGUGGUAUGCGACUCUAAGUCAAACCACUAAAGGGUGGCUAAAAUCAAAAUGAUCAACUCACUAAAAAUGAGGAUCUGAACAUCUCAAGAAAGGGGUUAUGCCCCAAAUGAAACUGACAAUAGAGGGAUGCCUUAAACAGACUGAAGAAAGAAGGAUGCCCUAAACAAAUUAACGAAAAAUGGAUGCCCUAAACAAACUGACGGAAGUGAAAUGCCCUAAAUAAACUGACCAAAGAAGAAUGCACUAAACAAACUCUGAGAAAAAAAAAAAAAGAAGUAUGCAAUAUAGAAUCAAAAACACCUAAAGCAAAAACAAGAAACAAAGAAUGUGGUUUACAACUAGAAACACCCAAAAGAACCUUAAAGAAGUAACUGGGAUAAUGAACUUAAUGAAAAUGGGGUAUGCCACAGUAAAAGACUCGGAAGUAUCAGCAAAUGGGUCAAACGACCAUGAAAUCAAUAGGAGAUAUGAUGAACCCAAAAAGGGCAUAUGCCCCAACAAAAGAACACUAAAAGGGGGGUAUGCCCCGAUAUGACGACUCACAAUAAUUAAGAAAUGGAUCGAGUAAUGAGAAAAUCUGCAAAAUAUCCUAUGAACUCAAAGAUGGGGGUAUGCCCCAGUGUAAAAUAGUGACCAACAUAAGACACAGAAUGUCACCAUACAAUACACUCUGGGAUAUGCUCAAUGUCAAUGUAAUGAAAACAAUAGCCUCAAUCAACAAAUGUUCAAGCAAGACCAUGCAUCACAUAAACUAAAAUAAUAGGCUAAACAAAUGCUAACCAAGUCUCUCAAUCUGAAAUGUAAGCAAGUCAAGACAUGACAUGCCAACCAUCGACAUGAAAACAUCAUCACAAAUACAUCAACAAACUAAUAGUCCCUACUAUCAUGGAAGAUGUAGAACCUAACGUCCAAAGGCAUGUGAAAACUCAACCAGAAAGCUCAAGACUAGUUUGCAUCCUCCUCUAAUAAAAAGAAUGAGAUAAGGUCAUGUAGGAUGAUGAAAUAGGCAAGCUCAAUAUUCGUUAGGCUCUACCAAGAUGGAUGUAGGUAUAAUAGUGUCAAAGGUAGGAUGUCUAGAUUUCCAACGAAGGAAACUGGGUAUCCAAGUCAAACCAAGUAUGUUGAGGAAACUGAACCCAUAGGACAAUAACUUUAUGAUCCAUUGAAAAUAGCAAUCAUGAAUAGAAGGUCGAGUCUCGAUGUCAAAAUCAACAAGGUGGCAUUGCCCCAGUAUGAAUACAUCUUCUCAAAAUGGGUAAACCUUUAGUGCAAGAUAAUCUCUAGAAAGUGUGUGUCUAGUAUAAACUGUCAUCUCACAAAAUUUAUCACUGAUGAGUGGGCUAUACCCCAGUGUAAGCAUUUCCAAAUCAAACAUCGAUGAGAGGAGUACAACCAAUCAUACAUAAUAUGAUCAAAACAAAUCUCCACUCCUCAAAGUCAUCAUGGUAACGUGAAAAGAGUAUCUAACCUCAUUUAAAGAAAGAUCAUGUCCCAAUGUGAAAAAUAUCAAGCAAAGUGGUAUGUCUCAACAAAAAUGCACUCUAACAUGAUCAUGCCUAGAUGUAAGCUGGUAUCUUUAAGAUCAAUCACCAAUGAAAGGGUUAUGCCCCAGUAUAGGGCAAUCUCUUAAAUGACUAAAAUCCGCUACAAGCUCUCACAAGUGUCUAUGUCAUGAACCAAUCAUCUCAAAAAAUAAAUAAAUAAAUAAAUCUAUCAACAAUGAUGAGAAGGUUAUGCUCCUAUAAUCACACCAAGAAAAUCACCCGGUCAUAUCUUGUACUCCAAUGUGAAAGGAAAAUAUGAUCACCUCCAAAGAAUGGCUAUGCCCCAAAAUACAUCAUCGAUUGAGAAAUAUGCCCCUACGUAAAGUACAUCAACUGAAAUAUGCCAAUCAUGCCUCAUGCUCCAAUGUGAAAAAUGACGUAUAAUCUUCUUUGAGGGAUGGUCAUGACUCAAAUCCAUCAUCAGUUGAGAGAAGUAUGCCCCGACAUAAUGGUCAUCUAAAAAAUCAAUCCCCGACUAAGAAAUAUGUGCCUUGAUGUGAUGUAUCAAGCAAAAUGGCUGCAUACCCCAUAAAAAACUCUCUAAGGUGGCUAUGCUCCAAUGUUGGAUCAUACCACAACUCCUGGUCUAUCACAAUCAAAAUGCUGUCCAACCAAUCCCAAGUAUCGCCCACAUGAGAGCUAUCAAACACAAUGUGUGAUGUCAUGGCCUCAAGGUGGUCUUAAGAUUCGGAACGUAACGUAGGCUAGGGUAAUAAGGUAAAGAAAUGAAGGAAAACUAGGCUUAAUAAUCCUAAUGAUAAAACCCCAUACCUUAUGUAUAAAAUGCAAUAUGUGCAAAGAGUCUCAUAAACCAUGGAUCUAAGGACACCCAAUAUGAAUAUAUCAGUGAGGAAGAAAGAAUCUAAGAUGAAUAUAUCAAUGAUAACAGAGAAGAAAUGAAGAAUAUUAAACUGUUGAUGGGAUGUAUAAGAAUGAUGUAUGGAAAAUAUUGAACAUGGAAUGUAAAUUGAUAUGAACAAAGAACAAUGUAGGCAAGGCAAAUGUGAUAUCAUGAUAAGAACAAAUAAAUCGAAGAAAAAUGAAUGAACACUAAUCCACUCAAAUCAAGUCAUGGAGAAUAGUCAAAUCACCAACGUAUGUAAUGAUGGAGAAGACAAUGAUUCAAAGUCCCUAGGAAAAUGUCACUUGUUUGUCACACAUAAAAUACAUAACGAGAUAGACACAAAAAUAUGAGAGUCUUUUGAAAGUUCACAUACGAACUUUCAUAAGCAACUAACUCAAUAAAGCAACCUCAAUGACCAAUAUAUACACUCAAUAAAGGAUGACACUGUAUACAUGUGUUUAUUACUUUUUCUUUUCAUUUUGUUUUUCAUUUUUUUCAUUUUUGUUUUCAUUUUUUUUCUUUUACUCGCGCAUACUCUGAAUAUCAAUAAAUGAACUUCUCUGAGAAUACAUAAUGAAAUGGAUAUACUCUCAAACAAUGAUGUCAGCGAACUCUCUCUGACAAGAUGACCCUCUAAAUUAAGGAUUUUCGAACUAACGUCCAUGAGAUAGGAGUGGAAGGGGAUAUGACCAUCCUUCCUGCACCGAAAUGUGAAAAAUCAUCACUCAGGGCACAAAAAAAUGUGAUGAAAAAAAAUAAAAAAAUGAAACAAAAGAUAUAAACAAUGAAGUAUGAUGAAGACUGAUGUUGGGAAGACAAAAAAAAUUGUGAAGAAGGUGAGCCAAUAAGUCCUCAACUCAUGAAACUCUCGAAUAAAAUAUAUAUACACCAAAAAACCCUUAUCCCGGUGUAAAAUGUGAGCAAGGAUAUAAGAAAGAAAAAACUAUGGUGCUCAUGUGAGGUUCAAAGGGCUAGCAACGGUCCAAAUGUCAAUAAAGGUAAUAGGGUGUGAGCUAACCAAAAUGAAGGCCACCUAUGAUGGUCUGAAACAUCAUGCUCUUAAGCUUUCAAUGAUCAAUACUGAAAAUCGAUGUCAACCCUUUGGAAUUGUGCGCCAAACCAUACUCCAAAUGCUCCAUAAUAAUCUCAAAGAUAAUCCUCUCAAAGCAAAGUAAAUAGCGAUCUCAUAAGGCACAACUACUCAUCACAAGCCAACUCUCAUCAUGCAAGAUCAAUCUCUAUUUUCAUGGAAAAAUAAGUGACAAUCUCAUCAGGCAAUCGACGAAUCCUCACAUCGUAAACCAACCAAAGAUCAUAAGUCAUUCAUUGCCAUGCAAGAUCAAUCCCAGGCUCAAACUCCUCAUACUCUACCUGGUUGGAUUAGAGAAGAAAUGGGCAAAGCUAGAAAAACUGAAGAUGGAAAGGUCAUAUAAUGGUGUCAAGGGUGAUGUUGUGCAAAACUCACAAUGAAUGGAUGUAGGUCAAAGAAAAGUCAAUGUGUGAGAGUGAGUAAGGCACUACUCUGAUCAUAAGAAGAUGGGUCACAAUCUCAAACUCCUAAGGUCAAAUCUUCGAUCCUAGGCUAAUAAGCUCAACAUCCUCCAUGAUAGGUCAACCCCCAAGAUCACAAUGUGCAAAUGAAUAGAUGCCUCAAGUCAAAAGUACAACACAUCAUAUGAUAUAUGGUCCUACGAUGACAAUCUAAAACUGGAAAUAUGUUAGAAACUCUAAGGUCAUAAAGGUGUCCACUGUGAGAUGACUACAAAUGUGACUAAGGAAUCUUUAUCAAUAAUCCAAAAAAUGAAUGAGGUGUGAAAAACAACACUAUCAUGAGAUCGAUACCCCAUCAAUAACAAAAUAUCUCUAAUUCACUUUCAAUCUAAGCUCUAUAAAGAAAAACGAUAAGGUUAUAAAGGCAAACCUCUCAAAAAUGGUGUGAAUGUGAAAACAUGUCUUCACCUUUCUAUAAUGAAAAUAUCAUGUUGAAAAUAGAAAUAGGCAAAUCAACCAAAGAAUGAAGCACGGAGCCCAUGACAAGUGAAGAAUGUAAAAAGGUGAACAUGAUCAAUGAACAUAUCCCAAAACAUUAAGCAUAAAGUGACAACAAACCGAAAGAAUGUGUCAAUUUAAGAAAAGAAGACUAUCUGAAGCCCUAGGGAGAAAGUGUGCUAGACUCAACGAGCGACAAGAAGAAACUAAAACCAUAUAGCAAGGGGUGGUCCAACUGAUACUCAAACUCGUACCAAUAUCUAAGCACUCUCGACUGGAGACCAAAAGAUGGAGUAUUGGAUCCAUAUUGUGACUAAAGUGGCCUCGAAGGCUCUCAGAUGCACCCACGUGUAGGAAAGGAAAUCCUAAUGAAAAUAUCUAAGGCUUAACCUACAAGGUCAAGGCGGCUCUCAAAAGAAAAUUUGAGUAGACUUUAAAGGAUCCCUAGCAAAAGCGAUCAUACCCUCCGAUGGUACACAACCUCCUACACGUCUUGAAAUAUACGGGAGUGAUUCCAUGCAAGGUGGUCAUCACCUCCACACAUGCACUAUCUCGUAUCCUAGAGGGUUUCCUAAUGAUGAAGACUCUUACAUCUCUCAACACUUAGUGGUAAUCUAAGGUGCACAGUGAACGGUGUGGGUUCAUCCAAAAAUCCUAUCAAGCUAAGCAAAGAGAAAAAACAUUGGUCACACAAAUAUCCUGAAAUCUAGCUCUAACCUAUACAAGUCUUCAAAGAUUAGACUCCAAUUAGCAUUAAUGUUUCGACCUUCUCUAGAAUGCUCCCAAACAUAGAUAUAGUCCAUCACUAAACCCUACUCCGAAUCACUAGCUCGGUCAAAGAGCAAACAAAGUAAUAAGUCUCAUAUCAAAUACGAGAUCAAGGGGAACAUGGUCACCCGAGACUAGGGAAUUGAAGGUAAGGGGAUAGAUGUGUGUCCCGCAUAGAAAAGCAACAUGCAUCACACAGAAGAAGAAUAGUCAUGCAAUAGACAACCAAGCAAAGAACAGGUAUAUCAUUCAUAUCUACACACAAGCUAAACAAGAAAUAGGUAUUUAACAAGAAUAAACAAUAUGUUGAGAUAAACAAGAUAAUAUACGAUAAAGAGAAUCAAUCACACCAAUAUGAAUGAGAUAUACAAAAAUGAGAAUAUACAUGUCAAGGAGAGCAAGAUAAUCAUACAACAAGAAGAGUCUUAUGUUAAAGCAAGCAAGAGAAUCAAUCGAUGUAGUCAACAUGUCAAUAUCUCAAAUGAACAUAACAACCAAAUAUGCAUCAUAAAGAAAAAAUGGUAAUCAUGCAGCACACAGUCAUACAAAACAAAUACAGACAAACAUAAGCAAAUAAAUGUAAACACACAUGAUAACAAAAAUCAAUGUAUAGUAAGGCACAUGCAAUAUAUACAUAAAAUAAUCAUCAAGUCAACACUCAUAUACCUUAAAACAUGAAAAUAUACAAUAAAGACACAACGAGAGGGUAUUCACUGAUCGAUUAAUCAAACGCUACAUUUCCCUUAACUCGAGUUCAAGUUUGAUCCUUUAAAUAUCCCUAGUGAAGUCGCUAUUUUGUGGACCCACAUUUUUCAAAUACGUCCUUACACAACAGCGAGACUCAUUUUUUUUAUUUGGUGAAAAUUUGAUUUUUAGAAAAAAGACUUUGAGUCGUCACUUAUUUUUGUUUUUUUUUAAGGGAAAACAAAACAAGAAAGAAAACCUUGUGUGACUCCUUAUUUGGGAAAGACAUGUAUGCAAAAACCAAAUCUGGAUUCGGGGGUUAAGUUCCCUAUUGAGAAUGUACGAUGGUGAGCUGUAGCACCUCUCUAAGCUCAUAUACGUAUGGUCUCUACUAAACGAAUUAAGAGAAUUGUAGUAAUUAAUUAAUUAGUCAAGGAUACCAAGAAAAAGAAUCGCACAAAUGAGUACGUACAAAUCAUGAUAAAAAAAAUCAAAUUAUAAGAAUAGACAAAAUAAAUAACAAGAGAAUUGUGCAAAGUGAUUUAUUAAACUAAAUAAAAAAGAAGAUAUUAAAAAAAUUAGUUUUCAAGAAAUUUCAACGGAUUUUAUUAAAAUGAUUUUGAAUUAAUGAUUUUUAUUUAUUUAUUUACAAAAAAAGUGUCAAUUUAUUUUCUUCAAGUGAUUUGAUUCAAUUUCAUUUGUAUUCAAUUUUUUUUUUUUAAAAGUUAUUUACACUCAUGGUUGUUAAAAGAAUUAUUCACAAAAUUUCAAGUUGACAAUAAAAAUGAUUUUUACUUGCUUUUACUCAAAAACAAUGAAUUUUUACAAUUUUAUUAACAAAAGCAUUUCAAUUUAAGAAAAGUGACUUAAACAAAUUAUUAAAAAAAAUAUAACUUUAUCUGCAAAAGAAUUUUUAAUUAAAAAGAAAAAAUUUAAGUCAUCUAUUUCUAAAAAUGACUUUUAAUCCCAUUUUAAUUAAGGAAAAUUGAGUUAUCUAAAAAAACAUUUUUUGGACAAUUUGAAUAAAAAUUAAUUUUUGGGACAACUUUAUUUACAAAACAAUUUUUGGACAAUUAUUAUUAAAAACAAAAUUUCAAAUUCGAUUAAAAACAAUUUUUUGGAUUUUUCCAAACACAUUUUUAUGAAUUUUUAUUAAUAAAAAACUUUUUUUUAUUAAGAAGAAUAUUUUUUGAGCUAUUAUUUUAUUAAAACAUGUUUAUUGAAUUAUUCUUCUUCUUCAAACAAAAUUUUUAAUUUGUUCGAUAUCCAAUUCUGUACACAACAAGUAAAUAUAUACAAACAAAUAUUUAUAGAAACCAAUAAAAAUAAAACCAAAUAGAAGUGAGAAAUAAAACAUGUACUUAAACAAGCUUACAACAAGCUCAAUGUCUUCUUACGACUUUUCGAGUUUCACUUUCUUUCAUUAAAUUUUAUGCUCCACGUACCAUAAAUCCGUACUCAACCAAAAAAAUUGCAGAAUUGGCCCAUGCAAAAACAAAAAUAACACAAAUGUAUAAAGUUCACAAUAGAUAUUCAAACCCAAAUUCAAAUUUCAAAUUAGUCCAACAAAUUUCGUCAAUCAAAAUAGGUCUAAAUUAGCAAAUAUAGCCCAACAAAAAUAUCUCACAUGUCAUAGGCCUUAAUAUAAAAUUUCCAAAUUGAUAACCAAAAUAUAAGUUCAAUUAAUCAAACCCAAAACAUGAUACAUUAAAAUAAAUCUCAUUAGGCCUAAACUUAAUAUCUCAUAAUUCAAGCCUAAUUUAAAUAUAAACCUAAAUCCACAAUCAAAAUCAACUCACUUUAUGCUAAUCCCAAUUUACAAUCAAAAUCAAACAUAAUUUAAUAAGUAAAUAACUAAAUAAAUUAAGCAAACUCAAAACUCUCAAACCACUAUUGCAUAAUAUCAAACAAUAAUAAAUAUAAUGACAACAAUAUUAAUAAUAAAAUAAAAUAAAAAAAUUUAACUCACGUUGGAGCCAGUUUGAGUGUCGUGGGAAAGAAAGAAAAUGAGAGAAAAGUGGGAGAUGAUCGUUAGCUGGUAGUGGCUCGCCGACAGCGACUGGUCGAUAGUCCUACUGGCGGUAGUGAGGAUUGAUGAGUUUUUGGGAAAGGAAAAAAAAAAAAAAGAGGAGUAAUAAAAAAAAAAUGGAAAAAUGAGAGGAAGGUGGGAUAAGAGGGGAGAGAGAGAAUGAAGAAAAUAGGGGAAAAGAAAUGAGGCCGGCUGGAGGAGGAAGUGGUAGUGUGUGUGAGCUAAAGUGAAGAAGAAUGAAAGAAGAAGAAGGAGAAAAAUGGGAAAGAAGGGGAAAAAAAUUCGAGCCCUCUAAAUGAAGAAAGGUGAGUAGCUUAAAGAAGAAAAAAAAAUAAAAUAAAAAAAGAAAAAAUGAGGAGAAAAUGAGAGGGCCAGUAGUCUUGGGAAUGGGGUGGUAUAAGUGAGAGAGAGUGGGCGAGGUUGUUGGGGAAGGUAUGGGAGAGAGAGGAGAGAUAAAAGAAAGAGAAAAAAAAACAUAAUAAUAAUAAUAAUAAUCAUAAAUAAUAUAUAAAUUAAUAAAAAUUAAUAUUUAAAUGAUGAGUGUGUCAAAAAUAUUAUAUGUAAUUGGGAUUUAAUUUUAAGAGUAAAAUUGGACUAAAACUUAAUGUAAAAAUAAAAUUUGAACAAAUUUUAGAAUCUACAAAUACAUUCUUUAAUCUUUCCACAACAUCAAUCUGAUCUAAAUGAAAUGCAAUAAAUUCUAAAAAUGAUACAAUCUUUAAUCAAUCCACAACAUCAACCCGAUCAAAACUCAAUGCAAUAUUGCUUAAUGGAGAGAAUCGUAAAAUCCUUUUAUGAGAGGAAAACAAAACCCUUAACAGACCUUUAUGAGAGGAAAAUAGGAAAACAUAGAACUAAAAACCCUUAACGUAUUCAUGAGAAUAAAAAAAUCCUUAACACCUUAAUAAGAGGAAAACAAAGAAUUUGAACAAUCCUUAAUCCAUCAAAAGCUCUUAAUAUGAACGAGGGGAAAACAUAACCUUUAUUUUUCAUAUCGUUGAAUACAGAAUCUAAAGAGAUAGAAUUUUUAGUUAUUAAGGAUUUUUUAUAGAUGUCUAUUGAAAGUUCAAGAACUUUUAUGGAUAAGUGUUAAUUAAGAGACUGAAAGGGUACUUAGGAUUUUCAACUAAAAAAGUUAUAACAAUAUGAAUCGUAAGAACUUAAAAACAUCACCCAUCCAUAAGAGGAAUAUGGAAUGAGAGGUUAUAUUUUUACUUAUACAACAAUAAACUUUUUUGGAAGAGGUUUUUCUAAGUACAAAAAGUUAUGAAUAAAAAACCAUUGUUACGAUGAGUUAACUAAAAUAGAAUUAAUUUAGAAAAUAUCAAUAAAGUUGCAUGAAUUAUUAUCAUGAGUUAACUUAAUAAGAAUAAAUAGUAAUAAAGUUAAUGAGGUGAAUUUGGAUUGGCAGAUAUAUUUGAUGAUAAGAUUUUUUUAAUAAUAAAAAAUUAUUAUGGCAGGAAAAAUAGGACAAAAUUGACCUUAUGAUAAGAUUUUUUUAAUAAUAAAAACAUUAUUAUGGUAUGAAAAAAAGGGACAAAAUUGGCCUUNNNNNNNNNNNNNNNNNNNNNNNNNNNNNNNNNNNNNNNNNNNNNNNNNNNNNNNNNNNNNNNNNNNNNNNNNNNNNNNNNNNNNNNNNNNNNNNNNNNNUUUUCUAAGUACAAAAAGAGUUAUGAAAUAAAAACCCCAUUUGUUACGAUGAGUAACUAAAAAUAGAAUUAAUUUAGAAAAAUAUCAUAAAGUUGCAUGAAUUAUUAUCAUGAGUAACUUAAUAAGAAUAAAUAGUAAUAAAGUUAAUGAGGUGAAUUUGGAUUGGCAGAUAUAUUUGAUGAUAAGAUUUUUUUAAUAAUAAAAAAUUAUUAUGGCAGGAAAAAUAGGACAAAAUUGACCUUAUGAUAAGAUUUUUUUAAUAAUAAAAACAUUAUUAUGGUAUGAAAAAAAGGGACAAAAUUGGCCUUUCCUUAAUUGUACCGGUUAAUGGAAUAAUGGGACAUGCGGUGGUUACAAGCCACCCCAAAAGGUAGGAAGAAUCUCCAACCCCCAUUCUCGGCUCCCUUAUCUUUUCCCUUACAACCAAAAAUCAACAACUAUCUUAGAAUGUCCUUCAGUCCAUCAAAAUUCAACAACAACAAUUAUACAUUACAAUAAUGAAAACAAAAUUGAUUGAUCACCAGCUAACAUUAGGAGAUUAUAAGAUAAGGAUGUAAUUGCAAUUAUUGAAAUCACUUAAAGAGUAAAAGUUAGGAACAUGCUCACAAUAAAUAAAAUCACCUUAGAAUUAAAAAUUAGGGACAUGAUUAUGAUGAUUAAAAUCACUCGAGAACUAAAAUGUUUUAGAGAUACAAUAAUUGAAAUCAACUGAAAAAUAAAUUCGGGAUGUGAUCGCAAUUAAUGUAUAUAUAAACAACCAAAUGUUGAAAGGAAAAACUAAUGAAAUUAAUAUGAUUUUCUUUUAGAUUUCUCUUGACACCAAACAAAUGUAAGGAAGUUUAUAAAGGAAAAUUAGGUUUUGAUUCACUAAAUUAAAAUAAUAUAGAAAAAAGAUCUUCAAAUUUUAUAUACCAGUUUUAUUUUUAUUUAUUUAAAAAUAUUUUAAAAUACAUAUAUUUUUUCAUAACUCAAAUAGUCAUUCCUCAAAUGCUAGUUUUACUUGUUAUGUUAAUAACACUAGUUAAUAAUUUUUUAUUGUGAGAACGAUUUAAGAUUAAUAAAAUAAGAAAUUUUUAAAACUAAAAAGACAUUUAAAACUUUAAAAUUAAAAAUAUAAAAAUAAAACAAUAAUUUUUCAUUUAGUAAAACACGCCAGUAGAAAAUAUAGAUAUAGAGAAAGAGUUGGAAAUAAAAUAAGAGUUAAUAUUUUAUUUUUAAAAUUUUAUGUUUUUUAUUUUAAUUGUAUUUAAUUUUAUGUAUUUUAGUUGUAAUUAUAUUUUUAAUUUUUAAUUUUUUUUUAUUUUAUUGUUGAUGUAAACUAAUAAAUUUUUUGUUCAAUUAUAUAUAUAUAUAUAUAUAUAUAUAUAUAUAUAUAUAUAUAUAUAUAUUUUAAAAUUAGUGAGUAAAAACCCACUUUUUCUAAUUUAUAAUAUAUUUAUGGGAUUUUAUAAUAUAAGCAAUUUUUUUUUUUUUGAGAAAGAGGAAAAAUCAACUUUUCAAUUUCCCUUAAUAAUUAUUAUUAUUAUUAUCCAAUUUGGCUGAUUAUGAGAUUAGUUCGUAUCAUUACUAUAUCCAUUUGUUCUUAACCCUUCAUUAGAAUAGUAUUAGGAGUUGAACGUCAGUUGGAAUACAGGCUUAUGGAAACAAAUCUAUCCGAUUAGUAGGUUCUUAUUAUUUUCAAUAUAGCCCCAUAAAAUAAAUAGGAGAUGGGCAGCCCGUCCCUUUUGUCUGGAGGCCAUCCUCCCAACUUAUUAAAGGUGAUAUGAGAUAAGACAGUGACAAAAUUGUCGGUUACUUCCCGACACCUGGCUCUCCACAAGCAAACCCAGUGAUCCAGAAAUUAAUUGGUACCUGGACACGUGACUAACAAACCUUCGCUCAUCUACCAAACCCAUGGCCUCAUGCCUUAUAUAUUUCCACAAACCUAGCUCAAUUUUCAUAGCCACCUUCACUAUCCUAUACUCACUAAGCCAUGGCCAUAGAUACAAGCCUCUUGCUUGAGUUUGCUGCAGCAACUCUACUCUUCUUCAUCACCCGCUUCUUCAUUCGUUCUCUCCUUCCCAAACCUUCCCGGAAGCUCCCCCCUGGCCCCAGAGGGUGGCCGCUCCUCGGCGCUCUUCCUCUUCUAGGUAACAUGCCUCAUGUUGCAUUAGCAAAGAUGGCCAAAAGAUACGGGCCUGUCAUGUUCUUGAAAAUGGGCACUAACAGCAUGGUGGUGGCCUCAACUCCCGAGGCGGCUCGGGCUUUCCUUAAAACGCUAGACAUUAAUUUCUCUAACCGCCCGCCUAAUGCCGGUGCCACACUCUUGGCCUAUCAUGCCCAAGACAUGGUUUUUGCGGAUUAUGGGGCAAGGUGGAAGCUACUGAGAAAGCUAAGCAACUUACACAUGCUUGGUGGGAAAGCUCUUGAGGACUGGUCUCAGGUCCGAGCUGUUGAGCUAGGCCACAUGCUUCGAGCCAUGCUUGAGUUAAGCCAGCGAGCGGAGCCGGUGGUGGUGCCGGAGAUGUUAACUUUUUCCAUGGCCAACAUGAUAGGUCAAGUGAUUCUAAGCCGCCGGGUGUUUGAAACAAAAGGGUCGGAGUCAAAUGAGUUCAAGGACAUGGUGGUGGAGCUCAUGACCACUGCUGGGUACUUCAAUAUUGGCGACUUUAUUCCGUCCAUCGCAUGGCUGGACAUCCAAGGGAUCCAGCGCGGGAUGAAGCAUUUACAUAGGAAGUUCGACCGGUUAUUAACAAAGAUGAUGGAGGAGCACACGGCGUCAGCCCAUGAGCGAAAGGGAAACCCAGAUUUUCUGGACGUAAUCAUGGCAAACCAAGAAAAUUCUACAGGGGAGAAGCUCACUAUUACCAACAUUAAAGCACUCCUCCUGGUAUGCAUAGUUAAAGCUCGUCUUCAAUUUUGUUUUCCGAUAUUUUCUUUCCGGAAACAGCACUUUUAUUGCUUUUAGAUAUGUACGUUUUUAUCAGGUAGCCAUUUUAGGGGCACAUCACUAUUCUUUAUUUUUGGACUAUUUUUUUCUUUUUCCACUUGCAUGGUUGUUUUCAUAUGCUCAGCUGCAUGGCACAAGAAAAUUGUGAAAAAUGAUUGGUUCUCUGAUCAGACCUUCAGCACCAAAACACGCUUUUCUCUAUGUUAUAAAAUCGGUUUACAUGAUUUUUCAACCAGCUUCCUUGAACUUGAACUUUUGCUAGGGCUAAUGCAAAAAAUGAUUGAUCUCAAUUUUCAAUAGCGUUUGAUUACAUAAAUUUCAAGUAUGUGAACAUAUUUUUGUUUCCUUGGCUAGAAUUUAUUUACUGCAGGAACAGACACUUCAUCGAGCGUAAUCGAGUGGUCUCUGGCUGAGAUGUUGAAAAACCCGAGCAUCCUCAAGCGUGCUCACGAAGAAAUGGAUCAAGUGAUUGGAAGGAGCCGGCGGCUCGUGGAGUCUGACUUGCCAAAACUUCCAUACCUACAAGCCAUAUGCAAGGAAAGCUUCCGGAAGCACCCAUCCACACCACUGAACCUUCCUCGUGUCUCAACCCAGGCAUGUGAAGUGAACGGCUACUACAUCCCAAAGAACACUAGACUUAGUGUGAACAUAUGGGCAAUCGGGCGAGACCCUGAUGUCUGGGAAAGCCCGGAAGAAUUCAGGCCAGAAAGGUUUUUAAGUGGAAGAAAUGAAAAAAUUGAUCCUCGUGGAAAUGAUUUUGAGUUGAUCCCGUUUGGGGCUGGACGAAGGAUUUGCGCUGGCACUAGAAUGGGAAUAGUGCUGGUUGAGUACAUUUUAGGGACGUUGGUACAUUCAUUUGACUGGAAAAUGCCGGAUGGAGUUGAGAUCAACAUGGACGAAGCUUUCGGGCUUGCGCUGCAGAAGGCAGUUUCUCUUUCGGCCAUGGUGACACCAAGGCUUCACCAGAGUGCGUAUGCAGUCUGAGCUCAAACCGCUCAGACCAAAACCCAGGCCUCGCUGCUAUAUGGCAUGGAUGCAGUUAAGUAGAAAAUAUUUUGGGAUUUUUGCCUGUGGCUUAGUAUAAGAUGUAUUAGCUCAAAGAUGGUCGUUUCAUUCUACCACCAAGCCAUAUGCAUCUAUGCAUAAUCUAUUGAUUUAGGCUCGAUUUGGUUAUAGUUUUUGUUUUUUUGUCUUCCAAAUCAGUAAAUAGUAGGGGUAUUUUUGUCCUAUGUAGUGAUUCUUUUUGUUUGAUUGAUUAUAUUUGGAUCCUUCAAAAAUAUACGGUCAGAGCCAUCUCCAUCUUUUCACUUCUUGUGCUGCAGAAUGGGAUUGGCUUAGAUCGUUAGUCUAAUGUUAACCCCCUUCAAAUCUAAUUAUUCAUACUCAAUUUUGACACGAAAGAGCCAUUGUCAUGAAAGGGGGACCAGGGACCUCAGCACCCUUGGUUCAUCAUUUUGGUACGAUGCCAACUCUACCACAUAACCACCAUUUAGAUAUCUAUCCUUUUAUUUUUGGCAUGUGAACUUAUAGUGGGUGGCUGACCUUGAAUCCAAUAGUUAUCAUGAUAUAUAUGGCUGAAAUUAACCAUCAUUUAGAUAUCUAUCCUUUUAUUUUUGGCAUGCGAACUUAUAGUAAGUCCGAUUUAUGUCCAAGGGUCAAAUUUAAAUCUCUCUUCAAUCUAAUGGCUAAGAACUUCCCAACUUUAUUUAAUACUUAAUGUAUCCAAUAAUUGUAAUCGAGUAAUCCAAUGACAAGUACCUUCAAUGAUUAUUUUGGCAAAAGAAAUAAUAUAAGUUUGUUAUUUUAUGAUAUAAUAAAUUUAUUAAUACUUUCCUUUUUCAAAAUAUGUAAUUAGUUGUAAUUUCAUUAUAUAAUAUAUAAAUUAAGUUAUUUGCAAUUUUAAAAUAUGCUCAUUUUGUAUUUUUUUAAGUGUUAAUUAAAAAUUAUACAAUUUUGUUUUAUAAAAAGUAUUUAGUACUUUUAAUUUUAUAAAUUACAAGCAUUAAUUUAUACUAUUUUCUUAAAAUAUUUAGUUUAGUAUGCAUAUUAUUAGUUGUUUUCUUACAUCACUACUACAAAAAUAAUAUAUGAUGUCACUAUUUAUAGUGUCGCAUUUAAAAUAAUGACACCAUUGAACUUAAAAUUUAUAAAGGUGACACAUCAUUUAAAAAAUCUUCAAUUAGGAUAGUUAGAUUAUGCUAAUUUCAGAUUUACGGUGUCAUUUUUUGGAAGUGACACCAUAUGAAAUAAAAAGUUUUAAAUUUUAUAACUCAAUGGGCCUUUUUUAAAAAUAGUGAGUAGGAACAAUUUAUGAAAAGUCUAUUGUUUCCAUAUAUACAUUAACUAAUAUAAAAGAUCUUGUUGCUUGACCCUAACCAUCGUUUUCUUCUCCUUCUUCUCACACCCAUGGUCAGCACACCCAUAAUUGAUAUUCUUUGCUUCGUAAAAUCUCGGGUAAGUCAAAAUCUCUUAUCUAUCAUCUUUAUUUUUUUUAUUAAUGCAAAAAACUUUGUUAGUAUAAUUGUUUUAUAUCUCUUGAUUUAGUAUAUCUAUGAUGUGGGUUUUGUAAAUGGUGUUUUUUAUCGAGUUCUAAGGAAGUAAAAACUAAGUUUAACAUUCUAACAUAUUUUUUGUUUCAUUGCUAAUAAGCCCCAAAACAAAUGAAAACAAGAAAAAUGAAUUAUUUUUAAAAAAUUUGUCUAAUUGAGAAUGAGAGAUACACUAGUUUGUAGUAAUUUUUCGCAUGAAAUAGUAUUUUAUUGAAGACUUGACUAUAUUUGAUACUUUUUUCCACCGUGCUAGGAGCUUUUUGGUGAAGUCUAACAAUAGAGAUUGAUAUCUGCUACAAGAUGAUACUCAAUUAAACCAAAAGCACUUAAGUUAUUUAGGGUUUUCUUCGGUUAACCUAAGAAAACAUUCCCACUUUCUUUGUAUUGAGUCAUCUAAAUAGAAUAGAAUAUUGGGUAUCAGAGUCGUAAAUGGUAUUAUAAAUAUGACUUUUUUUUUAGAGUCACCUACAUGGAAUGAAUUAUUGGUAGGUGAACAAAAUAUUGGGGUGAUUGUAAUAGUUGAAUUAGUAAAUGGAAGAUAAGUGUAUGUUGCUUUGUUUAUUCUAUAAAAACAAUAAUUUUAGUAGUUGAAAUUUACAUGCUUUGUUGUUUUAUAAAAACAAUAAUUUUAGUAUUUGAAAUUUUAAAAUGUGAAUGAAAUGCCUGAAAAUAUAUUUUGAAAAAUAGGAUAGUAAUAAAUGGAAAAUAACUCAUUUCCUAAAAAUAUUUUGAUAAAUUAAAAUAAUAUGUGGUUAAAAUAUAUUUUUGUGAAAGUAUUUAAAAAUGAAUCAAAAUAUAAAUAAUUGUUAUUUUUUUUUAAAAUAAUUUAGGAAUAUAAAAUAAUAUUGGGGAUAAUUUUUGAGUUUAAAUUGUGUUAUAAAUGGUUAAUUUUUUUAGGACUGUCCUUUUUGAAAAUAAUCCAAUGAUAAUUUUUUUAAAUAAGAAUGUUGAAACUAAUUUUAAAAAUAAAAUUUUGUUGGCAAUGAUUUUUCUAAAAGUAUUUUAGGCAUAAAUGGAAAUUUCUUGUAUGAAAAUAAGAGAAUUUAUAUAUAUAUAAUAGACAUAAAAAUAGAUUUCUUUGAUAUUUAAUAAACAAGUGAAUUUUUCUCUAAAAAAAGAAUAAAAUAAGAAUUUCUCUAUAUAAUAAAAUAAUUUAUAUAUGAGAUAGUUUUCAAUAAGAAAGUUUUGAAAAUAAAUUUGGGAUAAAAUAUUUUUUAGUAAGUUUUGUUUAGAUAAUUCAAGAAUAAAGUGGUUUAUUAACUUUUCUUAAAAAAUAACAUUCUUCUUUCUUUUUUGAAUUGAUCAAUAGUUUGGAAAUAAAAUUGUUAGAUUCUAUUUUUUGUAAAUGUUUAAGAUAUUCUAAAAAAUUCUUUAAAAAUGAAAUGACCUUUCUACCACAUUCCUUUAAUAAAUAAUUGUAUUUUUAUACAUAUUGUAAAGUAAAAAAAAAAGUCUUUAUUUAGUUAACCUAAGAAGACAUUCCUACUUUUCUUUGUGUUGAGAGUCACCUAAAUGGAAUAAAAUAUUCAAUAUCAUAGGAGAGUAAAAAGUAUUGUAGAAAUGAUUUUGUUGAGAGAGUUAUCUAAAUGGAAUGAGAUAUUGGUAGGUGAAUAAAAUAUUAUGGUGAUUGUAAUAGUUGACUUAGUGAGUGGAGGAGAAGUGUAUGCUUCUUUGUUUAUUCUAUAAAAACAAUAAUUUUAGUAGUUGAAAACGUGUAUGAAAUGACUGAAAAUAUUUUUUGAAAAAUAAGAAAAUAAUAAAUGGAUAAUAGCUCAUUUCCUAAAAAUCUUUUGAUAAAUUAAAAUAACUUGUAGUUAAAAUAUAUUCUUAUGAAAGUAUUUAAAAAUAAACCAAUAUAUUAAUAAUUGUUAUUUUGUUUAAAAAUAAUUUAAUAGUAAAAAAAUAAUACUGAGUUCAAAUAUGACUACUUUGUUAUGAGAUUCAUUAAAGAAAUAAUUGUUGAUUUUACAGUUAUUGCAUCAAAGGUUUUACUCGUUUAAUGAAUUGUACAUAAUUUCAUACUUUCAAUUAUUAUGAUAUUAAUGUUAUUCUCAUUUGAUUUCAGUUUGAUUACAAAUAAAACAUAUUCUCAAGUAGAAUUUGAUGAAAUUAGAGAAAAAUAGAUUACUUUUGUGUUAUAACUAAUCAUGAAUCAUAUUGAUGUAUCGUGAUCAUUCAUGGUAAGUCCCUUAGUUGUUAUAUGAUUGAAUUUUCCAUUGAUAUUGUAUAACAUUACUUAUUCUUUACGAACUAUUUUUAUACCAAAAUGAGAAAAAGGAAAAAGAAAAAGAAAACAUUAGUACUUAGAUUUGUUUAUUGUUUAUAACAUCACAUUUUUAUUUUCAAUAAGAACUCUAAAACUCAUUAAUCUAUGAAAUGCAGGUAUACACUCUUGGGAGGACAAUAUGAAGAAUAAAAAGAAAGGAGAAAGAGACAACAAGAUUUAGGUUGUUAGAUAUGACUCUUAUGUCAUACAUUAUAGGACAUAAAUGUUACUUUAUUUGGAAUUGAGAAUUUUGGGUUUUUGGAUGCAACUCUUGUGUCAUUUUAUGGUUAGCCGGUUUUAUACAUAUGAAAUGCAAGUAUACAUGAAUGUUGGGAAACUUAACAUUUCUAAAUCAUGUUUUAAUGUGUAUUCACUUUUCUUUUUUAGUUUUGGUGGGUUUGAUGUGUUUGAUGUACUAUCAUUUUGUGAACAUUUGAUAUACAAAUAUUAUUGGAUGAUGUAAUAUGUUACAAAUUAAUUCAUAAGCAUUAUGAAAAUAUAAGUUAAAUGUAAUAUGAUUAUUAUAUUUAUGGACAAUUUACACAGGUUAGUCUUAUUUAUUAAUAAGCAUUACAAAAAUCUACAAACUAAUCAACAAAAAACAACCAUAUCUUCCAUAAUCAUUUACAAUGAUGUGACACCAUAAAUUAAAGGUGAUACAUUUAACGUGACACCAUAACUCAAAGAUGAUGCAUUUAAUAUGACACCUUAUAUAUCUCAUACAACUCUAUAUCAAAUUAAGCAUCACUAAAAAUAUAUGGUGUCUCUUCUGAAUGUGUCACCAUUUAUCUGCUUUGGUGUCGCUUCCAAAUACGUCACCAAUUGAUACCCUCUAUGGUGUCAGUGGAUAAGGUGACGCUAUGUUGUAGUGACACCCUAUGUUUAUAGUGACUUAUUAUAAAUGUCACCAUAUAUCUUUUUCCUUGUAGUGCAUCUCAAGUUUCAAUCAAAAAAAUAUUUAUGAUUUGUUUUUAUUAAUUUGUGUCUUGUUUUCAAUUUAAUUAAUGAAAAUUUAUUUGAUCAAAAAGUUCAUUACAAACCAAUUUUAAAAAUCUAAUCCUUUAUUAUAUUUUGAUAUCGUUUUGAUAAAAAUGUCUUUAUUAUUAUUAUUAUUUUUUUUUUUAUAAAAAUAAAUUUUUUUAUAAAUAUAUUGUAAAUAUUUAAAAUAAUUAAAAAUAUUUAGAUCAAAAAUCGAUUAUUUUUCAAACAAAUAUAUGAAAGUGAUAAAUUUGCAAAUAUGGGGAAUAUUUAAUCCUUUUAAUCGAUUAUUUCAUUAAUGAAGUGGGUAUAAUGAUGAACGCAUACUUGGUUUUACUAGGGCAUGCAGAGGUUUUGCAAGAGAGAGAGAUCAUUUCUCGACUCUGAGAAAUCAAUCUCCUUUUGGCCCGGUGGCGGACUCCAAGUAAAGCCUUGAAGGAGCCUUGCUAACAUCCCUGCACACCCACGCCUUCCAGUACUGAAGGAAAUGAAGCGAAGGUUUGGCUCGUUCAACUCCACUGCUUGAACUGUACUAGCAUUCAGAUGCCGCUCUGGAUUGAAAUUUAGCGGUUCUUCCCAGAUUCUAGGGUUCCGGCCCAGCCCCAGACGGCUCAGAAGGACAUGACUGCCUUUGGGGAUAGAGUACCCAGCAACACUAGUCGGAUUCCUGAACUCGUCUAUCCUUUCCAACCACUCCAUCAAUUUCUUCACUGCUUUGCUCAAAAUCCCUGGUUGCUUGAUCAUUGCCUACUCAAUUGCAUUUGAUGGACUAUCGACGCCUGCAAGCAUCAACUCCUGCAAAUUAUGGAAGGAUCAUAAUCUGAUGAUUGAUCAAGUUAUUUGCUGGCUAGGAAAUGAUCAUCAUGCAAUGUAGAUCAAAAGGUAAGCACAACACUACUACAAAAAUAAUUUAUGGUGUCAUUUUUAAAAUAAUGACACCAUAGGGUUUAUAAUUAAUAAAGGUGAUACAUCAUAUGAAAAUUCUUCAAUUAAGGUAGUUAGAUUAUGUUAGUUUUAUAUUUAUAGUGUUAUUUUUUGGGAAGUAACAUCAUAUAAAAUAAAUUUUUUUUUAAGUAUUAUAACUUAAUGAGCCCACUUUUAUAAUUAAUAAUGAGGGAUAAUGUAUAAAAAGCCCAUUGUUUCCACAUGCCACCCAUAAUCCAAAAAAUCUCAGUAUACAAACCUUAUAUAUAAAACCAUAAUCUUCUUCUACCUUUUCUCUUACCUAUAGUCAAUACACUUACAACCGACAUUUUCUACUUUGUGGACUCCUGGGUAAUCCAAAUUCUCUUAGAUCUAUCAUAUUUUUUUUUCUUUUAUUAAUAUAAUUAUAUUGAUUGUUUCACCAUCUUUGUAUUAUGGUUUUUGUAAACUGCGUUUUCUUGAGUUGUAGGGAAGAAAAACUUAGGUUUAAACUUCUAGCAUAGACGAAGAAACUUGUAGAUUAAUUGAUUUUUUAAUAUGAACCAAACACAUGACUGACUUCUUAAAAACAAGAAAAAAUGAAUGAUUUUUAAUAUGUAUUUAUGUGAGAAUGACAGGUACAAAAUUUUGUUGAGAUAUACUGUCACAUAAUCUUCAUCCCUUCCCUAAAACAAGAGAGAGAGAGAGAAAAAAAAAAAGGAAUGAUUUUUUUUGUGUGUAUCUAAGUGGGAAUGAGAUAUAUAGAAUUUUGUUGAGAUGCCACAUGAUCUUUAUCCUCCAUUAAACCCAACAUAUUAAAUCCACUAACUCUCCCCAAAAACGAGUAAAAAAAAAGGGAAAAAAGUAUGAGUUAAAAAACAAAAACGGAAAAUAUGAUUUAUUUUUUUUUAAUGUGUUUCUAAGGAAAAUGAGAGACACAAAUUUUUGUUAAGAUGCAUUGCCACGUGUUCUUCAUCCUCUCCAUUAAGCCUAAUAUAUUAAACCUAAUAGCUCUCUCUUUUAACUUUCCAGUGAAGUGCCUACAGUAUCCAACUCAAAAUAAGACAACUUAAGCCCCAUUAGCCAACAACCCAUAUUUUGUGUACAUCUUGAUGAGAUUAUUUUGUGAGAAAAUGUCAUGAAACAAUCCCAAUUUGAUAAUCUAGGCAUGUAUUUGAGUUAAAAAUAAAUUUCUAUUCUAUAGAUCAAAUAAUAAAAUCAUGUUUGAAAAUUAUUUUUAAAAACUUAUUUAGAGCAAAAAUAGUUUUCUAACAUAAAAAUAAUUUUUUAACUGAGAAAAUAUAUUUGAAAUUAUUUGAUAGAAAAUUGGGCAUGUAUUUGACUUAAAAACAAAUUUCUAUUCUAUAGCUCAAAUAAUAAAAUCAUGUUUGAAAAUUAUUCUUAAAAGCUUAUUUAGAGCAAAAAUGGUUUUCUAACAUUAAAAUAAUUUUUUAAUUUAGAAAAUAUAUUUGGAAACAUUUGAUAGAAAACUAGGCAUGUAUUUGACUUAAAAAUAAAUUAUUAUUCUAUAGAUCAAAGGAUAAAAUCAUGUUUGAAAAAUAUUCUUAAAAACUUAUUUAGAGUAAAAACAGUUUUCUAACAUAAAAAUAAAUUUUUAACUUAGAAAAUAUAUUUGAAAACAUUUGAUAGAAAACUUUUUUUUUAAUGUCAAUAAGUUGUCUUUUUGUUAAUUUAAUUGUAAUCAAUUUGCUUAUACGCAUUUAAAAGUAUAUAUUAUCAUAUUUAGUAAUAUUUUGAUUGUUAGGCAAAUUAUCAUUUUUGAGAGGAAUUUUUGUAGCUCUCAUAAUUAUAAUUGUAUUUUAAUAACCAUUUCCAAUAAAAAAGAAAAAGAAAAAAGAAGUUAGACAAUUAUCAAAAUCUGAUUUUUAGGAUUUUAAAAAAAUCUACAAGCCAAAACUAUCUAUAAUUUUGAUCAUGUGAGAACACUUCUUUUUUAAUACUUUGAAUUAUUUUGUUUUUUUUUUUCUUAGUAUCUGAAAGUAUAAAAGAAUUUCUCUUAUUAUAUUAUUAUAUUAUAUAUGUGCAUGUGUGUUCUCAUGGUUUCUUUAUGUCAUGUCUUAUUAAAGAAUAAAGUGAUGAAAUUUCCUUUGAGUAGAAGGUUUUAGUCCACGCUAGUGAGUGGACACGGUAUGAAUAGUUUGGGUGGGUUGUAUCUAUGGUAAAAAAUAAUAAAAGAUACCUUUUGCAAGUCUCCAAGUUGGUUGAGAUACAUGGCAUCAUGUUGACUAAACCUUGACUUUUGCAAGUCUCCUAGUUUCCAACUUUUUUUUUUCUUUUUUUUUUAAUAUUAAGGUGUGGGGCCAUGAACUCCUUUCUUUCCUUUUUAAAUAACAAAAAGGAAGAUAAUUUUAUUGUGAGAAGGCUAUUUCUAUCAAUUGUGUUCACGUCGAGAAUUUUUUAAUUUAUGGAGGCCAAAUAUAUAUUUAUGUCUAAUUUAGGAGGGUAAUUUGGGUUUGUUUAAUCUAUUCCAUUUAAUCAUACUAUACAAUCAUUUUUUUAUUUGGAUUAUUUUUGUAUUAAAUUUCUUCAACCCAAAUUUUGUUGAAAAAUUACAAUGUAUUAUUAAAAAUAUGACUUGAUAGUUGAUUAUGGACAUGUGUCAUUUUUAGUAAAAAAAAAAAUCUAUAACAUUUUAUAUUGAUAAUAUAUUAUUCUUGUAACAGGUUCGAAUAGUAAGCAAGUCAUUAUCAAAGAAGUUAUUGAAAGUAUAAGUGUACGUUUAUUUAUUGCAUGCUCUUAUAUUGUAUCAAUUGUAAGGAAGAUAAAAUUACCUUGUAAAGGUAAUUAAAUCUUUCUAUAUUUUAAAAACUUUUUUCCUAUAUACUAUGCUUUUGAAGCUUGUUUAAUUAAACAUAUUAGUUAUUUGACAAACUUUUCACAAAUGUUUUGUAUACUUAUGUGUUCUAUUUUGUUCCAUAGUUUUAUCGCAUAAUACUAAUGUAUAUUUUUUCACAAACUUUUUACAACUAUUUUGUGUACUAAUGCAUAUUAAGUUUUGUUCUUGCCUAUAUAAGCUACAUUUAGUUAUUUAAAUAUAUCCAAUAUUAUGUUGAAGAAAGAUGUACUUAACUUUUUUUAUUCUAAAUAUUAACAAGUUUUAUAGUUCUCUUGUCUUGAGAUUGAAUGUCAAAAGAUAGAAGGUCAGUUGAGUAUGAUGAAAGAGUUGAAAACUUUAUCAAUUUUGCAUUAGCACAUUCAAUCAACCAUUCCCCUAUAAAAUGCCCAUGCUUACGUUGUGCAAAUCUAUUAUGUCAAACUCUUCAAGUCAUUACAGAGCAUUUGUUCUUUAAUGGAAUAGAUCUCAGUUAUCGAGUAUGGUAUUGGCAUGGAGAAAAUGGACCCAGUGGAGGAUUUUCAAAUGUCUCACAACAACAUUAUGACAAAUGCAAGUAUAAUGAUGUUGUUGACACAAUAGAUAUGGUUAAUGCUGCACAAGUUAAUUGUGUGAAUGAUCCCUAAGUGUUUGGAAGGUUACUUGAAGACGCAAAAAAACCUUUAUAUCUUGGAUGCAUGAAAUACACAAAGUUGUCAGCAUUGGUAAAACUUUACGACUUAAAAGCACGUUAUGGUUGGUCUGACAAAGGAUUCUCAAAAUUGCGUCAGUUGCUUGGAGAUAUGUUGCCAUUGAAUAAUGAGAUGUCAUUGUCCAUGUAUGAAGCUAAAAAGACUUUCAGUGCACUUGGGAUGAAUAUCAAAAAAUUCAUGCAUGUUCUAAUGAUUGUAUUUGGUAUAGAAACCAGUAUAAGGAUGCUAUUGCAUGCCUAACUUGUGGAAAGUCAAGGUGGAAGAUAAACAAUGAGGGGAAAAAGAUUAAGAAGGGGCUUCCUUCAAAGGUUUUGUGGUAUUUCCCACCAAUCCCUAGAUUCAAAAGGAUGUUCCAAUCCUCAAAAAUCGUUAAACAUCUUAUGUGGCAUGCCAAGGAUAAAGAAUAUGACGGUAAACUAUGCCACCCAUCAGACUCCUCAGCGUGGAAACUAGUUGACCAUAUGUGGCUUGAUUUUGCUUCUGAACCGAGAACCUUAGACUAGCACUCUCAACAGAUGGUACAAAUCUUCAUAAGUCUAUAAGCAAUAGACAUAGUUGUUGGCCUGUUAUACUGAUCAUAUACAACCUUCCUCCUUGGUUGUGCAUGAAAAAGAAGUUUAUGAUGCUAUCAUUAUUGAUCUCAGGACCACGACAACCUGGUAAAAAUAUAGAUGUUUACUUGAGUCCAUUGGUAGAUGACCUUAAAACUUUGUGGGAAAAAAAAGUUGAGACUUAUGAUGCACACUUGCUUGAGGUUUUUACUUUAAAGGUCAUCAUUUUAUGGACAAUCAAUUAUUUCCCUACAUAUGGAAACUUGGCCAAUUGCACCGUGAAAGGAUAUUAUGCAUGUCCAAUAUGUGGAGAAGGAACAUAUUCCCAAAGAUUAAAGUAUGGUAGGAAGAACUUGUAUAUGGGUCACCGACGAUUUCUUCCACGUAACCAUCCCUAUUGGAGACAAAAGAAGGCAUUCAAUGGUGAACAAGAUUUUAGAAUUCCUCCUAAAAUUUUGAGUGGAGAAGAAAUACUUGAAAAAGUUGAUCUCAUUCCUAUUUCUUGGGGAAAAAUGAAGAUAAAAUCUCUUGAACUGAUGUGAACACAAAUUAUUGGAAAAAAAAGUCCAUAUUUUUUGAGUUAGAAUAUUGGAAAUAUCUUCAUAUCCUUCACAACUUAGAUGUCAUGCACAUCGAAAAGAAUGUCUGUGAGAGUAUUAUUGGUACUUUGUUUAACAUCCCAGGAAAACAAAAAGAUGGACUUAAUGCUCAACUUGACCUAGUUGAAAUGGGUUUAAGGUCUGAACUUUUCCCAAGAGUUGACUUGAAGCGGACCUAUCUUCCCCCUGCAUGUUAUUCACUAUCCAAACAUAUAUGACAAAAAAUUAGUUUGUCAAACAUUGUCUAAUUUGAAGGUCCCUGAGGGGUAUUGCUCAAAUUUUAGAAAUCUUGUCUCCUUAAAGGAAUUGAAGUUAUUUGGUUUAAGAUCCCAUGACUACCAUGCACUUAUGCAACAACUAUUGCUAGUGGCAUUACGUUUUGUUUUGCUAAAGCAUGUGAGAUAUACUAUAUCAAGAUUGUGUAUCUUCUUCAAUCAAUUAUGUACAAAAAUGGUUGAUGUGCCAAAAUUGGAUGAAGUACACAAUGAGUUAGUGGUCACGCUGUGCUUACUUGAAAAGUAUUUUUCACCUUCAUUUUUUGAUAUUAUGCUUCAUCUAGUAGUGCAUUUGAUAAGGGAGGUGUGACUAUGUGGUUCAGUUUACUUUAGGUGGAUCUACCCAUUUGGGAGGUAUAUGAAAGUUCUUAAAGAAUUGUUCGCAAUCAUAAUUGGCUUGAAGGAUGCAUUACUAAGUGCUAUUUAACAGAAAAAGCUAUUGAAUUUUGUACUGAAUAUUUAUUAGGGACUCAUGCAAUUGGAAUUCCAAAAGCAACAAUUAUGACAACAAAUUUGGUAGACCUAUAAUUGGUGGUCGUUCUACCAUCAUUGAUCAUAAAUUGUGGUUACAAGCACAUCAUUAUCUAUUAGAGAAUACAACUAUCGUCCAACCAUACACUGAGUAAGAAAAACAUACCUUUAUCUUUUUAUAAUUUCAUAACAUAAUGAUGAAAUCCUAAGUUUGCAUUCCUUGUCUUUAACGUCAUAAGGAACACAUGAAUUGGUUGAGGUCUCAAUACCCUCGACAAUCUAAUAGACAAAUUUGGUUGCAAGAAGAACAUAUGAGUUGUUUUACAUAUUGGCUUAAAGAAAAGGUAAUCUCUUAGUUUUUAGAAAAUUUUUCAAUAUGUUGAAAACAUCACAAGUUUCCAAUAUGUUUUGAUUAUACAUAGGUUGAAGAGGCUAUCCAUAAUGGGCAAGAUAUUCCCGACACACUUAGGUGGUUAGCACAUGGCCCUACUCUCCAGGUAGUCAAAUAUCCUGGAUAUAUCAUUAAUGAGUGUUGUUACCAUAUUAAGAAACGCGAUAUGACAUGCAUCACCCAAAAUAGUGGUGUUUUUAGCAAGACUAUGCAAAUUGCUAGUUCUAAGGAUAAGAACCUAGUUUGUGGUGAACUUUGCUUUUAUGGGGUCAUUAAUGAGAUAUGAAAUCUUGAUUACAACAUGUUCACAAUUCUAAUUUGCAAGUGUGAUUAGGUUGACAACAAGAAUGGUAUAAAAGUUGAUGAACUCAGGUUCACAUUAGUUGACUUCUCCAAAAUAGGUCACAAAUUGGAUCCAUUUAUUUUAGCAUCACAAGCCAAGCAAAUCUUCUAUGUUGAAGAUCAACUUGAUCCUAAAUGGUCAAUAGUUCUCUCAAUUCCUCCAAAAGAUUUCAAGAACAUAGAAGGACUAGAUGACUUCACCGAUAAUUGCAUGGAACAUCACCCCUUUAUAAGUUCAAUGCCAGAAUUUGAAUCAUUUGAUGCUAUGGAUGAAUCAUAGGCAAUACACAUGAGAGAAAACUGUGAGGGCAUAUGGAUUGAAAAGAAUUAAAUAACAUAUUGUACCCUUGAAUGAGAUAUAAUAAGGCAUUUCACUUAUUAGUUUUCAUGAGUUGCACAUUAACUUAGCUUCUAUAUAUUGCUCAUGAUAUAUCUAUAUAUAUUAAUCAUCCUAAAUUUCUUUCAUGCAUCAUAAACAUAUGUUAUUCAAAGGUACCACUUCAAUCUUCAUUCAACUAUCUUUUUGUUGUCCAUAGAACUAGAUUUAUAUUAUUUUUUAUUAUCAUGUUUUGAUUUUAUGCUCACAUAACUUGAAACUCUCAUUCCUAAAUUUCUUUUUCAUUAAAACUAUAAAUCAUAAUUGAAACUAUGCACUAAUUUAUUUUAUUAUUAUCCUCACAAAUAAAUUCUUCAUUAUUGAUAAGAAAUCAAAAAACAAGACAAACUUUGAAAGAAAAUUUCAAAAAAUAUAUUUGUGAAUGACCAAUUUAAUUAUAGAAAAUAUAUGCAAGGCUAUACUAAUCUUGCUUUUGAGUCAUUUUACAGGUUUGUUGGUGAAGUACUAGUUUGCACAUUUACUUGAUAUCUUCCACACAAAUAUGGAUCUAGAAGAAGGGGAAAUGCCAAAAAUAAAGCAUAGAUGUAGUGCAUUGAAACCAAAGAUUGCAAAAAAUCAAAGUAAAGGGAUAAAACUCAAGAUUGAAUACAAUAGCCUUGGUAGUCCCAUUAAGGAAAAUUCAGUUAAACUAAGUAGUUAUCUUAGUACAAUAACUAGAACCCAUGUGCUAAUAAUUAUUGAGAGUUGGAGGAAAGUCCCUAAAGAGACUAAGGAGAAGUUGUGGGAUUUGAUCACAGUAAGCCUAUCUAUAGCUUUAAUAUAUAAUUAUUGUAUACAUUCAUUAACAUGAGCUAAUAUGGGUUGUUAUUUUGUAGACAAGCUUUAAUGUGAAUAAAAAAUCCAAGAGGAAUUGUUUCAUACUAAUGGGCAUCAGGUUUCGAACCUUUAAGUACAAGUUGACAAAGAAAUAUAUAUUGUCUUUCAAGAAUGACCAAAAAAGCUGAAAAAGUCACCUCCUAUUUACCCAUUCAUACAAGAGGAUCAUUGGAGACAGUUUGUUAAAGAUAGACUUUUUGAACAUUUUAAUGUUAAGCAUUAUUUUUAUUACAUCUUCAAUUUUCACAUUUACGUAGUUUCAUUAUGUACUAAUUUUGUGUCUAUAUUUUGUAGGAAUAUCGCAAAGUUUAGAAAUCAAGAAGAGAUAAACACAUUUACAAUCAUUAUCUUGGAAGAAAAUGAUAUGCACGUUUUGAGCAAGAUAUAGUAAGUUAUCAAUAUCCAUAAAAAAAAUGGAGUAUAUAUUUUGUUUAUAGGAAAAUGAUUCUAGUUUUUAAAUAUCAUUUAUUAACUUGAUCAUGUUGAACUAAUGAGUUUUAUUGUUAAAAUUUUUAUAGCUACAAGCAGAAGGGGCUAUUGGUAGGGUUGAUAGAAGUGUUUAUGAAAGAAAACACGUGAGAAGAAAGGAAAGUUUAAUAAGAUUACAAAGCUAAUGAUUAACUAAGUUAGCAUAUUUAUGCCUUUUAGAGCCUAUAGUGUUAGUAUGUCUAUGUGAUUAUGGUUUGGGAUGAUAUCGUUAGGUGUUAAUAGGGAAGAGGCUUAAUGCUAUCAUUUUUAUGAGUAGUCAUGUUAUAUUAGUGCAAAUAUAGUAGCCUAAUUUGAAAAUUAAUUUUGAAACAAUAUACAUUAAUUUAUCUAUUAUCAUUUUUAUUAAAACAAUUCAUUUUCUAGCUACCUUGAAUUGGUCCUCUUGAAUUGGUUGUCUUUGAUUGAUAUGUUAAUCAUCUUCAUCAAAUUAUUACUAAUAUAUGUUUUGUUGUAGGAUGAAUUACUAGAAAAGGCAAGGAGACUGGACUACCUCCACUUGGUCCAAAUGACAUAUUAUGUCAGGCAUUGGGUAAGCUUGAUCAUCUAGGACGUGUGGUAGGUCAAGACCGCUUGGUUAGGUCGAACUCAUACUUUCAUCAACCAUUUGAUGACAUGAAAAAAAAAAUCAAAGAAGAAAUAUGGGAAAUGGUGUGAAAGGGGAUGCAAGAUGCUGUAACAAGACAAACUAUGUCUCCUCCCACACCCCAUUCUGAUAUAGGUAGUAAUAACAUGAGACAACAACUUGUUUUACAACUAGUUGUAGCAAAAAAACCAAUGUUUAAAAUGAUGGAAGAGCCCCAACCACCAGAACCACCACUGAAACGUAAGGUAUACAUUUACUUACUAAUAAUACAAGAUUAAUAUAAGUGAUAUAUAGCCUAUGUAAAUGAUAUUAUUUGUUGUAUUAAAGGUGAUUAAAUAUAAAUUAGCAGUGGAAUGAAAAUGAAAUGUUGUUGCAACUGGUACAUUAAUAGAAGAAAAUUGAUCAAAUGGGUUGGUCGUAAUAAAUGUUGCACACAAGCUAGAUGCUAGACUUCCAUUUCCAAAUCCAUAUGAGAUUAUCAAUGUUGGGGAUGCUAUUGGCUUUAAGCUUGACUGGCCAACAAGCCUUGUCAUACUUGAAACUAAACAUCCUCGGGUAUGUCAUUUUAUACUUGUAGUAAAUUUGAUUGUAACUUGGUAUUUUAUUGUUUAGGAGUAUAUAUUACUAACAUUCCUUCAUUUUUCAUAGGUGUUGGAUAAAGGAAAGAAGUAGAUAGUGAAUGCACCAAUUAUUCGAAAAUCUAAGCCUCAAAAUUAUUCGGUCAUUAAAAAUUUUCAGAAAUUUAUGGAUGGUUGUCUUAGUAAUGAGAAGACAUACCCAAUACAGCUCCCCAUUUCACUAUUUGGUGUCGAAUUCCGAACAUAUAUAUCUAGAGAGGAUUGUGAAUACAUUAUUUCAUCUUCAGAGGUGUUAUCAAAAUGCAUCUCCUUCCAUUUAUGGUGUGCACCUUUUAUUUUCAUUUGUUUUUAUUUUUUUAAUAUGAGUUGCCCCUGUUGAACAAGAUUGGAUAUGACUAAUGAUAAUUUUCUUUUGGUGUUUUGAUAAUAUAAUAGGUACAUGCAUGAUCAACUACAUAUUGCCAAAAAGGAAUCACAAUUUAUAUUUGUUAAUCCUUUUACAAUAUCAUGAGCAGGCUUUAGUAAUCCUCAAAUAGAGAAAAGAACACAAUUGUUGUCAAAACACUUAAUAGAGUGCCAAGAUGUCAGAUAUGUUUUCAUGCCCUACAACCCCGAGUAAGUGACGAAUAUUAUACUUUAAUUUGAGGUUUUAUGAUUGAUUUAUAUUUCUAAUUAGAUGCUACUUUUGUUUUUAAUGUUUUAGCUUUCAUUGGGUCUUGGUAGUGAUUGAGCCAAGGAAAAUGAUAGUCCACUAUCUUGACCCUGUGCAUCACAAACCAUGUGAGGACUUAAAGGAUAUCGUAAACAUGUAAGUUCUUCCUAUUAUUUUUCAUAGUAUUAUUUAAAAAAAAAAAUUACAUUCACCUCAAACACAUUUUUUAUUGUUAUUUCUAUAUAUUAAAACAUAUAACAUUUACCUAUUUUAAAAUUGUACCCAUUGAACUUAUUUACAUAGGGCUCUUUAAAUAUUUGCAAAGAAAACAUCUAAGAGAGAGCCAUCUUGGCAACUAGUGCAAGUGACAUCCAAAAAUUUUCUUUAAACAUUUAGCUUAUGCAUUUGCACCAUUUAUAUAUAUGAGUACUAAUGUUAUUUAUAACUGAUCCAUUAGUGUCCAAGACAAGAAGGAGGGUUCGAAUGUGGCUACUUUGUUAUAAAAUUCAUUAAAGAGAUAAUUUUUUAUCCUACAAUGAUUGCUUCAAAGGUAUUACUUAUUUAAUGAAUUGUACAUAUUUUUAGGCUUCCAAAUGUUAUGCAUUUUAAUGUUAUUUUCUUAUUUGAUUUUAGUUUGGUGAUAAAAAAACAUAUUCUCAAGUAGAAUUCAAUGAAAUUAAAGGAGAAUUGACUACUUUUGUGCUACAACUAAUCAUGAAUCAUGUUGAUGCAUCAUGAUCACCAUGCAUGGUGAGUCCCUUAGCUACUACAUGAAUUUUUCCAUAGAUAUUGUAUAGUAUUGCUUUUCUUUGAACAAUGUUUUUAUUUGAAAAAAAGAAAAAAAAAGUUCUUAGAUUUGUUCAUUUAUGAUAACAUCGAUCCAUAUUUAUUUUCUUCAAUGAAAUCUAUAAAACUCAUUAAACUAUGAAAUGCAGGUAUACACUCUUAGGAGGGUGGAAUAGAGAAUAAAAAGAACAAAGAAGGCAACAAGAUUUUGGGUUUUUAAAUACAGCUUGUAUGUCAUACGUUGAAGGACAUAAACGUUACUUUAAUUGGUAGUGAGAAUUUUAGAUUUUUAGAUGCUACUUUUAUGUCAUUUUCUUGUAGUGCAAAUUACUUAUCUUACUAUGCAUUGGGCUUUGAUAUUAGCCAAAGAUAGUAGUGGCUCCUAAUUUUUAUCCUUAACUGAAAUGAAAACAUCAAGCAGGUCCCCAGCCUCUUUUUCGCCAUUCUUCCACUAUUCUACUAUUUGGUCCAUGAUUGGAUCAUGGUACUUGUUAAUGGUGUUCAUAGCCUCCCUUAUAGUUUUUUCAUGGCCAUCUAAAUUCAGCACUCUCUGCCAUGGGAAGUAAUCAGAUAAAGAGAAUACAUAUAGAUGAGCAAGUAUAGUAAAGAAGGAUUCAACAUGUUGCUCCACUUCAACUCCAGGGCCUCCAUCUUUCUUUCGUUGGCCAAAGUAUCUUGUGUUGAGGAUCAUCUUUCAGAUGACAUUCCCGUUGUAUUGACGGACUUUAUUUCUGUCACACCCCAAAUACUAGGCAACCCAGAACUUGACUCGUGACCCUAGGUCAAAUGUUUGACCCUAAGAGUUACUCUUAUCCAUGUUGGCAAUCAAUCAAAACACCCUGGAUUUUUUUUCUUUUCAAUAAAGCGUUUAAUCCUAAAUAAAUUUAUUAAGCUAAGAUUUACUAUAACAUAUCAUUUUAUUUUUCCAAAACUAACCAUCACAUUAUCUCCUGUUCACAAGUAUUAAAAAAAAAAAAAAUUCCACCAAUCAUCUUCUUACCCAAAAUCUCAAAUAUUUACUAUAAUCUCUAAGUCAAAAAGAAUAUUUCCAAAAAUGUUUUACAAACUAAUAAAAUAUAAUUUAACUUAAAAAAGUCCAUAUAACUCAAAUUAGUAGAUGUCAAAAAGGUAAUUAAAAAAAAACAACCAUUAUUAUGGUUUUUUUGCUUUUUAGAACACUUCAUGAUCUUCUUAUGGUCCCUUAGAAACUAUAUCUGCAUCUAAAAAUUUUAGAAAAUAAAGGGAUGCACAUUUCCACGUUACUCUUUAGACCUAAAUGGGUUAGAAAUUCUAAGUCAAUAAAACACAACCAUAUGCCAAAAUAUAAUAUUACAUUUACAUUAUACACACUAAAAGAAACCUCAACCAUACAAAUUUAAAUCAAUCAAAAUUAUCAUUUUCCUUAUUUAAUCAUAUGUUUAGCAUAUCAAUAAUUUUAAAUUUACAAAAUAAAUAAGUCACUUUAGUCUUGAAUAAUAUAUUCAAACAUAUACUUGAUAAAUAAUACAAAUCAUUUUUCCAAAUGCAACCAUGAUACAAAUGCUUACACACAAUCACGCAAUGCAAUAUCGUUCUCGAGCUUUCACCGAAGGAUAUGCAUUUAUACCCAAAUACACUCCCCAUUCGGAGUCUUCCUGGGAUAAAAUUUUGAGUCUUUCACCCUAAGGAUCUCACUCCCUUCUUAACUCACCAUCUCUAGGGUCAUUCAAUUUCUUAUUUUUCUUUUCUUUUCAUUUUUGCCAUUUUUGGGGUCUUUUCAUUCUCAUUUCCAUUUCACACAACCAUUUCUUCAAUUUUUAUUUUUCUUCACACAAUCAUGAUGCAUAUGAAAUGCAACUGAAUCAUAUUUUAACAUCCAUAAUUUUCCAAGACAUAAUUUUAUUUACUCCCAUUAUGUUUCAUAAUUUCCAAUAAUCCACACAACGAUUUUUCUUCACUUUAAUCGUCACAAACAUAAAAGAAAAUUCACAAUUAAUUUGUAUAGCAUCAAAACAUAGUUUUAAACAUUGACCACAUAAAUUCUAUUUAUUCCCGACAUGCUUAAUAAUUUCCAAAUCCAAUAUAACCAUUUUUUUUUCAAUUAAAUAAUCACACAUAUCCAAGAAAAUUCUCGCUAAUACAAAUAUCAACAAAAAUGUAAUUUAUGUCAUAAUUUAUUUGUCUCCAAUAAUUUCAAAAAUUUUGACACCCAUAUGACAAAUUUCCACAAUUAAGCCACCCCAAUAUUUGGGAAAAAUUUUCCAAUAAUUCAAAUAUCAACAAAAACCCAAUUUAUAUCAUCAUUUUAUUUAUUUUUAAAAGCAUUAAUAAUUUUAAUAAUCAAUACAACACUUUUCCACAAUUAAGCCACCACAAAAUUUUGGGAAAAUUUUCCAAUAAUUCAAAUAUUAACAAAACACAAUUAUACCUUAAUUUUUCUUAUCUCUGACAACAUCAAUAAUUCUUAGUACUCAAUACAACUAUUUUUAUUUUUUCAUAUUUAAUCUUCUCAAACAUUACCAAAAUUCCAAGAAAAAUUUAUAAAUCACGAAAUAAAAUUAUUCACAAUAAUAAUCACACUUCAAAUACUACAAAUAACAUCUAUUAUAUUUCAACAACACAAUAUAUAAUUUUUUUUGAAAGAAAAUAUUAAAUCAAAGUUUUAGGGUUAAAUCACCCUACCUUAAAUUUGAAAAAUUUAACCAUUAAAACUAAAACGGGACACCGUAGGAGUGUUCCUCGCAUUGAAUAGAAUAUCCUUCCAAAAUUUUAUGUGAAAUGGACGUCAUUUGGUAGGUCCACCAGCAUCCUAAAGCUGGCGACCCAUUUUUCCCACUCUUUGCCGACGACUUCCCUACAUCUCUUACUCGAUUUCCUUUCUUCAUUUUCUUUUCUUCUUCUUCUUUUCUUCUUCUUCUUUUAAACUCCCACGCCAAUUUCACUUUAUAUAUAUAUAUAUAUAUAUAUAUAUAUAUAUAUAUGUAUGUAUGUAUGUAUUAUUAAAACAAAUCCUAAAAUACCACGCACAUCCAUUUCUCAAUAAAUUAAAACCAUUAUUCUUAAAUUCACCUUCCGUAAUUAUGAAUUAUACCAAACUUAUGAUUUUCCAUUUCACGAAAAAUACCACCGUAUUCGUAAUUUAAUUUACUACAAGUCUACUCUUCAAAAAGUAUAAUUUGAUUAUAAUUACAUGAAACAUUGUUUUUUUACUCUAAAAUUCAUUUAAAACAUGAUAUAAUUAACUAUUAACAAAAUUCAAUUCCAUAAAAUAUUAAAAACAUAAAAUAAUUUUUUGGCAAUCAAGAAGUUGAAAUUUGUAAUAACCCUAAACCCGUUAAUUUUACCUAUAUUUAUUUACCAAAAAAAAUUUAAAUAAUAUUCUAAAAUUUAAUUCCAUAAAUUAAUUAGUCAUUCAAUUUAUAAAAAUCAAAUUCUCUACCCUUUGGUAUAACUUUUAUUUAAUUUACUUCAUUUUUCAAAUUAUUCAAUCGCAUCAAAAUUUCAAAAGUUAAAUUCACUAAAUUCACAUUUAAUUAAUUUAUCAUUUUGUAUUUUUUUUUUUUCUAAAUUCGCAUAUCAUAAUUUAAUCUUAAUUUAAUUUUGAUUCAAUUUUGUUUUAGGUUUUCUAAUUUUAUGAGGUUUAAUUUCAAUUAUAAAAAUUAAAUUCAAUUUCUUUUUAAUUAUCCAUUAUCACAAUUUGAUAUAAUAUAAUUUUUUAUCAAGUUUUUCUUACUACGAUUUUUCUUAUAAUUAUCCAAUAAUAAUUAAAUUAAUUCUCGUAACAUAUUUAAUAUUCAAAUUUUAAAAACUUAAUCUCAAUUAUUUGAUGGUUAUUUUUUUUUUCUCAAAAUCUAAAUUUAAUUUAUGAAAUUCUCACUUCUUACAUCUGACGUGGCAAAAUUUUCAAACUAUUGACUUUUGACCAACUUUUCCUAAAUUUAUCCUAAUUAAAUACUAACACAUGGAUUUUCACCACUCUUUUUGAUCUUUUGACCCACAAAUUUAUGAAAGACUUUAUACUUGGAGAAUCUACAAAAACCUGGGUAUUACAAUUUCUCAGGUUGAUAACUGUCGUGGUUACGAAGCCACCACUUGAAUACUCAAUCGCCAUUGUAAUGGGCCUAGAUGCAAAUAGUACAUCAUGUUUCUUCAAAAGUUCUCUGCUAAUCUCUGGGAAAGUCGUAGGGACAAGAUGAAAUAUUUCCCAAUUGAAUACAUGCAAUUUCAGUGUUCAUUUCUUUCAUAAAGCCAAUGUAUCCACCAGAAAGUUGGCUUUUUGUUGAGUAAAUGAGGUAGAUAUUGCACUAGUGGCCAUGGAGCUAAUCCUGGAGGAAGUUGUAUCGGCUUGCUUUUGGUACUUGUUUUGGAUUUUAAUUUAGUGAAGAUGAGAAAGAUUGAUGUGAUGAAAAGCAGUAAGAGGAAGUUGAAAUGAGACAACACAUCGUCUGUGGUAGUAGAAGAAAACAAGGUUGAGUUACUGCUACUACUCUCUGCAACAAAGCCAUUUACACGUCUUUUAUGGCAAAACCAUGUUUGUCCUAUCUUGGGUCUGGAUGCACAUUUUUAAUAUUGGGGAAAUCAUGCAACCAAAUGUCACACACAAAGAGAGAGAAAAAAAUACGUUUUUUAGAACUUGAAAAGGUAAAGUGGGACAAAAAAUAUUAUCCAUUCUUGAACUCUAAAAGUAAAGUUAUAAAAAGCUUAGUUUUUUUUUUUUUGUUAUGUAUGAUUGCAUGAUUUCCCCCUUUUAAGAUUUUAUCUCAUAAAAUUUUUUUCUAGAAGGUUCAAAUAAGUUUGAUGAAUAUUGUUUAUUUUAGUAAUUUUAAUUUUAUGGGGUACUUAAAACAUUAGAAGUUCACAAAAAGCAACAUUUAUCAGCUACCUAUCUAAAAAGCUUGGCCUAAUCAUUGAAAUCCAAAAUAUAAAGUGACAACACACUUUUUAAAGCAAUUUUCAAAAUAGUUUUUAAAAACACAUUUAUUUAUGAUAUUUUUAAAAUAAAAAUCUCAAAAAUAACUUGUUUAUAUUACUUUUUAUUAGACAAAUACUUGAUCUUUAUAAGAUCACCCUAAUUAUAGAUUUAUGAACAUGUAACACAGCAAUUAUCUAUAUAUAUACUUAGAAUUAUUAUAUUUUAAGUUUUUAACUACAUAGGACAUCAUGAGUUUUUCCACCAUUUAUCUUAUAAUAAGUUUAUUUAAAUAUGAUAAAGGAUAUAUUAUCUCAUUUCUUAUUAUAUCUGAUGCUAUAUAUAUAUAUAUAUAUAUAUAUAUAUGUAACAAAUCAAAUACAAUUUAAAGAUUUUAAUUAACCAUCUAUUAGCAACAAAGCAAUCUCUUAAUCUCAUUCAUAAUAUUAGGAUAAUUUAGUAUUUCCUUUUAUAAAACACUAGCAUAUAAAUCAGCACAAAUCAUAUUAAGGGUGUAUUUGGUGUUGAUUUUAGAAAGCGUUUUUAGUAUUUCUAAUACUUGAAAGAUAAAAAUUUUCAAGUUUUAGAAAGAUCAAAAGCGCUUUUUAGAAUGACUAUCAAAUACAUGCUAAAUAUUACUUUUGGAUACUUAUAUUUUUAAAUAACUCUUAAAACUUUUAAGGCAAGUCUCUACUAUUCAUAUAAACCCCCUAUUAUUUUUAAUUCUUAGAAACAAAAAAUAAAGAAUAAAAACUCCAUUUAAACAUCACCUUAUUAUUUCCUAUUAUAAAAUAACACAAAUCAAAUGAAUUAUUUAAAAAUAAAUAAAUAUAAAAUCAAAGUUGAAGAGAAAAAACUCUUGUGCAUUAAAAAAACAUCAAAAUAAAUAAAUAAAUAAAUAAAUAAAACAUCAUCAAAUAAAUGUAAAAAUAAAUUAAUGUUAUGGAAAAAUGAGAAUAGGCAACAAGAAAAUAAGAACACAGAUUUACAUGAAAAAUGCUAGAUGGGAAAAACCAUGGAUAGAGGAGAAGAAAAUCCACUAUAUUAAAAAUUUGGUAUAAAAUGUGACAGAAUCAAGUGAGUAUUGUAUAGGCAUAAUCACUAUGACCCUAAAUCCUAUACAUCAUCGCAUAUGUAUGGUGUAUGCGAUAAUAUUUGUGAUAAUAAAAAUAUUGUCGCAUAAAAUAACUAUGGGAUGUAAUAUUUGUAAUAAUAUUCUUUACAAAAAAAAUAUUUUUUCUUUGCUUUAUUCACUUUGAUCACAACUUGAAAUAAGACAAUAAAAAUAUUUUCUUAAUUUUUGAAAAUUAAUUGAGGACUUAGAGCUACUUGUUACUGAGUGAAUUUGCUGAAUGGUGAAGAAUGUGUGUAUAGUAGUUUUGCAAUUUUUCAAACUUGUAGACAUAUUUUGUGAAGUCUUUUUCUCUUUGUAAAGCCCCAUUUUCUUUGUGUAGUUAUUUUUUCAAUAUUCUCUUUGGAAGGAAUUUACCAUUAGUUAUAUAGGUAAGAUUAAGGAAUUAAAUUUGGAAUUCUUAAGAUUUGAUUGCUUAAUUCAAAGAAUUUGGUUCAAGGGAAAUUUGCCAACAAAAUAAUAUUUAUUUUUAAUUCUAUGAUGACUUUAAUUAUUUGAUAUAAUUUUAUUUUGAAAGACUUGAUGUGGGGGACUCAUCACUUAUUGAGUCCAAAUUUUGUUGCACCCAAAUUUUUAUGAGCUAAGAAACCAUAAUUUUAAAGACCAAUUCAGUGGUAAGUGAAUCUGCUAAAAUCUUCUAUGUACAAAUGACCUCACUUCAAGGUGCAACACAUACAUGUAUUAUUAUGUGUAUGGGAUGAGUCUUGAAGUUAGUCUUCAUUCUUCUUUGAUUUUUUUUUCUUCAAAUAAAUAAAUAAAACAUCAUCAAAUAAAUGUAAAAAUAAAAUAUGUAUCGGUUAAUUGGAGAGGAGAGCUUUAAGGGCAUUUCUUCUAUGAAAUUCUAUGCUCCACGUACCAUAAAUUUGUACUCAACCAACAAAAUUACAGAAUGGGUCCAUGCACAAACAAAAAUAACUCAAAUGUAAAUAUCUAAAAAUGUAUAAAGUUCACAAUAGAUAUUCAAGCCCAAAUUUAAAUUUCAAAUUAGUCCAAUAGAUUUCAUCAAUCAAAAUGGGUCCAAAUUAGCAAAUAUAACCCAACAAAAAUAUCUCAUAUGUCAUAGGCCCUAAUUUAAAAUUUUCAAAUUAAUAGCCAAAAUAUAAGUUCAAUUAAUCAAACCCAAAACAUGAUAAAUUAAAAUAAAUCUCAUUAGGCCUAUACUUAAUAUCCCAUAAUUCAAGCCUAAUUUAAUAUAUAAACCUAAAUCCACAAUCAAAAUCAACCCAAUUUAUGCUAAUCCCGAUUUACAAUCAAAAUCAAACAUAAUUUAAUAAGUAAAUAACUAAAUAAAUUAAGCAAACUCAAAACACCCAAACCACUACAACAUAAAUCAAACAAUAAUAAAUAUAAUGACAAUAAUAAUAAUAAUAAUAAUAAUAAUAAUAAUAAUAAAAUAAAAUAAAAUAAAAUAAAAAAAUUUAACUCAUGUCGGAGCCAGUUUGAAUGUCUUGGGAAAGAAAGAAAAUGAGAGAAAAGUGAGAGAUGAUUGACAACUGACAGUGGCUCACUGGCGACGACUGGCUAGUGGUCCUACCGAUGGUAGUGAGGAUUGAUUGGUUUUUGGGAAAAAAAAUAAAAUGAAGAAAAGAAAAUGAGGUGUAAUAAAAAAAUGGAGAAUUGAGAGGAAGGUGGGAGAAGAAUGGAGAGAGAGAACAUAGAAAAUGAGUGAAAAGAAAUGAGGCUAGUUGGAGGAGGAAGUGGUAGUGUGUGAGCUAAAGUGAAGAAGAAUAGAAGAAGAAAAUGGAGAAGAAUGGGGAAAAAAAAUCCGCCUCCUUAAAUGAAGAGAGGUGGGUAGCCUAAAGAAGAAGAAAAAAUAAAAUAAAAUAAAAUGGGGAGAAAAUGAGAGGGGGUCGGUGGUCUUGUGAAUGAGGUGGUAUGCGUUAGAGAGAGAGAGUGGGUGGGGUUGUUGGGGAAGGUAUGAGAGAGAGAGGAGAGAGAAAAGAAAAAAAAGAAAGAAAAGAAAAAAGAUAAUAUAAAAUAAUAAUAAUAAUAAAAUAAAAUAAUAUACAAAAUAAUAAAAACUAAUAAUUAAAUAGUGAGUGGGCAAAAAAUAUCAUAUGUAAUCGGGAUUUAAUUUUAAGAGUAAAAUUGGGUUAAAAAUUAAUGUAAAAUAAAAUUAGGACAAAUUUUGGGGUAUACAAAUAUGCGCCUCUUCGGUAGAGUCCACGAGUAAAGCAAGUGUAUAUGUGAGCAAAACAAAGUGGGCUCUACUGAAAAACAAGACAAACCACCAAAUUUGUCUUAAUAUGACAUGAACUCUCCCAAAAAAAAAAAAAAAAAAAAAAUCUAAAACCCUACAAAAAUGGCCAAAACGGAAACUCCUAAGGUGCCUUUAAAGUUAUACUAUGGAUCUAGACUCCCUUAGAAAAGCCUCCAAAAAUGGCCCAAAAAUCGGUGUCAAAAUCGAGUAGCAAUCAGACCACUAAGGAGCACAUGAACGAAUGCAUACAAAGGGAAAAAAACCAUACGUGUACCAUACGAUGACAAAAGGCAUAAGGUAUCCAACAAUAUGACUGAUUCACGUGUUACGAGCUCAAAGAACUUUGUCAUGCACCAUGGAGGAAGGGAAACUCUAGAAUAAUGUGAUGAGGAAGUUAUUAGCACAAUGUAAUAGAGUGAGGAAAAAAGUGAUGAGUGCAAAGCUGUGAGGACAAGGUGCACAAUGCUAAUGAAUAUGAAAUGAAUAGCACUAGGCUAUAAUGCAAUGAAUAGCUCAGGGUUGUACCAUAAUGAACAAGUCAAGGAUGUGUAAAGAUGAGGAACAACUCAAGGUUGUAAUGCAAUGAACAACUUAGGGUUGUGAAUGCAAUGAACAGCUCAGCGCAAUGAAUGAAAUGAAUAGCUCAGGGCUGUGAAUGCAAUGAACAACUCGAGGUUGUGGAUGUAAUGAACAACUCAUGGUCAUGGAUGCAAUGAACAGCUCAGGGCUGUAGAUGAACAACUCAGGGUUGUGGAUGUCAUGAACAACUCAAGAAUAGGGGCACUGUACACCCAAAAUGGGAGAUCACGGUCUACGAUUCCAAGUCAAACCACUAAAGGGUGACCAAAAUGAGGGUGAUCAACUCACUAAAAAAGAUGAUCAAAAUGUCUUAAGGGAGAGGAGAUGCCCCAGAUGAAACUUAAAGGAAGUGAGUAGUGCUAAUGAAACUAAAAAAAGAAAAAAUGUCACAACUGAAAUUGAAAAAAUAGCAAACUUAGAUUAAAGUGCAAUGAACAACUUUGGGUUGUGGAUGCGAUGAACAGUACCUUGUUGUAAUGAAAUGAAUAACUCUAAGAUAUGGGCAUUGUACGCCUAAAGAGGGAGAUCGUGGUUUACGACUCCAAGUCAAACCACUAAAGGACGACUAAAAUAAGAUGAUCAACUUACGAUAAAUGAGAAUGCAACUAUCUCGAGAAAAAGGGUAUGCCCCAAAUGACACUCAAUAGUAAAAGAAUGACACAAAUGAAACUAAAACAAGAGGAUGCCACAAAUGAAACUGAAAUGAUAACAGACUCAGUACUAAUGUGUAAUGAACAACUUUGGACUAUGGAUGCAAUGAAUAGCACUGGGUUGUAAUGAAAUGAACAACUCUAAGAUGUGGGCACUAUACGCCUAAGAAAUGAGAUCAUAGUUUACGACUCUAAGUCAAACCGCUAAAGGGCGACUAGAAUAGGAUAAUCAACUCACUAAAAAUGAGGAUGCAACUAUCUCGAGAAAGGGGGUAUGCCCUAAAUGACACUCAACAGUAUAAGAAUGACAUAAAUGAAACUAAAAUAAGAGGAUGCCACAAAUAAAACUAAAAUGAUAACAAACUCAAAACUAAUGUGCAAUGAAUAACUCUAGGUUGUGGAUGCAAUGAACAACACUGGGCUGUAAUGAAAUGAACAACUCUAAGAUGUGGGCACUAUACGCCUAAAGAGGGAAAUCACGGUCUACGACUCCAAGUCAAACCACUAAAGGGCGACUAGAAUAGGAUGAUCAACUCACUAAAAAUGAGAAUGCAACUAUCUCGAGAAAAGAGGGAUGCCCUAAAUGACACUCAAUAGUUAAAGGAUGACACAAAUGAAACUAAAACGAAAUGAUACUACAAAUGAAACUGAAAUGAUAACAAACUGAUAACUAAAGUGCAAUGAACAACUCUAGGCCGUGGAUGCAAUGGACAGCUCAAGAAUAGGGGAACUAUUCGCCCAAAAUGGGAGAUCGUGGUCUGCGACUCUAAGUCAAACCACUAAAGGGUGGCUAAAAUCAAAAUGAUCAAUUCACUAAAAAUGAGGAUCUGAACAUCUCAAGAAAGGGGUUAUGCCCCAAAUGAAACUGACAAUAGAGGGAUGCCCUAAACAGACUGAAAAAAGGAGGAUGCCUUAAACAAACUAACGAAAAAUGGAUGCCCUAAACAAAUUGACGGAAGUGAAAUGCCCUAAAUAAACUGACCAAAGAAGAAUGCACUAAACAAACUCCAAGAAAAAAAAAGAAGAAGUAUGCGAUAUAGAAUCAAAAACACCUAAAACAAAAACAAGAAACAAAGAAUGUGGUUUACAACUAGAAACACCCAAAAGAACCUUAAAGAAGUGACUGGGAUAAUGAACUUAAUGAAAAUGGGGUAUGCCACAGUAAAAGACUCGGAAGUAUCAGCAAAUGGAUCAAACGACCAUGAAAUCAAUAGGAGAUAUGAUGAACCCAAAAAGGGCGUAUGCCCCAACAAAAGAACACUAAAAGGGGGGUAUGCCUUGAUAUGACGACUCACAAUAAUUAAGAAAUGGAUCGAGUAAUGAGAAAAUCUGCAAAAUAUCUUAUGAACUCAAAGAUGGGGGUAUGCCCCAGUGUAAAAUAGUGACCAACAUAAGACACAGAAUGUCACCAUACAAUACACUCUGGGAUAUGCUCAAUGACAAUGUAAUGAAAACAAUAGCCUCAAUCAACAAAUGUUCAAGCAAGACCAUGCAUCACAUAAACUAAAAUAAUAGGCUAAACAAAUGCUAACCAAGUCUCUCAAUCUGAAAUGUAAGCAAGUCAAGACAUGACAUGUCAACCAUCGACAUGAAAACAUCAUCACAAAUACAUCAACAAACUAAUAGUCCCUACUAUCAUGGAAGAUGUAGAACCUAACGUCCAAAGGCAUGUGAAAACUCAACCAAAAAGCUCAAGACUAGUUUGCAUCCUCCUCUAAUAAAAAGAAUGAGAUAAGGUCAUGUAGGAUGAUGAAAUAGGCAAGCUCAAUAUUCGUUAGGCUCUACCAAGAUGGAUGUAGGUAUAAUAGUGUCAAAGGUAGGAUGUCUAGAUGUCCAACGAAGGAAACUGGGUAUCCAAGUCAAACCAAGUAUGUUGAGGAAACUGAAGCCAUAGGACAAUAACUUUAUGAUCCAUUGAAAAUAGCAAUCAUGAAUAGAAGGUCGAGUCUCGAUGUCAAAAUCAACAAGGUGGCAUUGCCCCAGUAUGAAUACAUCUUCUCAAAAUGGGUAAACCCUCAGUGCAAGAUAAUCUCUAGAUAGUAUGUGUCUAGUAUAAACUGUCAUCUCACAAAAUCUAUCACUGAUGAGUGGGCUAUACCCCAGUGUAAGCAUUUCCAAAUCAAACAUCGAUGAGAGGAGUACAACCAAUCAUACAUAAUAUGAUCAAAACAAAUCUCCACUCCUCAAAGUCAUCAUGGUAACGUGAAGAGAGUAUCUAACCUCAUUUAAAGAAAGAUCAUGUCCCAAUGUGAAAAAUAUCAAGCAAAGUGGUAUGUCUCAACAAAAAUGCACUCUAACAUGAUCAUGCCUAGAUGUAAGCUGGUAUCUUUAAGAUCAAUCACCAAUGAAAGGGUUAUGCCCCAGUAUAGGGCAAUCUCUGAAAUGACUAAAAUCCGCUACAAGCUCUCACAAGUGUCUAUGUCAUGAACCAAUCAUCUCAAAAAAUAAAUAAAUAAAUAAAUAAAUCUAUCAACAAUGAUGAGAAGGUUAUGCUAUAAUCACAUCAAGAAAAUCACUCGGUCAUAUCUUGUACUCCAAUGUGAAAGGAAAAUAUGAUCACCUCUAAAGAAUGGCUAUGCCCCAAAAUACAUCAUCGAUUGAGAAAUAUGCCCCUACGUAAAGUACAUCAACUGAAAUAUGCCAAUCAUGCCUCAUGUUCCAAUGUGAAAAAUGACAUAUAAUAUUCUUUGAGGGAUGGUCAUGACUCAAAAUCCAUCAUCAGUUGAGAGAAGUAUGCCCCGACAUAAUGGUCAUCUAAAAAAUCAAUCUCCGACUAAGAAAUGUGUGCCUUGAUGUGAUGUAUCAAGCAAACUGGCUGCAUACCCCAUAAAAAACUCUCUAAGGUGGCUAUGCUCCAAUGUUGGAUCAUACCACAACUCCUGGUCUAUCACAAUCAAAAUGCUCUCCAACCAAUCCCAAGUAUCGCCCACAUGAGAGCUAUCAAACACAAUGUGUGAUGUCAUGGCCUCAAGGUGGUCUUAAGAUUCAGGACGUAACGUAGGCUAGGGUAAUAAGGUGAAGAAAUGAAGGAAAACUAGGCUUAAUAAUCCUAAUGAUAAAACCCCAUACCCUUAUGUAUAAAAUGCAAUAUGUGCAAAGAGUCUUAUAAACCAUGGAUCUAAGGACACCCAAUAUGAAUAUAUCAGUGAGGAAGAAAGAAUCUAAGAUGAAUAUAUCAAUGAUAAAAGAGAAGAAAUGAAGAAUAUCAAACUGCUGAUGGGAUGUAUAAGAAUGAUGUGUGGAAAAUAUUGAACAUGGAAUGUAAAUUGAUAUGAACAAAGAACAAUGUAGGCAAGGCAAAUGCGAUAUCAUGAUAAGAACAAAUAAAUCGAAGAAAAAUGAAUGAACACUAAUCCACUCAAAUCAAGUCAUGGAGAAUAGUCAAAUCACCAACGUAUGUAAUGAUGGAGAAGACAAUGAUUCGAAGUCCCUAGGAAAAUGUCACUUGUUUGUCACACAUAAAAUACAUAACGAGAUAGACACAAAAAUAUGAGAGUUUUUUGAAAGUUCACAUACGAACUUUCAUAAGCAACUAACUCAAUAAAGCAACCUCAAUGACCAAUAUAUACACUCAAUAAAGGAUGACACUGUAUACAUGUGUUUAUUACUUUUUCUUUUUCAUUUUUUUCAUUUUUGUUUUUAUUUUUUUUCUUUUGCUCGCGCAUACUCUGAAUAUCAAUAAAUGAACUUCUCUGAGAAUACAUAAUGAAAUGGAUAUACUCUCAAACAAUGAUGUAAGCGAACUCUCUCUGACAAGAUGACCCUCUAAAUUAAGGAUUUUCAAACUAACGUCCAUGAGAUAGGAGUGGAAGGGGAUAUGACCAUCCUCCCUGCACCGAAAUGUGAAAAAUCAUCACUCAGGGCACAAAAAAAUGUGAUGAAAAAAAAUAAAAAAUGAAACAAAAGAUAUAAACAAUGAAGUAUGAUGAAGACUGAUGUUGGGAAGACAAAAAAAUAGUGAAGAAUGUGAGCCAAUAAGUCCACAACUCAUGAAACUCUCGAAUAAAAUAUAUAUAUACACCAAAAGACCCUUAUCCCGGUGUAAAAUGUGAGCAAGGAUAUAAGAAAGAAAAGACUAUGGUGCUCAUGUGAGGUUCAAAGGGCUAGCAACGGUCCAAAUGUCAAUAAAGGUAAUAGGGUGUGAGCUAACCAAAAUGAAGGCCACCUAUGAUGGUCUGAAACAUCAUGCUCUUAAGCUUUCAAUGAUCAAUACUGAAAAUCGAUGUCCAUUUGAUAUAAACACGUCAACCCUUUGGAAUUGUGCGCCAAACCAUACUCCAAAUGCUCCAUAAUAAUCUCAAAGAUAAUCCUCUCAAAGCAAAGUAAAUAGCGAUCUCAUAAGGCACAACUACUCAUCACAAGCCAACUCUCAUCAUGCAAGAUCAAUCUCUAUUUUCAUGGAAAAAUAAGUGACAAUCUCAUCAGGUAAUCGACGAAUCCUCACAUCAUAAACCAACCAAAGAUCAUAAGUCAUUCAUUGCCAUGCAAGAUCAAUCCCAGACUCAAACUCCUCAUACUCUACCUGGUUGGAUUAGAGAAGAAAUGGGCAAAACUAGAAAAACUGAAGAUGGAAAGGUCAUAUAAUGGUGUCAAGGGUGAUGUUGUGCAAAACUCACAAUGGAUGGAUGUAGGUCAAAGCAAAGUCAAUGUGUGAGAGUGAGUAAGGCACUACUCUGAUCAUAAGAAGAUGGGUCACAAUCUCAAACUCCUAAGGUCAAAUCUCCGAUCCUAGGCUAAUAAGCUCAACAUCCUCCAUGAUAGGUCAACCCCCAAGAUCACAAUGUGCAAAUGAAUAGAUGCCUCAAGUCAAAAGUACAACACAUCAUAUGAUAUAUGGUCCUACGAUGACAAUCUAAAACUGGAAAUAUGUUAGAAACUCUAAGGUCAUAAACGUGUCCACUGUGAGAUGACUAUAAAUGUGACUAAGGAAUCUUUAUCAAUAAUCCAAAAAAUGAAUGAAGUGUGAAAAACAACACUAUCAUGAGAUCGAUACCCCAUCAAUAACAAAAUAUCUCUAAUUCACUUUCAAUCUAAACUCUAUAAAGAAAAACGAUAAGGUUAUAAAGGCAAACCUCUCAAAAAUGGUGUGAAUGUGAAAACAUGUCUUCACCUUUCUAUAAUGAAAAUAUCAUGUUGAAAAUAGAAAUAGGCAAAUCGACCAAAGAAUGAAGUACGGAGCCCAUGACAAGUGAAGAAUGUAAAAAGGUGAACAUGAUCAAUGAACAUAUCCCAAAACAUCAAGCAUAAAGUGACAACAAACCAAAAGAAUGUGUCAACUUAAGAAAAGAAGACUAUCUGAAGCCCCAGGGAAAAAGUGUGCUAGACUCAACGAGCGACAAGAAGAAACUAAAACCAUAUAGCAAGAGGUGGUCCAACUGAUACUCAAACUCGUACCAAUAUCUAAGCACUCUCGACUGGAGACCAAAAGAUGGAGUAUUGGAUCCAUAUUGUGACUAAAGUGGCCUCGAAGGCUCUCAGAUGCACCCACGUGUAGGAAAGGAAAUCCUAGUAAAAAUAUCUAAGGCUUAACCUACAAGGUCAAGGCGGCUCUAAAAAGAAAAAUUGAGUGGACUUUAAAGGAUUCCUAGCAAAAGCGAUCAUACCCUCCGAUGGUACGCAACCUCCUACACGUCUUGAAAUAUAUGGGAGUGAUUCCAUGCAAGGUGGUCAUCACCUCCACACAUGCACUAUCUCAUAUCCUAGAGGGUUUCCUAAUGAUGAAGACUCUUACAUCUCUCAACACUUAGUGGUAAUCUAAGGUGCACAGUGAAUGGUGUGGGUUCAUCCAAAAAUCCUAUCAAGCUAAGCAAAGAGAAAACACAUUGGUCACACAAAUAUCUUGAAAUAUAGCUCUAACCUAUACAAGUCUUCAAAGAUUGGACUCCAAUUAGCAUUAAUGUUUCGACCUUCUCCAGAAUGCUCCCAAACAUAGAUAUAGUCCAUCACUAAAUCCUACUCCGAAUCACUAGCUCGGUCGAAGAGCAAACAAAGUAAUAAGUCUCAUAUCAAAUAUGAGAUCAAGGGGAACAUGGUCACCCAAGACUAGGGAAUUGAAGUAAGGGGAUAGAUGUGUGUCCCACAUAGAAAAGCAACAUGCAUCACACAGAAGAAGAAUAGUCAUGCAAUAGACAACCAAGCAAAGAACAGGUAUAUCAUUCAUAUCUACACACAAGCUAAACAAGAAAUAGGUAUUUAACAAGAAUAAACAAUAUGUUGAGAUAAACAAGAUAAUAUACAAUAAAGAGAAUCAAUCACACCAAUAUGAAUGAGAUAUACAAAAAUGAGAAUAUACAUGUCAAGGAGAACAAGAUAAUCAUACAACAAGAAGAGUCUUAUGUUAAAGCAAGCAAGAGAAUCAAUCGAUGUAGUCAACAUGUCAAUAUCGCAAAUGAACAUAACAACCAAAUAUGCAUCAUAAAGAAAAAAUGGUAAUCAUGCAGCACACAGUCAUACAAAACAAAUACAAACAAACAUAAGCAAAUAAAUGUAAACACACAUGAUAACAAAAAUCAAUGUAUAGUAAGGCACAUGCAAUAUAUACAUAAAAUAAUCAUCAAGUCAACACUCAUAUACCUUAAAACAUGAAAAUAUACAAUAAAGACACAACGAGAGGGUAUUCACUGAUCGAUUAAUCAAACACUACAUUUCCCUUAACUCAAGUUCAAGUUUGAUCCUUUAAAUAUCCCUAGUGGAGUCGCUAUUUUGUGGACCCACAUUUUUCAAAUGCGUCCUUACACAACAGCGAGACUCAUUUUUUUUAUUUGGUGAAAAUUUGAUUUUGAGAAAAAAGACUUUGAGUUGUCACUUAUUUUUGUUUUUUUUUAAGGGAAAACAAAACAAGAAAGAAAACCUUGUGUGACUCCUUAUUUGGGAAAGACAUGUAUGCAAAAACCAAAUCUGGAUUCGGGGGUCAAGUUACCUAUUGGGAAUGUACGAUGGUGAGCUGUAGCACCUCUCUAAGCUCAUAUACGUACGGUCUCUACUAAACGAAUUAAGAGAAUUGUAGUAAUUAAUUAAUUAGUCAAGGAUACCAAGAAAAAGAAUCGCACAAAUGAGUACAUACAAAUCAUGAUAAAAAAAAUCAAAUUAUAAGAAUAGACAAAAUAAAUAACAAGAGAAUUGUGCAAAGUGAUUUAUUAAACUAAAUAAAAAAGAAGAUAUUAAAAAAAUUAGUUUUCAAGAAAUUUCAAAGGAUUUUAUUAAAAUGAUUUUGAAUUAAUGAUUUUAAUUUAUUUAUUUACAAAAAAAAGUCAAUUUAUUUUCUUCAAUUGAUUUGAUUCAAUUUCAUUUGUAUUCAAUUUUUUUUUUAAAAAAAAAAAGUUAUUUACACUCAUGGUUGUUAAAAGAAUUAUUAACAAAAUUUCAAGUUGACAAUAAAAAUGAUUUUUACUUGCUUUUACUCGAAAACAAUGAAUUUUUACAAUUUUAUUAACAAAAGCAUUUCAAUUUAAGAAAAGUGACUUAAACAAAUUAUUAAAAAAAUAUAACUUUAUCUGCAAAAGAAUUUUUAAUUAAAAAGAAAAAAUUUAAAUCAUCUAUUUCUAAAAAUGACUUUUAAUCCCAUUUUAAUUAAGAAAAUUUGAGUUAUUUAAAAAAACAUUUUUUGGACAAUUUGAAUAAAAAUUAAUUUUUGGGACAACUUUAUUUACAAAAAAAAUUUUGGACAAUUAUUAUUAAAAACAAAAUUUCAAAUUCUAUUAAAAACAAUUUUUUGGAUUUUUCCAAACACAUUUUUAUGAAUUUUUAUUAAUAAAAAACUUUUUUUUAUUAAGAAGAAUAUUUUUUGAGCUAUUAUUUUAUUAAAACAUGUUUAUUGAAUUAUUCUUCUUAUUCAAACAAAAUUUUUAAUUUGUUCAAUAUCUAAUUCUGUACACAACAAGUAAAUAUAUACAAACAAAUAUUUAUAAAAACCAAUAAAAAUAAAACCAAAUAGAAGUGAGAAAUAAAACAUGUUCUUAAACAAGCUUACAACAAGCUCAAUGUCUUCUUACGACUUUUCGAGUCUCACUUUCUUUCAUUAAAUUUUAUGCUCCACGUACCAUAAAUCCGUACUCAACCAAAAAAAUUGCAGAAUUGGCCCAUGCAAAAACAAAAAUAACACAAAUGUAAAUAUCUAAAAAUGAAUAAAGUUCACAAUAGAUAUUCAAGUCCAAAUUCAAAUUUCAAAUUAGUCCAACAAAUUUCGUCAAUCAAAAUAAGUCUAAAUUAGCAAAUAUAGCCCAACAAAAAUAUCUCACAUGUCAUAGGCCUUAAUAUAAAAUUUCCAAAUUAAUAACCAAAAUAUAAGUUCAAUUAAUCAAACCCAAAACAUGAUACAUUAAAAUAAAUCUCAUUAGGCCUAAACUUAAUAUCUCAUAAUUCAAGCCUAAUUUAAUAUAUAAACCUAAAUCCACAAUCAAAAUCAACUCACUUUAUGCUAAUCCCAAUUUAUAAUCAAAAUCAAACAUAAUUUAAUAAGUAAAUAACUAAAUAAAUUAAGCAAACUCAAAACUCUCAAACCACUAUUGCAUAAUAUCAAACAAUAAUAAAUAUAAUGACAACAAUAAUAAUAAUAAAAUAAAAUAAAAAAAUUUAACUCACGUUGGAGCCAGUUUGAGUGUCGUGGGAAAGAAAAAAAAUGAGAGAAAAGUGGGAGAUGAUCGUUAGCUGGUAGUGGCUUGCCGGCGGCGACUGGUCGAUAGUCCUACUGGCGGUAGUGAGGAUUGAUGAGUUUUUGGGAAAGGAAAAAAAAAGAGGAGUAAUAAAAAAAAAAAAAGAGAAAUGAGAGGAAGGUGGGAUAAGAGGGGAGAGAGAGAAUGAAGAAAAUAGGGGAAAAUAAAUGAGGCCGGCCGGAGGAGGAAGUGGUAGUGUGUGUGAGCUAAAGUGAAGAAGAAUGAAAGAAGAAGAAGGAGAAAAAUGGGAAAAAAAUUCGAGCCCUCUAAAUGAAGAAAGGUGAGUAGCUUAAAGAAGAAAAAUAAAAAUAAAAAAAGAAAAAAUGAGGAGAAAAUGAGAGGGCCAGUAGUCUUGGGAAUGGGGUGGUAUAGGUGAGAGAGAGUGGGCGAGGUUGUUGGGGAAGGUAUGGGAGAGAGAGGAGAGAUAAAAGAAAGAGAAAAAAAAACAUAAUAAUAAUAAUAAUCAUAAAUAAUAUAUAAAAUAAUAAAAAUUAAUAUUUAAAUGAUGAGUGUGUCAAAAAUAUUAUAUGUAAUUGGGAUUUAAUUUUAAGAGUAAAAUUGAACUAAAAAUUAAUGUAAAAAUAAAAUUUGAACAAAUUUUAGAAUCUACAAAUACAUUCUUUAAUCUUUCCACAACAUCAAUCUGAUCUAAAUGAAAUGCAAUAAAUUCUAAAAAUGAUACAAUCUUUAAUCAAUCCACAACAUCAACCCGAUCAAAACUCAAUGCAAUAUUGCUUAAUGGAGAGAAUCGUAAAAUCCUUUUAUGAGAGGAAAAAAAAACCCUUAACAGACCUUUAUGAGAGGAAAAUAGGAAAACAUAGAACUAAAAACCCUUAACGUAUUCAUGAGAAUAAAAAAAUCCUUAACACCUUAAUAAGAGGAAAACAAAGAAUUUGAACAAUCCUUAAUCCAUCAAAAGCUCUUAAUAUGAACGAGGGGAAAACAUAACCUUUAUUUUUCAUAUCAUUGAAUACAGAAUCUAAAGAGAUAGAAUUUUUAGUUAUUAAGGAUUUUUUUAUAAAUGUCUAUUGAAAGUUUAAGAACUUUUAUGGAUAAGUGUUAAUUAAGAGACUGAAAGGGUACUUAGGAUUUUCAACUAAAAAAGUUAUAACAAUAUGAAUCGUAAGAACUUAAAAACAUCACCCAUCCAUAAGAGGAAUAUGGAAUGAGAGGUUAUUUUUUUACUUAUACAACAAUAAACUUUUUUGGAAGAGGUUUUUCUAAGUACAAAAAGUUAUGAAUAAAAAACCAUUGUUACGAUGAGUUAACUAAAAUAGAAUUAAUUUAGAAAAUAUCAAUAAAGUUGCAUGAAUUAUUAUCAUGAGUUAACUUAAUAAGAAUAAAUAGUAAUAAAGUUAAUGAAGUGAAUUUGGAUUGGCAGAUAUAUUUGAUGAUAAGAUUUUUUUAAUAAUAAAAAAUUAUUAUGGCAGGAAAAAUAGGACAAAAUUGACCUUAUGAUAAGAUUUUUUUAAUAAUAAAAACAUUAUUAUGGUAUGAAAAAAAGGGACAAAAUUGGCCUUUCCUUAAUUGUACCGGUUAAUGGAAUAAUGGGACAUGCGGUGGUUACAAGCCACCCCAAAAGGUAGGAAGAAUCUCCAACCCCCAUUCUCGGCUCCCUUAUCUUUUCCCUUACAACCAAAAAUCAACAACUAUCUUAGAAUGUCCUUCAGUCCACCAAAAUUCAACAACAACAUUACAAUAAUGAAAACAAAAUUGAUUGAUCACCAGCUAACAUUAGGAGAUUAUAAGAUAAGGAUGUAAUUGCAAUUAUUGAAAUCACUUAAAGAGUAAAAGUUAGGAACAUGCUCACAAUAAAUAAAAUCACCUUAGAAUUAAAAAUUAGGGACAUGAUUAUGAUGAUUAAAAUCACUCGAGAACUAAAAUGUUUUAGAGAUACAAUAAUUGAAAUCAACUGAAAAAUAAAUUCGGGAUGUGAUCGCAAUUAAUGUAUAUAUAAACAACCAAAUGUUGAAAGGAAAAACUAAUGAAAUUAAUAUGAUUUUCUUUUAGAUUUCUCUUGACACCAAACAAAUGUAAGGAAGUUUAUAAAGGAAAAUUAGGUUUUGAUUCACUAAAUUAAAAUAAUAUAGAAAAAAGAUCUUCAAAUUUUAUAUAUCAGUUUUAUUUUUAUUUAUUUAAAAAUAUUUUAAAAUACAUAUAUUUUUUCAUAACUCAAAUAGUCAUUCCUCAAAUGCUAGUUUUACUUGUUAUGUUAAUAACACUAGUUAAUAAUUUUUUAUUGUGAGAACGAUUUAAGAUUAAUAAAAUAAGAAAAUUUUAAAACUAAAAAGACAUUUAAAACUUUAAAAUUAAAAAUAUAAAAAUAAAACAAUAAUUUUUCAUUUAGUAAAACACGCCAGUAGAAAAUAUAGAUAUAGAGAAAGAGUUGGAAAUAAAAUAAGAGUUAAUAUUUUAUUUUUAAAAUUUUAUGUUUUUUAUUUUAAUUGUAUUUAAUUUUAUGUAUUUUAGUUGUAAUUAUAUUUUUAAUUUUUAAAUUUUUUUUUAUUUUAUUGUUGAUGUAAACUAAUAAAUUUUUUGUUCAAUUAUAUAUAUAUAUAUAUAUAUAUAUAUAUAUAUAUAUUUAAAUUAGUGAGUAAAAACCCACUUUUUCUAAUUUAUAAUAUAUUUAUGGGAUUUUAUAAUAUAAGAAAUUUUUUUUUAGAAAGAGGAAAAAUCAACAUUUCAAUUUCCCUUCAUUAUUAUUAUUAUUAUCCAAUUUGGUUGAUUAUGAGAUUAGUUGGUAUCAUUACUAUAUCCAUUUGUCCUUAACCCUUCAUUAGAAUAGUAUUAGGAGUUGAACGUCAGUUGGAAUACAGGCUAUGGAAACAAAUCUAUCCGAUUAGUAGGUUCUUGUUAUUUUCAAUAUAGACCCCAUAAAAUAAAUAGGAGAUAUGAGAUAAGACUGUGACAAAAUUGGCGGUUACUUCCCGACACCUGGCUCUCCACAAACAAACCCAGUGAUCCAGAAAUUAAUUGGUACCUGGACACGUGACUACCAAACGUUCGCUCACCCACCAUACCCAUGGCCUCAUGCCCCAUAUAUUUCCACAAACCUAGCUCAAUUUUCAUAGCCACCUUCACUGUCCUACACUCACUAAGCCAUGGCCAUAGAUACAAGCCUCUUGCUUGAGUUUGCUGCAGCAACUCUACUCUUCUUCAUCACCCGCUUCUUCAUUCGUUCUAUCCUUCCCAAACCUUCCCGGAAGCUCCCCCCUGGCCCCAAAGGGUGGCCGCUCCUCGGCGCUCUUCCUCUCGUAGGUAACAUGCCUCAUGUUGCAUUAGCAAAGAUGGCCAAAAGAUACGGGCCUGUCAUGUUCUUGAAAAUGGGCACUAACAGCAUGGUGGUGGCCUCAACUCCCGAGGCGGCUCGGGCUUUCCUUAAAACGCUAGACAUUAAUUUCUCUAGCCGCCCGCCUAAUGCCGGUGCCACACUCUUGGCCUAUCAUGCCCAAGACAUGGUUUUUGCGGAUUAUGGGGCAAGGUGGAAGCUACUGAGAAAGCUAAGCAACUUACACAUGCUUGGUGGAAGGCUCUUGAGGACUGGUCUCAGGUCCGAGCUGUUGAGCUAGGCCACAUGCUUCGAGCCAUGCUUGAGUUGAGCCAGCGAGCGGAGCCGGUGGUGGUGCCGGAGAUGUUAACUUUUUCCAUGGCCAACAUGAUAGGGCAAGUGAUACUAAGCCGCCGGGUGUUUGAAACAAAAGGGUCGGAGUCAAAUGAGUUCAAGGACAUGGUGGUGGAGCUCAUGACCACUGCUGGGUACUUCAAUAUUGGCGAUUUUAUUCCGUCCAUCGCAUGGCUGGACAUCCAAGGGAUCGAGCGCGGGAUGAAGCAUUUACAUAAGAAGUUCGACAAGUUAUUGACAAGGAUGAUAGAGGAGCACACGGCAUCAGCCCAUGAGCGCAAGGGAAACCCAGAUUUUCUGGACGUAGUCAUGGGCCAUCAAGGAAAUUCUACAGGGGAGAAGCUCACCCUUACCAACAUUAAGGCGCUCCUCCUGGUAUGCAUAGUUAAAGCUUGUCUUUAAUUUUGUUUUCCGAUAUUUUCUUUCCGGAAACAGCACUUUUAUUGCUUUUAUAUCAGGUAGCCAUUUUAGGGGCACAUCACUGUUCUUUAUUUGCAUUUUUUUUUGUCUUUUUUCACUUGCAUGGUUGUUUUCAUAUGCUCAGCUGCAUGGCACAGGAAAAUUGGGAAAAAUGAUUGGUUCUCUGAUCAGACCUUCUGCACCAAAACACACUUCUCUCUAUUUUAUAAAAUCAAGAACAUUUAUGGUUUACAUGAAUUUUCGAACUUGAACUUUUGCUAGGGCUAAUGCAUGGAUCUCAAUUUUCAAUUGCGUUUGAUUACAUAAAUUUCAAGUAUGUCACCACAUUUUUGUUUCCUUGGCUAGAAUUUAUUUACUGCAGGAACAGACACUUCAUCAAGCGUAAUCGAGUGGUCUCUGGCUGAGAUGUUGAAAAACCCGAGCAUCCUCAAGCGUGCUCACGAAGAAAUGGAUCAAGUGAUUGGAAGGAGCCGGCGGCUCGUGGAGUCUGACUUACCAAAACUUCCAUACCUACAAGCCAUAUGCAAGGAAAGCUUCCGGAAGCACCCAUCCACCCCAUUGAACCUUCCUCGUGUCUCAACCCAGGCAUGUGAAGUGAACGGCUACUACAUCCCAAAGAACACUAGACUUAGCGUGAACAUAUGGGCAAUCGGGCGAGACCCUGAUGUCUGGGAAAGCCCGGAAGAAUUCAGGCCAGAAAGGUUUUUAAGUGGAAGAAAUGCAAAAAUUGAUCCUCGUGGAAAUGAUUUUGAGUUGAUCCCGUUUGGGGCUGG